UUCUCCUGGAGCUGCCUCCUCACCUGGCCGAGCUCCUCCUCGGCCCGCUCUAGUCUCUGCUUCAGUCCGGAGACUUCGGCAGUAUGUGAGGCCGCGGCCAGCAGCGAUGCCUGCUUAUUCAAAUAAGACAUACUUAGUUAGUUUCCUACAAUAAUGGAUUGAUCCUCUGUCUGGCCUUUCUUUCAAAACACCGGACAGUGUCUCAGGGGCUACUGUCUACAUUGGGAUUUUCUCUUUUUUGUCGCUUACCUCAAAACCCGUCAGCAGGCUGCUGCAGGCUUCGGUUAGUCCGCUCUUGGCGGACUGAACCCUCUCAAUCACCGUACCCAUAAGGAUACGGUGCUCAUCCACAAUGGAAGCACCUCGUAGCGCUUCCAGCAGAUUGUCCGGUGCCCCUGGUUGGACAGGGGUCACCAGCGGAAUGGGCAUACCCCCUUCUUUCGAAGGAGGUUGCACAGAUUCCGGAGCCGUAUCGGUCUCGAAUACGACCCUCAUUGCCAGUCUCCAUGGGGAUUUGCACCCCCUGGUGUCCGGCGACAGAGGUUUCGCCUUCUGGCGCCUCCUAAACCUCUCCCCGGCCUGGAAAAGUCCUUCGGGACAACACCUCGGCGUCACCCGCGGCCUUGGGAGAGUGAGCGGCCGACGGUGACUCGCUGGCCAUCGCCUUUGAAUCCAACGAACCUCUUGAUGAGGAUCGCUGGGAGCUGUCGUGGGCCGGACUGCAAUAGCAUGAUUAACCAUGUCAAUACAAUGAAGAGGAGAGGCCGGAUAUAUGCACAUGUACGAAUUUUAGCACUUACGAUGCGGCCAGGGGCUUGGUUCGGGGGGGGGGGGUCGCUCCGGACUGCUGUCGACAUCCCACGCAGAGUUAUCCGCAAGGGAGCCUUUCCCCUUCUUGGACGUCUCCGCCUCCAGAUUCGUGGAGGCUGCCCUCUUCCUCUUUCCCCCAUCAGGGGGAGGGUUGUUCUCCUCCUCCUCCUUGUCGUCGUCCUCAGUGGCGGAGGAAUGGGUCUCUUCAUCUUCGGACGUCACGUCCGAAGCACCCUUGCAGUGGGGGCCACCUUUGGCCCCCUUGGCCUUCUUCUUGGCCUUCUUCUCCGGCGGCUGAUAGGGCGCCGGAACCAGCAUCUUCGCCAGGAGCGGGAUGACUGGCUCUUCGAGCAGCGGAGCCGAACACUGGAUCCGCUCCACUCUCUCCGUCCACACCUGAAAGAAUACAGUAAAGAUUAACCACCCUCCUUGGACAAGCAAGUAGAGGGUACACCUUGGGGGGUAAAGGACUUACCGCAUUAGCGGGAUGAGUAUGAUCGUGUCCGCGGUCCGAAUCAAUGACCGGCGGCUUCUCGUUUGCCUUGAAGAGCAACUUCCAGGCAUCUUCGUGAGUAGUUCCGAAGAGCCUCUCCAGGGUCUAGUGCUUCACUGGAUCGAAUUCCCAUAGAGGGAAGCUUCGGCUUUGGCAGGGGAGGAUUCAACGAACCAGCAUCACCUGGAUCACAUCGACGAGCUUGAUUUUUUUAUCCACCAUGCUCUGAAUGCACGUUUCCAGCGCUAUCAACUCGUUCGACGAAGACCAGUUGGGACCCUUCUCCAUCCAGGAGGUGAGCCGCAUUGGAGCCCCGGCCUUGAAUUCGGGAGCCGCCGCCCAAGUGGCGCCGCAUGGCUCUGUGAUCUAGAACCACUGCUUUUGCCACUCUUUGACAGUCUCCACAAAAGUGCCCUUGGGCCAUGUGACGUUGGGCAUCUUGCUCACCAUGGCACCUCCGCACUCCGCGUGCUGACCAUCCACCACCUUCGGCUUCACUUUGAAGAUCUUGAGACAUAAUCCGAAGUGGGGGUGGAUGCGGAGGAAAGCCUCGCACACGACAAUGAAUGCCGAGAUGUUGAGGAAGGAGUUUGGGGCCAGAUCAUGGAAAUCCAGCCCGUAAUAGAACAUCAGUCCACGGACAAAAGGGUGGAGUGGGAACCCUAACCCGCGGACGAAGUGAGGGAGGAAGACCACCCUCUCAGUAGGCUUCGGAGUGGGGAUGACUUGCCCCUUGGUUGGCAGACGGUGGGCGAUUCCUUUCGCCAGAUACCCGGCCGCCCAAAGCUGGGUGAUGUCCUUUUCCUUGACGGAGGAGACUGUUGGGGAACACAGUAAUUUCAAAAAAGAUCCUACGCACACACAGGAUUAUGGUGAUGCAUAGCAACGAGAGGGGAGAGUGUUGUCCACGUACCCUCGUAGACCGAAAGCGGAAGCGUUAGCACAACGCGGUUGAUGUAGUCGUACGUCUUCACGAUCCGACCGAUCCAAGUACCGAACGUAUGGCACCUCCGAGUUCAGCACACGUUCAGCUCGAUGAUGUCCCUCGAACUCCGAUCCAGCUGAGUGUUGAGGGAGAGUUUUGUCAGCACGACGGCGUGGUGACGAUGUUGAUGUUCUACCGACACAGGGCUUCGCCUAAGCACCGCUACGAUAUUAUCGAGGUGGAUUAUGGUGGAGGGGGCACCGCACACGGCUAAGAGAUGAAUGAUAAAUUGUUGUGUCUCUGGGGUGCCCCCCUGCCCCCAUAUAUAAAGGAGCAAGGGGAGGAGGUGGCCGGCCAGGGAGAGGCACGCCAAGGGGGAGUCCUACUCCCACUAGUAGGAUUCCUCCUAUUCCUAGUAGGAGUAGGAGAGGGGGAAGGAAAGGGAGAGGAGGAGAAGGAAAGAGGGGGUCGGCCCCCUUUGCCCUAAACCAAUUCGGUUUGGGCCUUGGGAGGGCGCGCCCCACACUCCCCUUGCUGCCCUCUAUUUCCACUAAGGCCCAUGUAGGCCCAUUAAGCCCCGGGGGGGUUCCGGUAACCCCCGGUACUCCGGUAAAAUCCCGAUUUCACCCGAAACACUUCCGAUAUCCAAAUAUAGGCUUCCAAUAUAUCAAUCUUUAUGUCUCGACCAUUUCGAGACUCCUCAUUAUGUCUGUGAUCACAUCAGGGACUCCGAACAACCUUCGGUACAUCAAACUCAUAAACUCAUAAUAUAACUGUCAUCGAAACUUUAAGCGUGCGGACCCUACGGGUUCGAAAACUAUGUAGACAUGACCGAGACACGUCUCCGGUCAAUAACCAAUAGCGGAACCUGGAUGCUCAUAUUGGAUCCCACAUAUUCUACGGAUAUCUUUAUCGGUCAAACCGCAUAACAACAUACGUUGUUCCCUUUGUCAUCGGUAUGUUAAUUGCCCGAGAUUCGAUCGUCGGUAUCUUAAUACCUAGUUCAAACUUGUUACCGGCAAGUCUCUUUACUCGUUCUAUAAUGCAUCAACCCACAACUAACUCAUUAGUUACAAUGCUUGCAAGGCUUAUAUUGAUGUGCAUUAUCGAGAGGGCCCAGAGAUACCUCUCCGACAAUCGGAGUGACAAAUCCUAAUCUCGAUCUAUGCCAACUCAACAAGUACCUUCGGAAACACCUGUAGAGCACCUUUAUAAUCACCCAGUUACGUUGUGAUGCUUGGUAGCACACAAAGUGUUCCUCUGGUAUUCGGGAGUUGCAUAAUCUCAUAGUCAUAGGAACAUGUAUAAGUCAUGAAGAAAGCAAUAGCAACAUACUAAACGAUCAAGUGCUAAGCUAACGGAAUGGGUCAUGUCAAUCACAUCAUUCUCUAAUGAUGUGAUCCCGUUAAUCAAAUGACAACUCAUGUCUAUGGUUAGGAAACUUAACCAUCUUUGAUUCAACGAGCUAGUCAAGUAGAGGCAUACUAGUGACACUUAGUUUGUCUAUGUAUCCACACAUGUAUUAUGUUUCCGGUUAAUACAAUUCUAGCAUGAAUAAUAAACAUUUAUCAUGAAAUAAGGAAAUAAAUAAUAACUUUAUUAUUGCCUCUAGGGCAUAUUUCCUUCAGUCUCCCACUUGCACUAGAGUCAAUAAUAUAGUUCACAUCGCCAUGUGAUUUAACACCAACAGUUCACAUCACCAUGUGAUUAACACCCAUAGUUCACAUCGUCAUGUGACCAACACCCAAAGGGUUUACUAGAGUCAAUAAUCUAGUUCACAUCGCUAUGUGAUUAAGACCCAAAGAGUACUAAGGUGUGAUCAUGUUUUGCUUGUGAGAGAAGUUCAGUCAACGGGUCUGUCAUAUUUAGAGCCGUAUGUAUUUUGCAAAUUUCUAUGUCAACAAUGCUCUGCACGGAGCUACUCUAGCUAAUUUCUCCCACUUUCAAUAUGUAUCCAGAUCGAGACUUAGAGUCAUCUGGAUCGGUGUAAAAAACUUGCAUCGAUGUAUCCCUUUACGACGAACCUUUUGUCACCUCCAUAAUCGAGAAACAUAUCCUUAUUCCACUAAGGAUAAUUUUGACCGCUGUCCAGUGAUCUACUCCUAGAUCACUAUUGUACUUCCUUGCUAAACACAGUGUAGGGUAUACAAUAGAUCUGGUACACAGCAUGGCAUACUUUAUAGAACCUAUGGCUGAGGCACAGGGAAUGACUUUCAUUAUGUUUCUAUCUUCUAUCGUGGUCGGGCUUUGAGUCUUACUCAAGUUCACACCUUGUAACACAGGCAAGAACUCUUUCUCUGACUGUUCCAUUUUGAACUAUUUCAAAAUCUUGUCAAGGUAUGUACUCAUUGAAAAAACUUAUCAAGCGUCUUGAUCUAACUCUAUAGAUCUUGAUGCUCAAUAUGUAAGCAGCUUCACCGAGGUCUUUCUUUUGAAAAACUCCUUUCAAACACUCCUUUAUGCUUUGCAGAAUAAUUCUACAUUAUUUCCGAUCAACAAUAUGUCAUUCACAUAUACUUAUCAGAAAUGCUGUAGUGCUCCCACUCACUUUCUUGUAAAUACAGGCUUCACUGCAAGUCUAUAUAAAACUAUAUGCUUUGAUCAACUCAUCAAAGCGUAAAUUCCAACUCCGAGAUGCUUGCACCAGUCCACAGAUGGAUCGCUUGCAUAUUUUUGUUAGCACCUUUAGGAUUGACCAAACCUUCUGGUUGCAUCAUAUACAACUCUUUUUCAAGAAAUCCAUUAAGGAAUGUAGUUUUGUUUAUCCAUUUACCAGAUUUCAUAAAAUGCGAUAAUUGCCAACAUGAUUCGGGCAGACUUAAGCAUAGAUACGAGUGAGAAACUCUCAUCAUAGUCAACACCUUGAACUUGUCGAAAACCUUUUGCGACAAUUCUAGCUUUGUAUAUAGUAACACUACUAUUGUAACAUCCCAAAUUUUCAAUUUGGAAUGUUAUACAUUAGAUCAUCAUUGCAUAUCAUAUUUUAUUUGCUUUUCGGUUUGAUCCUAGAAAUUCUACGGAACUCAAGGACCCACGGAGAGAGUUGGGGAUUUCGUUAUUUUCAUAUUUGAGUUUUCUCAAAUUUUGAGAAUAGGAUCAUUUGAUUUUAAUUAUUUUAUCUUCAAUUAUUUCUAUUACAAAAAUAUUAGAGAGGGAAUAAAAUGACUUUCCCAAAAUAAAGAAAUAUUGAGGAUUAAAUAAUAAAAUCAAAUAAGAUUUUAUUUGGGAGUUUUUCGCUAUUUUAUUUGAAUUUAGGAAAAAUAUGCGUUUUUCAAAAUUGCAUUUAGGCCCCAAAUAAAUGUUCACUUUGUCCGGCUUGAUUUUAGAAGUCGGGGAAAAUUUAUUUCGGGAUUUUUGGAGUCCGUUUAGUAUUCCUUUUGUUUGUUUUUCUGAGCGUAAUUAUUUAAAAAAACGAACCAACCUAACGGGCCGUGUCCGACCCGGACACCUGGCCCGGCCGGCUUUAUAAGCCGGGGAGGCCCAGCCGAACCCCCAAACCCUAGCCGCCCCGUCCCUCCGCCUUUGCCGCCGCCGCUUUGCCGCCGCCGCCGCCGCCCGCGCUGGAGCCAGAGCCGCCGCCGCUGACCCCACCGCCUGCCGAACCCGCCGCCCGAGGUUGACCUCGAUCCCGCCGCCGGGUUUUUUUCAGAAAACCGCUUGGUUUUCGCCGGUUUUCGUUUUUUUUAGUUUCCAUUUUUUUAUUAGAUUCUGUUUUUUCGGUUUAGGUUAAUAGGCGAUCGUUCGCUCGUUCGUUCGAUUUAACGACCGCGUUCAUUGUUUAGAUCUAGAUAACAAACGUUCGUUCGUUAAUCUGUUCGUCAUUUUUCUUUUUCUUGGAUUUUCCGCGAUUAUUUCUGAUCGCGAUUUCUGAUCCGAUUUUCGUUUUAGUAUAACUUUUCGCUCGUUUAUCGGAAUUGGGCGAUUCAAACGCCUGGAGUUUCGUCUCGAAACCCUCUUUCUGCUUCACCAACUUAAAAAAGUUUUUGCUUCUGUAAAAUUUGACUUAGGUCCAGAUUAGUAAAACGAAGUUUGUUUCUUUCGCCGUUUGACUUUCGUUACUUUGUUUGAUUUGAUUCUUUUUGCAAACCGGAGUUCUUAAGUUGAACUUUCUGGUUAGAUCUCUUAUUUGAGUUUUACUUGUGCAUUAGAUGAGUACUUAUUGUAUGCUUGUUUGUUUGUUUGCGAUAGAGUACCCGGAGUGCGCCGCCUGUUACUUUGAAUCUCUAGGUUUCGCGGAUCAUCAGCAAGGCAAGUAACACUUUGAUCAUACCUCUUUAUUACCCAGUUUUAUUGCAUUAGAUCAAUCCUCAAACAUUGCAUGAUUAGGAUCUAAUUAAAUUGUGGGAUGGGAAGUAGUUGAGGUAGUACCUAUUACCUGUUUCAUUAUCAAAUCUUUGGGAGUUACUUCUACGUUUGCUUAUUAUGCCAUGCUAUGCUAGUAGACGUGGAUUGGGUGAGUGAUAUCCAUGACAGAUGUGAGAUUGUUAAUUAAUGGUUUAUUUAAGGUGGCAACUUAAACACACAUCUGGGUGGAUUGAGGUACCUGGGUAUUCCAGGAUUGCCUAUUGUUUUCUUUAUGGACCGCCACCCAGGCUCAAAGGGAUCAUGAGAUUAUCCAUACUAGAAACUUCUGUGUGCAACCACAAGCUAAUAUGGGCUCUAGCAUAGUUGACUAAGUCGUGCGAACUCUUACAAUGGUAGACUAGCAGAUGUAGGGGAUGUAGGUUGGUACGGUCUACCCGAUCGUAAGGUGCUAGAGCUUCUGAAAGACUAUGUCUCGGUCAUCCGUUUCUCAAACAUCAUGUAGUGCGAGAAUCCCAACGGAGGAGAUCGAGUCUUGUGGGGAAAAGUGUGCAACCUCUGCAGACUGUAUAAGCUAAUCAUGAUUACCGUGUCCCCGGUUAUGGACAUCUUGAGUAUCUAGUACCUGGAUUAUCAUGCGAAUCUCAUCAUGUUACUUUAAUUAAUUUUGUUGGGUUUUAAUGAUGAUCUUAAUUGGGAUUGAGGAUGUUGUCAACCAUUCUCAAUGUUUAACAACCACCAUGAUAGUUAAAUAAAAUUAUUCCUUUGCAGUAGGGAAAAAUUGGCUUUACGCAAAAACAGUAACCAUAGAGUUUUCCACCAGCCAUAUAUGCAUGUAGUAUAGCCUAUUUCUUUCAUUGCUCUCUAUGUGUUACAUUGCCAGCAUAUUCCAUGUGCUGGCCCAUUUUCAGGCUGCAACGUUCAUGUUGCAGACUUUUGAGACGACGAGUAAGGUGCCUUUAGGUCAUGGUUCUAUACUUAGUGAUGCCAUUGGAGUUGAUGGACUCGCUUAUCUUCCAAGCCUUCCGCUGUUAUCGUUGUUAGAUGGCCUUAAGCCAUAUUUAUUGUAAUAAGUUCUCUUUUGAGACAUUCGAUGUAAUAAGUGUGUGAUUGCUACUCUGUUAUAAAUCCUUCAAGUACUGUGUGUGUCAGCAUUACUGAUCCAGGGAUGACACUGAUGCACAGAGAUCAGACUGUUUGAGGUCUGGUCGCUAAAAGAUGGUAUCAGAGCACACGCUGACUGUAGGACACGACCACUAAGCUAAAGCCCUAGAUCACUACUCUCUUCUCAUUUCUGACUCCUCAUCUUUUCUACUCUUUUAGGAUGGCGGAUGCAAUGAACAAGUUCACGCAACCAGAUGAAGAUACACCCUUUGGACGCCACCUGAAGGAAGUCACUAAGUACCUGAACAUCGGAGUACCAAGCUUCACCGGGACCUACAACGCCACUUUACCCGAAGAGGAGCGCUGGAUGAUUCAAGUUCAAGUUCCAGGAAGAACUUUCGCACCAGUCACUGAGCCCAUAGAGUUUUCCUUUGAUGCACCAAGCUGGAGCCUAGGAAAGAGUAUGGCAGCUCACAUCACCAUGGGAUGCAUUGGAGAAGUUUACUGCAAUGAUCUCAAGGAUACUAUCUACCAAAUUUGUGGGCGCCGAGAUGAGCAUUGGGAGAUGAUCAGCACCAGGAAGGACCGAUCAAUUGCAGCUUUCAUCCAGGAGUUAAACCAGCACAUUUGACGCCAGGAGAACCAGAUGUGCACAGACAUGUUGGACUUAAAUAAGGCGAAGACCAGGAUCAUGGAGCUGGAAGAAGAACUCAAGGCUACACGCGAAGAUUAUAUGGAGGAAAUCGAAGUAUUAGUGGAGAAGAAUGACGACCUAGUUAAGAAGAUCAGAGUUUUCAUGGGAGGUUCUGCGCCAGAAGGUGAUGAUGACGAUUCCACUUGCCCGGAGAACUACAUCAUCAUCGACGAUACCGACUCGGAGCCAGACGACAGCGAUGAUGAUUAUGUUGAUGAAGCUGGAGCAGAUAUCAUGGAGUCUUCAUCAGAGCAGUUUUUCUAGUAGACCACCAUAAUAGUAGUAGUGUUCCACCAUGUAUAUAGUAUAGUCCAAGCACUUUUUACGAUAGUUCUAGACCGAUUGUAUGCUUUAUUUGAUUGAAUGAAGUGAUUUUGUGUGCAUUUGCCUCAUGUGCAUAUGGGUAGUGUUUUCUCUCUAGACCUCAUUCUAUUCUAUAUUCUCGUCCUUUCUAAAACCUCAGAUGCCUCCGAGACGUGACAAUGGAUUUGCUUUCCCACCGGAGCUCACUCAGUUGAUCCAGCAGCAGAAUGCUUUGAUGUAGUUGCUAGUCCAGAAUCAGAAUCAGGGGAACAACAACAACAACAACCCACCACCACCACCACAUGUUGAUCACUUAACCCGUUUCCUUAGAUUGAAUAAGCCGGUGUUCUCCAGUAGCACUGAGCCGAUUGUUGCAGAUGAUUGGCUCCGUAAGACAGGAAGGGAGUUGACCACAGCAGGAUGCACAGAUGCGGAAAAGGUGAAAUUUGCCGCCCAUCAGCUUGAAGGACCCGCAGCAGCAUGGUGGGAGAAUUUCACAGCCACUUAUCCUGUAGACACUAUCACAUGGGAUCAGUUUCAGCAAGCUUUCCGUAUUGCCCAUGUUUCAGCAGGAGCUAUGGCCAUGAAGAAGCGUGUGUUUUGCAACUUCCGCCAAGGAGGGUGGACUGUUGGCCAGUAUGUGGAUGACUUUAGUAAGCUAGCACGUUAUGCCCUAGAUGACGUUGCUACGGAUGCUGCUAAGUAGGAGAAGUUUUUGGAAGGACUAAAUGAUGAGCUGAGCAUGCAGUUGAUGGUAGCAAGGUUCAACAACUACCAGGAGUUGGUAGAUCGUGCUCUUAUGAUUGAAGGGAAGCAUCAGCAGAUUGAAAACCGCAAGAGGAAGUAUGGACAAGGGAAGUACAAUUCUGGAUCUCAACAGAAGCCACGUUUUACCCCAAAACCGGGAGGACCUUUCCAGCAUACCCAUGGAGGAAGUAGCUCGCACAACCAUAAUGGCCCCAAGAAUGGUAAUGGGAAUGGAGGAAGCAACGGCCAGAACCGUACCACCCCAUCAACCCUGGCCAAGAGAGACCUGAGCCAAGUCACCUGUUUUAAGUGUCAGAAGACCGGACAUUAUGCCAAUGAAUGUCCUGAAGCUCAGAAUGGAAAUGGAAGCUCUGGGAAGAAGCUGAACCCUUUCAAUAGGGGACAGGUGAACCACGUUAAUGUGGAGGAGGUUGAAGCUCAGCCAGAUGCAGUAAUAGGUAAGUUUUUGGUUAAGUCAUUUACUGUACUCAUUCUUUUUGAUACUGGUGCAUCGCAUUCAUACAUCUCAAGGGGAUUUGUGGAUAAGUAUAAACUGCCAACCCAAGCCCUUAGGUCACCCAUGUUAGUAACCUCGCCUGGAGCAGAGUAUAUGGCUAGUCUAUGGUGUGAUCAGUUACCAUUAAGGAUUGGUAACUAUUUGUUUCCCUCAGACCUAAUAGUAUUGGAAUCUCAAGGAUUGGAUGUGAUAUUAGGCAUGGAUUGGUUAUCGAAGUAUGAAGGGAACAUUGAAUGCGCCAGUAAGUCAAUUUUGCUUAUGACGCCAGAAAGAAGAAGGAUCAAGUAUGUAUCCCGGCAUGUGCCGAAGAGGACUCAAGUAAAUUCCUUAUCAGGAGUUGUGCAGGAGGAAGUACCAGUGGUAAAGGAUUUCCCUGAUGUAUUUCUGGAGGAGUUGCCAGGCAUGCCACCGGAUAGAGACAUUGAGUUUUUGAUUGAGCUUUUGCCAGGCACAGGGCCAAUAUCAAAGAGACCAUACAGGAUGCCCGCAAAGGAUUUGGAAGAGAUUAAGAAGCGGAUUAAGGAGUUACUGGAUAAAGGUUAUAUUCGCCCAAGUUCUUCGCCUUGAGGAUCGCCAGUACUUCUAGUGGAGAAGAAGGAUGGAUCUUUAAGGAUGGUUGUUGAUUAUCGUGGAUUGAAUGAAGUAACAAUUAAGAACAAGUACCCACUACCAAUGAUAAAUGAUUUGUUUGAUCGAUUGCAAGGAGCUAAGGUAUUUUCUAAAAUCGAUCUGCGAUCUGGGUACCAUCAGUUGAAGAUUCGAGAGCAGGACAUACCUAAGACAGCUUUUACCACCAGGUAUGGGCUGUAUGAGUAUAUCGUUAUGUCAUUUGGUCUGACUAACGCACCUACCUAUUUUAUGAACAUGAUGAACAAGGUGUUUAUGGAGUUUUUGGACAAGUUCAUCGUAGUGUUCAUUGAUGAUAUUCUGGUUUACUUGAAGAAUGAAGAGGAACACAAGGAGCAUUUGCGAUUGGUACUUGAGAAGCUCAGAGAACAUCAGUUAUACGCCAAGUUCAGCAAAUGUGAGUUUUGGUUGAAGGAAGUAGGAUUCCUUGGACACGUUAUAUCCGGAGAAGGAAUAGCAGUUGAUCCCACCAAGGUUGUCACUGUGACAAAUUGGGAAGCACCAACAACAGUUGGAGAGAUUCGAAGUUUUCUUGGACUCGCAGGAUACUACCGGAGAUUUAUUGAGAAUUUCUCGAAGAUUGCAAAACCUAUGACGGAGUUGUUGAAGAAGGAUACCAAGUUUAUAUGGACUGAGGAAUGUGAUGCCAGUUUCCAGGAGUUGAAGAAACGUUUGGUUACCUCACCAGUGUUGAUUCUGCCAGAUCAGAACAAGGAUUAUGAAGUAUACUGCAACGCUUCACGUCGAGGACUUGGAGCAGUGCUUAUGCAGGAAGGAAGAGUUGUUUUGUAUGUGUCACGACAACUGAAACCUCAUGAGUUGAAUUAUGCCACCCAUGAUUUGGAGUUAGCAGCCGAAGUGCAUGCAUUAAAAACUUGGAGACAUUUCCUCAUUGGAAACCAUUGUGAGGUGUACACGGAUCACAAGAGUUUGAAGUACAUUUUCACACAGAAGGAGUUAAAUCUCAGACAAAGGAGGUGGUUGGAACUCAUCAAGGAUUAUGAUAUGAGAUUGCAUUAUCAUCCCGGAAAGGCUAAUGUAGUAGCUGACGCAUUGAGUCAUAAGAGCCAUGUCAAUACACUAAUGACGGGAGAUUUACCGAAGGAGUUAGCCGAGGACCUUCGUGAGCUAUGUUUGGAGAUAGUUCUGAGAGGCUAUGUAGCAGCAUUGGAGAUUCAGUCUACCUUGAUGGAAAGGAUCAGAGAAGCUCGAAGACUGAUAAGGAGAUUGCCUCUAUAAAGGAGAAAAUGAGCAAAGGGAAGGCUAAGGGAUUUCGUGAGGAUGAGCACGAUACCCUAUGGUUUGAAGACCGUGUUUAUGUGCCAAAUGACCCGGAGAUCAGGAAGUUAAUUCUGCAGGAGGCCCAUGACUCACCAUAUUCGAUUCACCCAGGAAAUACCAAGAUGUAUUUGGAUUUGAAGGAUACUUUCUGGUGGACCGGAAUGAAGAAGGAUAUUGCGGAGUACGUAGCAGUUUGUGAUGUAUGUCAGAGAGUAAAGGCAGAGCAUCAGAAGCCAGCAGGAUUGUUACAGCCAUUGUCGAUACCCGAAUGGAAGUGGGAUAAGCUAGGCAUGGAUUUUAUCACGGGAUUACCUAGGACCCGUUCAGGCUAUGACUCAAUUUGGGUUGUAAUUGAUCGAUUGACGAAGGUAGCUCAUUUCAUCCCAGUAAAGACCAAUUACACCAGUGCUAAGUUGGCAAAGAUAUACAUGACCAGGAUAGUAUGUCUGCAUGGAGUUCCGAGGAAUAUCAUAUCAGAUAGAGGAACCCAGUUUACCUCAAUGUUCUGGAAUCAGUUGCAUGAAACUUUGGGUACCAGGCUAGAGUUCAGCACAGCUUUUCAUCCACAGACAGAUGGACAGACCGAGAGAGUCAAUCAGAUUUUGGAGGAUAUGCUGAGAGCUUGUGCGCUAGAUUAUGGAUCUAGUUGGGACGACAAUUUGCCAUAUGCAGAGUUCUCUUACAACAACAGCUAUCAAUCCAGUUUGAAGAUGGCCCCUUUCGAAGCCUUGUAUGGAAGGAGGUGCAGAACACCGUUGUCAUGGGACGAAGUUGGAGACCGCUAGUUGUUUGGACCGGAUUUGAUUAAAGAGUCUGAACAUAAGGUGAAGUUGAUUCGCGAUAGGCUCAAGGUAGCCCAGUCCAGGCAAAAGAGCUACGCAGAUUCUAAGCGCAAGGAGACAGUUUACGAAGUCGGAGACCGAGUUUAUCUUCGAGUAUCUCCACUUCGGGGAGUUAAGCGUUUUGGAGUUAAGGGAAAGUUAGCGCCACGUUUUGUAGGACCAUACCGAGUUUUGGAGCAUAUGGGAGAAGUAGCCUACAAGCUGGAAUUGCCCAAAGGAUUGUCAGGAGUUCAUGAUGUGUUCCACGUUUCCUAGUUAAAGAAGUGCCACGCGGAGAUGAUUGAUAUACCACUGAGGGAUACAGUGCCGUUGGAAGCGGUUCAGUUGGACAGUGAUUUGACUUAUGAAGAGAAACCAGUUAAGAUUUUGGAGUAUACCAGCCGAGUCACCCGCAGCAAGGUUAUCAAGUUUUGCAAAGUUCAGUGGAGCCACCACACCAAGGAUGAGGCCACCUGGGAGCGAGAGGAAGAUUUGCUGAAAGACCACCCUCACCUAUUUUCUAGCCAACCCGAAUCUCGACGGCGAGAUUCAUCUUAAGGGGGGUAGGUUUGUAAUAUCCCAAUUUUUCAAUUUGGAAUGUUAUACAUUAGAUCAUCAUUGCAUAUCAUAUUUUAUUUGCUUUUGGGUUUGAUCCUAGAAAUUCUACGCAACUCACGGACCCACGGAGAGAGUUGGGGAUUUUGUUAUUUUCAUAUUUGUGUUUUCUCAAAUUUUGAGAAUAGGAUCAUUUGAUUUUAAUUAUUUUAUCUUCAAUUAUUUAUAUUACAAAAAUAUUAGAGAGGGAAUAAAAUGACUUUCCCAAAAUAAAGAAAUAUUGAGGAUUAAAUAAUAAAAUCAACUAAGAUUUUAUUUGGGAGUUUUUCGCUAUUUUAUUUGAAUUUAGGAAAAAUAUGCAUUUUUCAAAAUUGCAUUUAGGCCCCAAAUAAAUGUUCACUUUGUUCGUCUUGAUUUUAGAAGUCGGGGAAAAUUUAUUUCGAGAUUUUUGGAGUCCGUUUAGUAUUCCUUUUGUUUGUUUUUCUGAGCGUAAUUAUUAAAAAAACGAACCGACCUAACGGGUCGUGUCCGACCCGGACACCUGGCCUGGCCGGCUUUAUAAGCCGGGGAGGCCUAGCCGAACCCCCAAACCCUAGCCGCCCCGCCCCGCCGCCUUUGCCGCCACCGCCGCCGCUUUGCCGCCGCCACAGCCUCCUUUGUCGNNNNNNNNNNNNNNNNNNNNNNNNNNNNNNNNNNNNNNNNNNNNNNNNNNNNNNNNNNNNNNNNNNNNNNNNNNNNNNNNNNNNNNNNNNNNNNNNNNNNNNNNNNNNNNNNNNNNNNNNNNNNNNNNNNNNNNNNNNNNNNNNNNNNNNNNNNNNNNNNNNNNNNNNNNNNNNNNNNNNNNNNNNNNNNNNNNNNNNNNNNNNNNNNNNNNNNNNNNNNNNNNNNNNNNNNNNNNNNNNNNNNNNNNNNNNNNNNNNNNNNNNNNNNNNNNNNNNNNNNNNNNNNNNNNNNNNNNNNNNNNNNNNNNNNNNNNNNNNNNNNNNNNNNNNNNNNNNNNNNNNNNNNNNNNNNNUGACUUCGAUCCCGCCGCCGGGUUUUUUCAGAAAACCGCUUGGUUUUCGUCGGUUUUCAUUCGGUUUUUUUAGUUUCCGUUUUUUUAUUAGAUUCGUUUUUUCGGUUUAGGUUAAUUAGCGAGCGUUCGCUCGUUCGUUCGUUUUAACGAACGCGUUCAUCGUUUAUAUCCAGAUAACGAACGUUCGUUCGUUAAUUUGUUCAUCGUUUUUCUUUUUGUCGGAUUUACCGCGAUUAUUUUUUAUCGCGAUUUCUGAUCCGAUUUUCGUUUUAGUAUAACUUUUCGCUCGUUUAUCAGAAUCAGGCGAUUCAAGCGCCUGGAGUUUCGUCUCGAAACCCUCUUUCCGUUUAACCAACUUAAACAAGUUUUUGCUUCUGUAAAAUUUGACUUAGGUCCAGAUUAGUAAAACGAAGUUUGUUUCUUUCGCCGUUUGACUUCCGUUGCUUCGUUCGAUUUGAUUCUUUUUGUAAACCGGAGUUCUUAAGUUGAACUUUCUGGUUAGAUCUCUUAUUUGUGUUCUACCUGUGCAUUAGAUGAGUACUUAUUGUAUGCUUGUUUGUUUGUUUGCGAUAGAGUACCCGGAGUGCGCCGCCUGUUACUUUGAAUCUCUAGGUUUCGCGGAUCAUCAGCAAGGCAAGUAACACUUUGAUCAUACCUCUUUAUUACCCAGUUUUAUUGCAUUAGAUCAAUCCUCAAACAUUGCAUGAUUAGGAUCUAAUUAAAUUGUGGGAUGGGAAGUAGUUGAGGUAGUACCUAUUACAUGUUUCAUUAUCAAACCUUUGGGAGUUACUUCUAUGUUUGCUUAUUAUGCCAUGCUAUGCUAGUAGACGUGGAUUGGGUGAGUGAUAUCCAUGACAGAUGUGAGAUUGUUAAUUAAUGGUUUAUUUAAGGUGGCAACUUAAACACACAUCUGGGUGGAUUGAGGUACCUGGGUAUUCCAGGAUUGCCUGUUGUUUUCUUUAUGGACCGCCACCCAGGCUCAAAGGGAUCAUGAGAUUAUCCAUACUAGAAACUUCCGUGUGCAGCCACAAGCUACUAUGGGCUCUAGCAUAGUUGACUAAGUCAUGCGAACUCUUACAGUGGUAGACUAGCAGAUGUAGGGGAUGUAGGUUGGUACGGUCUACCCAAUCGUAAGGUGCUAGCGCUUCUAAAAGACUAUGUCUCGGUCAUCCGUUUCUCAAACAUCAUGUAGUGCGAGAAUCCCAACGGAGGAGAUCGAGUCUUGUGGGGAAAAGUGCACAACCUCUGCAGAGUGUAUAAACUAAUCAUGAUUAGCCGUGUCCCCGGUUAUGGACAUCUUGAGUAUCUAGUACCUGGAUUAUCAUGUGAAUCUCAUCAUGUUACUUUAGUCAAUUUUGUUGGGUUUUAAUGAUGAUGCUUAAUUGGGAUUGAGGAUGUUGUCAACCAUUCUCAAUGUUUAAUAACCACCAUGAUAGUUAAAUAAAAUUUAUUCCUUUGCAGUAGGGAAAAAUUGGCUUUACGCAAAAACAGUAACCAUAGAGCUUUCCACCAGCCAUAUAUGCAUGUAGUAUAGCCUAUUUCUUUCAUUGCUCUCUAUGUGUUACAUUGCCAGCAUAUUCCAUGUGUUGACCCGUUUUCGGGCUGCAACGUUCAUGUUGCAGACUUUCAGAUGACUAGUAAGGUGCCUUUAGGUCGUGGUUCUAUACUCAGUGAUGCCGUUGGAUUUGAUGGACUCGCUUAUCUUCCAAGACUUCCUCUGUUAUUGUUGUUAGAUGGCCUUAAGCCAUAUUUAUUGUAAUAAGUUCUCUUUUGAGACAUUCGAUGUAAUAAGUGUGUGAUUGCUACUCUGUUAUAAAUCCUUCAAGUACUGUGUGCGUCAGCAUUACUGAUCCAGGGAUGACACUAAUGCACAGAGAUCAGACUGUUUGAGGUCUGGUCGCUACAACUAUCAGCGUCCGUCUUCCCCUUGAAGAUCCAUUUAAUCUCAAUGGAUCACCAAUCAUCGGGCAAGUCAAUCAAAGUCCAUACUUUGUUCUUAUACAUGGAUCCCAGCUCAGAUUUCAUGGCCUUAAACCAUUUUGCGGAAUCUGGGCUCAUCAUCGCUUCCUCAUAGUUCGUAGCUUUGUCAUGGUCAAGUAACAUGACUUCCAGUAAAGGAUUACCGUACCACUCUAGUGCGGAUCGUGCUCUGAUUAAUCUACGAAGUUUUGUAGUAACUUGAUCUGAAGUUUCAUGAUCAUCAUCAUUAACUUCCUCACUAAUUGGUGUAGGAAUCAGAGGAACAAAUUUCUGUGAUGAACUACUUUCCAAUAAGGGAGCAGGUACAGUUACGUCAUCAAGUUCUACUUUCCUCCCACUCACUUCUUUCAAGAGAAACUCCUUCUCUAAAAAGGAUCCAUUCUCAGCAACGAAUAUUUUGCCUUCGGAUCUGUGACAGAAGGUGUACCCAACAGUUUCUUUUGGGUAUCCUAUGAAUAUUUACUUCUCCGAUUUGGGUUCGAGCUUAUCAUGUUGAAACUUUUUCUCAUAAGCAUCGCAGUCCCAAACUUUAAGAAACAACAGCUUAGGUUUCUUGCCAAACCAUAUUUCAUACGGUGUCAUCUCCACGGAUUUAGAUGGUGCCCUAUUUAACGUGAAUGUAGCUGUCUCUAAUGCAUAACCCCAAAACGAUAGUGGUAGAUCGGUAAGAGACAUCAUAGAUCGCACCAUAUCUAAUAAAGUACGAUUAUGACGUUCGGACACACCAUUACACUAUGGUGUUCCAGGUGGCGUGAGUAGUAACACUAUUUCACAUUGUUUUAACUGAAGGCCAAACUCGUAACUUCAAAUAUUUUACCUCUGCGAUCAUAUCGUAGAAACUUUUAUUUUCUUGUUACGAUGAUUCUCCACUUCACUCUGAAAUUCUUUGAACUUUUCAAAUGUUUCGGACUUGUGUUUCAUCAAGUAGAUAUACCCAUAUCUGCUCAAAUCAUCUGUGAAGGUCAGAAAAUAACGAUAUUUGCUGCAAGCCUUAACACUCAUCGGACCUCAUACAUCAGUAUGUAUUAUAUCCAAUAAGUCAGUUGCUUGCUCCAUUGUUCCGGAGAACGGAGUCUUAGUCAUCUUGCCCAUGAGGCAUGGUUCGCAAGCAUCAAGUGAUUCAUAAUCAAGUGAUUCCAAAAGUCCAUCAGCAUGGAGUUUCUUCAUGCGCUUUACACCAAUAUGACCUAAACGGCAGUGCCACAAAUAAGUUACACUAUCAUUAUUAACUUUGCAUCUUUUGGCUUCAAUAUUAUGAAUAUGUGUAUCACUAUGAUCGAGAUCCAAUGAAUCAUUUUCAUUGGGUGUAUAACCAUAGAAGGUUUUAUUCAUGUAAAUAGAACAACAAUUAUUCUCUAACUUAAAUGAAUAGCCGUAUUGCAAUAAACAUGAUCAAAUCAUAUUCAUGCUCAACGCAAACACCAAAUAACAUUUAUUUAGGUUCAACACUAAUCCCGAAAGUAUAGCGAGUGUGCGAUGAUGAUCAUAUCAAUCUUGGAACCACUUCCAACACACAUCGUCAUUUCACCCUUAACUAGUCUCUGUUUAUUUUGCAACUCCCGUUUCGAACUACUACUCUUAGCAACUGAACCAGUAUGAAAUACUGAGGGGUUGCUAUAAACACUAGUAAAGUACACAUCAAUAACAUGUAUAUCAAAUAUAGCUUUGUUCACUUUACCAUCCUUAUUAUCCACCAAAUACUUGGGGUAGUUCCGCUUCCACUGACCAGUCCCUUUGCUGUAGAAGCACUCAGUUUCAGGAUUAGGUCCAGACUUGGGCUUCUUCACUUGAGCAGCAUAUUGCUUGUCGUUCUUCUUGAAGUUCCCCUUCUUCCCUUUGCCAUUUUUCUUGAAACUAGUGGUCUUGUAAACCAUCAAUACUUGAUGUUUUUCUUGAUUUCUACCUUCGCCGAUUUUAGCAUCGCGAAGAGCUCGGGAAUUACUUUCGUCAUCCCUUGCAUAUUAUAGUUCAUCACGAAAUUCUAGUAACUUCAUGAUAGUGACUAGAGAACUUUGUCAAUUACUAUUUUAUCUGGAAGAUUAACUCCCACUUGAUUCAAGCAAUUGUAGUACUCAAACAAUCUGAGCACAUGUUCACUUGUUAAGCUAUUCUCCUCCAUCUUGUAGGCAAAGUACUAUCAGAGCUCUCAUACCUCUCGACACGGGCAUGAGUAUGAAAUACCAAUUUCAAUUCUAGGAACAUCUUAUAUGCUCUGUGGUGUUCAAAACAAUUUUUGAAGUCCUGGUUCUAAGCCGUAAAGCAUGGUGCACUAAACUAUCAAGUAGUCAUCAUACCGAGCUUUUGUCAAAACAUUCAUAACGUCUGUAUAUGCUCUUGCAAUAGUUCUGUCACCUAGCGGUGCAUUAAGGACAUAAUUCUUCUAUGCGGCAAUGAGGAUAAUCCUCAGAUCACGGAUCCAAUCCGCAUCAUUGCUACUAACAUCUUUCAACUUAGUUUUCUCUAGGAACAUAUCAAAACAUAAAUGGCGAGCAACAACAAGAGCUAUUGAUCUACAACAUAGAAAUGCAAAUACUACCAGGACUAAGUUCAUGAUAAAUUAAAGUUCAAUUAAUCAUAUUACUUGAGAACUCCCACUUAGAUAGACAUCUCUCUAAUCAUCUAAGUGAUCACAUGAUCCAAAUCAACUAAACCAUGUCCGAUAAUCACGUGAGAUGGAGUAGUUUCAAUGGUGAACAUCACUAUGUUGACCAUAUCUACUAUAUGAUUCACGCUUGACCUUUCGGUCUCCGUGUUCCGAGGCCAUAUCUGUUAUAUGCUAGGCUCGUCAAGUUUAACCUGAGUAUUCCGCGUGUGCAACUAUUUUGCACCCAUUGUAUUUGAACGUAGAGCCUAUCACACCCGAUCAUCAUGUGGUGUCUCAGCACGAAGAACUUUCACAAUGGUGCAUACUCAGGGAGAACACUUAUACCUUGAUAAUUUAGUGAGAGAUCAUCUUAUAAUGCUACCGUCAAUCAAAGCAAGAUAAGAUGCAUAAAAGAUAAACAUCACAUGCAAUCAAUAUAAGUGAUAUGAUAUGGCCAUCAUCAUCUUGUGCUUAUGAUCUCCAUUUUCGAAGCACCGUCAUGAUCACCAUCGUCACCGGCGCGACACCUUGAUCUCCAUCGUAGCAUCGUUGUCGUCUCGCCAAUCUUAUGCUUCUACGACUAUCGCUACCGCUUAGUGAUAAAGUAAAGCAUUAAAGGGCGAUUGCAUUGCAUACAAUAAAGCGACAACCAUAUGGCUCCUGCCAGUUGCCGAUAACUCGGUUACAAAACAUGAUCAUCUCAUACAAUAAAAUUUAGCAUCAUGCCUUGACCAUAUCACAUCACAACAUGCCCUGCAAAAACAAGUUAGACGUCCUCUACUUUGUUGUUGCAAGUUUUACGUGGCUGCUACGGGCUUAGCAAGAACCGUCCUUACCUACGCAUCAAAACCACAACGAUAGUUCGUCAAGUUAGUGAUGUUUUAACCUUCUCAAGGACCGGGCAUAGCCACACUCGGUUCAACUGAAGUUGGAGAAACUGACACCCGCCAGCCACCUAUGUGCAAAGCACGUCGGUAGAACCAGUCUCACGUAAGCGUACGCGUAAUGUCGGUCCGGGCCGCUUCAUCCAACAAUACCGCCGAACCAAAGUAUGACAUGCUGGUAAGCAGUAUGACUUAUAUCGCCCACAACUCACUUGUGUUCUACUCAUGCAUAUGACAUCUGCGCAUAAAACCAGGCUCGGAUGCCACUGUUGGGGAACGCAGUAAUUUCAAAAAAAAAUCCUACGCACACACAGGAUUAUGGUGAUGCAUAGCAAUGAGAGGGGAGAGUGUUGUCCACGUACCCUCGUAGACCGAAAGCGGAAGCGUUAGCACAACGUGGUUGAUGUAGUCGUACGUCUUCACGAUCCGACCGAUCCAAGUACCAAACGUACGGCACCUCCGAGUUCAGCACACGUUCAGCUCGAUGACGUCCCUCGAACUCCAAUCCAGCCGAGUGUUGAGGGAGAGUUUCGUCAGCACGACGGCGUGGUGACGAUGUUGAUGUUCUACCGACGCAGGGCUUUGCCUAAGCACCGCUACGAUAUUAUCGAGGUGGAUUAUGGUGGAGGGGAGCAUCGCACAUGGCUAAGAGAUUAAUGAUCAAUUGUUGUGUCUCUGGGGUGCCCCCAUGCCCCCGUAUAUAAAGGAGCAAGGGGAGGAGGCGGCCGGCCAGGGAGAGGCGUGCCAAGGGGGAGUCCUACUCCCACUAGGAGUAGGACUCCUCCUAUUCCUAGUAGGAGUAGGAGAGGGGGAAGGAAAGGGAGAGGAGGAGAAGGAAAGAGGGGGCUGGCCCCCUUUGACCAAAACCAAUUCGGUUUGGGCCUUGCGAGGGCGCGCCCCACACUCCCCUUGCUUCCCUCUAUUUCCACUAAGGCCCAUGUAGGCCCAUUAAGCCCCGGGGGGGUUCCGGUAACCCCCGGUACUCCGAUAAACUCCCGAUUUCACUCGGAACACUUCCGAUAUCCAAAUAUAGGCUUCCAAUAUAUCAAUCUUUAUGUCUCGACCAUUUCGAGACUCCUCGUUAUGUCCGUGAUUACAUCCGGGACUCAGAACAAUCUUCGGUACAUCAAAACUCAUAAACUCAUAAUAUAACUGUCAUCGAAACUUUAAGCGUGCGGACCCUAUGGGUUCGAGAACUAUGUAGACAUGACUGAGACACGUCUCCGGUCAAUAACCAAUAGCGGAACCUUGACGCUCAUAUUGGCUCCCACAUAUUCUAAGAAGAUCUUUAUCGGUCAGACUGCAUAACAACAUACGUUGUUCCCUUUGUCAUCGGUAUGUUACUUGCCCGAGAUUCGAUCGUCGGUAUCUCAAUACCUAGUUCAAUACCAUUACCGGCAAGUCUCUUUACGUGUUCCGUAAUACAUCAUCCCGCAACUAACUCAUUAGUUGCAAUGCUUGCAAGGCUUAAGUGAUGUGUAUUGCCGAGAGGGCCUAGAGAUACCUCUCUGACAAUUGGAGUGACAAAUCCUAAUCUCGAAAUACGCCAACCCAACAAGUACCUUCAGAGACACCUAUAGAGCACCUUUAUAAUCACCCAGUUACGUUGUGACGUUUGGUAGCACACAAAGCGUUCCUCCGGUAAACGGGAGUUGUAUAAUCUCAUAGUCAUAGGAACAUGUAUAAGUCAUGAAGAGAGCAAUAGCAACAUACUAAACGAUCGAGUGCUAAGCUAACGGAAUGGGUCAUGUCAAUCACAUCAUUAUCCUAAUGAUGUGAUCCCGUUAAUCAAAUGACAACUCAUGUCUAUGGUUAGUAAACUUAACCAUCUUUGAUUAACGAGCUAGUCAAGUAGAGGCAUACUAGUGACACUAUGUUUGUCUAUGUAUUCACACAUGUAUUAUGUUUCCGGUUAAUACAAUUAUAGCAUGAAUAAUAAACAUUUAUCAUGAAAUAAGGAAAUAAAUAAUAACUUUAUUAUUGCCUCUAGGGCAUAUUUCCUUCAGAGACCAUCCACUUGCCUUGACUUCCGGAUCCGGACAUGGUUGAGUUCUUCCCUGAGAUGGAGGAGAUGAGAAUUUGGGCGAUGGAGCUCUGGAAGGGCAGAGAGAGAGAAGGCGUGGGUGAAGAAAGGGAAUCCUUAUCUCCUUAUAAAGGCAGUGAAUAUCGAACGCCUCCCCACUCACCUUAAAACUCGCCUGUUCCCAAGGGCUGUGUAAACGGCACGGUUGGGUUACCCACGCCCGUAUUGAUGAGAAUCCCGCAAUAAGGGGACACGAUCUCCGCUUCGACAAGACGUGCCAAUGGCAACCGCGUCUUGAAACGUGGAGCGGCAAACAAAAAACGGUUCGAAAAAAUGACCGGCAGACGUGAUGUCAUGUUGCAAAAAGUUGUCAGCGGAUUGGACUCGUGGAAUAUUAUACUCUCUACGGUUGUGUGUGGUAUGUGUGUUGCAGGUCCGGACACGACCAUUGCGUCCGAAGACUAUCUUGGAGUUCGGAAGGAGGAACCCGCCUUGCAAUGCCGAAGACAAAUCUGCACGCCGGAUACCUCGUCAUUGAAGCCAGGUUUAGGGGCUACUGAGGGAGUCCUAGACUAAGGGGUCCUCGGGCGUCUGGCCUGUUAGCCAUGGGCCGGACUGAUGGGCCAUGAAGAUACGAAGACCGAAGACUCUCACCCAUGUCCGGAUAGGACUCUCCUUGGCGUGGAAGGCAAGCUUGGCGUUCAACUGUGAAGAUUCCUUUCUCUAUAACCGACCUUAUGUAACCCUAGAUCUCCCUGGUGUCUAUAUAAACCGGAGGACUUAGUCCGGAGUGCGUACUCAUUACCAUAGUCAUACAGGCUAGACUUCUAGGGUUUAGCCAUUACGAUCUCGUGGUAGAUCAACUCUUGUAAUACUCAUAUUCAUCAAGAUCAAUCAAGCAGGAAGUAGGGUAUUACCUCCAUAGAGAGGGCCCAAACCUAGGUAAACAUUGUGUCCCCCGUCUCCUAUUACCAUCGACCUUAGACUCACAGUUCGGGAUCCCCUACCCGGGAUCCACCGGUUUUGACACUGACAGUGUCCCCUCCCGGACGAGUCGACCAGACCGCUACGCUCGACGGAGCCGCUAACCCUCGAGCACCAUCGUCGCGGGACCCCGCUGCCCCGAUGGUCGUCCCACAGCUGCGCGGAUGCGACGCUCCCGCCGCCGCCGUUGGCACCGUCAAGAGCCAAGCCACGGUGCGGUCGGCGUUAUCGACAUCCAUGCCAAGCACAGCCAUGGAAGCCAUGGUGCGUGCUCAGCUACUACUGAGGUUUUCGCCAGCGGCUGAGGAGAUGGAUGAGUGACGCGGCACCAUCCAAACCCUUAUCGAUUUUGCCGAAGCUGGGGGCUCGCGACGAGCUGGCCCGCCACGGCCUCCCCAAGCGACAGCAACCGCCCGCACUGCUCGCCGAACGGAGGGGGUCGUCCCCACCACGGCAGCCGGUGUAGGCGCAGCUGAACCAAGACCCCGACAAUGUCUCGAUGGCCUCUUCCGACCCUCGAGCAUGUCCAGGCCAACUUCGAACCCUGGAAGAUAGGUGAUGGGGAGACACGCGCAUCGUUAUAGAUCGACGCUGCAACGACCCCCGCCAGACCAACGGGCACGAUGGCUUCAAUGUCGACGAGCCUGCGCUUAGUGUUGGCGGGUGCCUACCUUUUGAGGUCGGCUGCCCUGCCUUUAGACGAGAGUUGUGGCAAGUCCCUUGCACAUUUAAGCCAGAGAUACCUGAGAAGUAUGACGAGAGGCUGAACCCGGCAGAGUUCCUGAGCAUCUACACCAUCGCUAUUCAGGCUGCCGGGGGAAGACACAAGAAGGUGUUCACUAACUACUUCCCUUUGGCCUCAAGUCCAAUGUGAGGUCUUGGCUGAUGCACCUGCCAGAGAACUCCAUUUCGUCAUGGGCAGAUUUGUGCCACGAGUUCAUCGGUGCUUUCACCGGUGGCCACCAAGAGCCCGGCAGGCCCAGCGACCCGCAGCUUCUCCAGCAGAAGGAAGGAGAAACCCUUCGUAAGUAUUUAUAGAUUCAGUAAAGUUCAUAGAAAAAUUCCAAAUAUCCAUCCGACGGUCGUUAUAGCAGCUUUCCAGUCCAAUGUGCGCAACCGCCGCAUUCAUUCCAAAAUGAAUGUGCGGUUUCCCAAGACUGUGAAGGAGCUGUACACACUGGUGGAUAAGUGUGCUUGGAUGGAGGAAGGAAGGAAAUUGCCCAGAGAGGAAGAUUGCAUCAAUGUUGAUUCAGAGGAUGAAGAUGAAUCAACUAGCUAGAGGAAGGGCAAGAAGCGCAGCAAGAAACCAAGAGAUAAGGCAGUGAUGAAUGUGGAAGGUUCAGGCACACCUAGUACCGGCAAGAAGGCCAAGGCUGAGGCCCCCCAGCAAGGACGCUGCCGCGUGCGCUGCCUGCCGGGAAGCCGCUACCGCGGAGAAAGCUGGGAAAGGUGAUGGUCCGUACUGCAAGAUCCACCGGACCAAGGGCCACGACCUUCAGGAGUGCUAUCAGGUUGAGCAGCUUGUCAAGAGACAGAGGGCAAAAUAUGAUAAGUGUGAUAAGGAAAAAGGUCAGAAUGCUGCUGGCGGUAAGGGUCGAGGCAGUGAAGCAAAUCCGCCGGCAAACCCUUUCGGAACCAAGGAAAACCUGCCAGGGGCCAAGAGAAGGAAAUAUGUGAUGAUGUGAGUGAUGGGGAGAAUGAAGAGGAAACCAGUGAGCAGGAAAUUCAGAAGGCCACUGACGCCCUAUGCAUUGAUGGAGGUGCAUCUUUGCACACCUCACAUCGCCAACUCAAGCGAUGGGCACGAGAGGUCAAUGUUAUGGAACCAGCGCCAGAGGCCCAGAAGCCACUCAAGUGGUCCCGCACGCCCAUCAUCUUUGAUGAGGAGGAUCACCCUGGCCGCACCACAGUGAUUUGGUGUUUGCCAUUGUUGGUCUCCCCAACAAUUCGCAACCUCAAGGUCACAAAGAUGUUAGCGGAUGGCGGGGCCGGGUUGAAUCUGAUUUCCCCGACAGUCAUCAACAAGUUUCAGAAUGGAGAAGAAGAGCUAGAAGUUACCGGCACGUUUCAAGGAGUAGACCCCAGUAGGAGCCGUCCUAAGGGGAAGAUUACGUUGCCGGUGACGUUUGGGGGAAAACUAAACUAUUGGACUGAGAAGAUUGUGUUUGAUGUGGUUGAUCUCCCCCUGCCGUACAACGGGAUUCUGGGAUGCCCGGUGAUGAGGACAUAGACCUGGGGUAGGGUAAUAGGCCUGACCUAUACGUCCUAUCCAAGGUCACUGUCUUAGAAGCAAAGAAGCUCAAGAGACAACAGGGAGGGCCCAACAAAGGUGUCGAGUGCAAUCCACUCGACCUACCAGUCUCCCGGAGACCCCUCCUUCCUUAGGUCACUCGACCACUCGAUCAUUCAACCAUGCAAGAAUCCAUUCGACCUGUUUGAAGACCAGGAGUCAUCCAGAACAGCAACGGGCAAGCGUCCACUCUAUAGUCUUUAAGGCCAUUAAGGCAUUUAAGGCUGGCGUUAUUAGUAACGCCACCUCUUUAUGUACAUUGAACCCUUGGUAACGGAGGAUGGUCGGGGUCCUGGCGUACUCUAUAUAAGCCACCCUCCUCCUCUGGCACAAGGGUUCGCACCCCCUGUAACACACACAUGCAUAAUCCAGUCGACCGCCUCCGGGCACCGAGACGUAGGGCUGUUACUUCCUCCGCGAAGGGCCUGAACUCGUAAAACUCAUGUGUACAACUUCGCCAUAGCUACGAUCUUUCCUCCUCAUACCUACCCCCCAUUCUACUGUCAGUCUUAGAUCCAUGACACCCGGCCCUGACCAAGUUCAUGGCAGCAUCCCACUAUGCUUAUAACACUUUGAAGAUGCCUGGGCCAUUUGGAGUCAUCACUAUCCUGUCAGAUGAGAAGGAUGCAAUUAUCUGUGUGGACAAGAUGUACCGGGAUGCAGUUGCGGCAGAGGCUGCAGCUAUGAUAGCUCCCGCCAAGGAAAGAAAAGGAAAGAAGAGGGAUUGUAGGACCUCCGACAAGGAGUCCGGGAAGCGGGCCCCCUCUGAGUGCACGUCACCCGUUGACGACAUGUCGGAGUGUUCCAACAGCAAGAGAUCCAAGGUUACUGCACCCCAAGUGAAGAAGGUCCCGGCAGGGCUGGCUGGCGUUGAUGACAAAUAGGAAAGCGUGCUCGUUGCCUUCCUGCGGGCGAAUAUCGAUGUGUUUGCCUGGCAACCAUCUGAUAUCCCUGGUGUUCCCAGGAAGGUAAUCGAGCACCACCUUGCUGUCUGCCCACAUGCCAGACCCGUCAAGCAGAAAGUCUGGAAGCAGGCCUUGGAAUAGCAGUUCAUUGCCGAGGAAAUCAAGAAACUAGAGGCAGCUGGUUUGGUCAGAGGGGUACUGCAUCCUACAUGGUUAGCAAAUCGAGUGGUAGUCUGUAAGGCUAAUGGGAAAUGGAGGCUUUGCAUUGAUUUCACAGAUCUCAACAAGGCUUGCCCAAAAGACCCGUUUCCCUUGUUGCGCAUCGACCAGAUUGUGGAUUCCACCUCAGGUUGUGAUGUGCUCUCCUUUCUGGAUGCAUACUCUGGGUAUCACCAGAUCUUCAUGUCCAAAGAAGAUGAGGAGAAGACAUCAUUCAUCACUCCGUGUGAUACGUACUGCUUUAUCUGCAUGCCUUUCGGAUUGAAGAGUGUCGGGUCCACUUUCAUAAGAGCAGUCCAGAUUGGUUUUGAGCCACAGUUGCAUAGAAAUAUAGAAGCUUAUAUGGAUGACAUCGUGGUCAAAACCAAGGAUAAGGCCACCCUUAUCCAAGAUUUGGAGGAGACAUUUUCUAAUAUGCGCAAGAUCAACUUGAAGCUUAAUCCGGAGAAGUGUGUAUUUGGUGUUCCCUCCGGCAAGCUGCUUGGAUUCUUUGUGUCCCAUCGGGGGAUUGAAGCCAACCCCGACAAGAUCAAGGCCAUUGAGUAGAUCCAAGCGCCAAGGACAAUUAAGGAUGUAAGGCGCUUGACGGGAUGCGUUGCCGCGCUAAGCAGAUUCAUUUCCAAGUCUGCUGAGCGUGCCCUGCCUUUCUUUAAAAUUUUGAAGAAAUCAGUGCCUAUGGAGUGGACCCCGGAAGAAGAUGCAACUUUGCAGGAAUGAAGGCCUACCUAUCGUCUGUGCCUACCUUGGUUGCCCCCAAACCCCAAGAGUCGUUAUUGCUCUACUUGGCGGCAACCAACAAAGUGGUCAGUGCGGCCUUGGUAGCGCAGCGAGAAGUGGAUGAGGCUGAAAGUGGCCAGGUCACGGCAGAGUCAGAAAAGGAUCAGAACAGCAAUGAGCACGACAGCGAUGGCAACCCCAAGGACGCGGCAAGGAAGAAAGUGGUGCAGCACCCAGUGUACUUCGUCAGCUCCUUAUUACAAGGGGCUAGAUCAAUGUACUCUGGCAUGCAAAAGUUGAUCUUUGGCCUCAUCAUGGCCUCAAGGAAACUGCGCCACUACUUCCAAGCCCAUGAGAUCACGGUUGUCACUCGCUUCCCGUUGCAAAGGAUACUCCGAAACCCUGAGGCUACCGGUAGAAUAGUGGAGUGGGCUUUGGAGUUAUCCAGCUUUGCUUUGAAGUUUGAGAGCACUUCAACUAUUCAGAGAAGGGCACUGGCCGAAUUUAUUGUAGAAUGGACACCAACCCUUGAUGAGGAAGUGACAGAAACAGCUCUCCCCGGCAAGGAAUUGAUACGUCUCCAACGUAUCUAUAAUUUUUGAUUGCUCCAUGCUAUAUUAUCUACUGUUUUGGACAAUAUUGGGCUUUAUUAUCCACUUUUAUAUUAUUUUUGGGACUAACCUAUUAACCGGAGGCCCAGCCCAGAAUUGAUGUUUUUUGCCUAUUUCAGAGUUUCGAAGAAACGGAAUAUCAAAUGGAGUCCAAACAGAAUGAAACCUUCAGUAACGUGAUUUUCUCACCGAAUUUGAUCCAGGAGACUUGGACCCUACGUCAAGAAAGAAAGGAGGUGGGCACGAGGUAGGGGGUGUGCCCACCCCCCAGGGCGCGCCCUCCACCCUCGUGGGCCCCUCGUGGCUCCCCUGACGUACUUCUUCCUCCUAUAUAUAUCCAUAUACCCUAAAAACAUCAUGGAGAAAUAGAUAGGGAGUUCCUCCGCCGCAAGCCUCCAGAGCCACGAAAAACCAAUCGGGACCCUGUUCUGGCACCCUGCCGGAGGGGGAACCCUCACCGGUGGCCAUCUUCAUCAUCCCGACGCUCUCCAUGACGAGGAGGGAGUAGUUCACCCUCGGGGCUGAGGGUAUGUACCAGUAGCUAUGUGUUUGAUCUCUCUCUCUCUCGUGUUCUUGAUUUGGCACGAUCGUGAUGUAUCGCGAGCUUUGCUAUUAUAGUUGGAUCUUAUGUUUCUUCUCCCCCUCUACUCUCUUGUAAUGGAUUGAGUUUCCCCUUUGAAGUUAUCUUAUCGGAUUAGGUCUUUAAAGAUUUGAGAACACUUGAUGUAUGUCUUGCCGCACGUAUCUGUGGUGACAAUGGGAUAUCAUGUGAUUCACUUGAUGUAUGUUUUGGUGAUCAACUUGCGGGUUCCGCCCAUGAACCUAUGCAUAGGGGUUGGCACACGUUUUCGUCGUGAUUCUCCAGUAGAAACUUUGGGGCACUCUUUGAGGUUCUAUGUGUUGGUUUGAAUAGAUGAAUUGAGAUUGUGUGAUGCAUAUCGUAUAAUCAUGCCCACGGAUACUUGAGGUGACAUUGGAGUAUCUAGGUGACAUUAGGGUUUUGGUUGAUUUGUAUCUUAAGGUGUUAUUCUAGUACGAACUCUAGGGCUGUUUGUGACACUUAUAGGAAUAGCCCAAUGGAUUGAUUGGAAAGAAUAACUUUGAGGUGGUUUCGCACCCUAUCAUAAUCUCUUUGUUUGUUCUCCGCUAUUAGUGACUUUGGAGUGACUCUUUGUUGCAUGUUGAGGGAUAGUUAUAUGAUUCAAUUGUGUUAUUAUUGUUGAGAGAACUUGCACUAGUGAAAGUAUGAACCCUAGGCCUUGUUUCCUAGCAUUGCAAUACCGUUUAUGCUCACUUUUACCACUUGUUACCUUGCUGUUUUUAUAUUUUCAGAUUACAAAAACCUAUAUCUACCAUCCAUAUUGCACUUGUAUCACCAUCUCUUCGCCGAACUAGUGCACCUAUACAAUUUACCAUUGUAUUGGGUGUGUUGGGGACACAAGAGACUCUUUGUUAUUUGGUUGCAGGGUUGCUUGAGAGAGACCAUCUUCAUCCUACACCUCCCACGGAUUGAUAAACCUUAGGUCAUCCACUUGAGGGAAAUUUGCUACUGUCCUACAAACCUCUGCACUUGGAGGCCCAACAACGUCUACAAGGAGAAGGUUGCGUAGUAGACAUCAAGCAGUUUCUGGCGCCGUUGCUGGGGAGGUGAGUGCUUGAAGGUAUAUCUUUAGAUCUUGCAAUCGAAUCUUUUUGUUUCUUGUUUUAGCACUAGUUUAGUCUAUAAAAGAAAAUUAAAAAAUGGAAUUGAGUUUGCCUCAUACGCUUCAUCUUUUUAAUAUCUUUCAUGAGUAUGAUGGAAAGGAAAAUUGUGCCAAAGUGUUAGAAGAAGAAUGCAUUAAAAUGUUUGGCACUAAAUCUUUGAAUGAUGAGCAUGAUUGCAAUGUUGUUAGUACAAAUUCUUUGAAUAUCCAUGAUACUAAUGAUGAUUGCACUAGUUAUGAUGAAAAUGUCUCCUAUAAACAUGUCAAUUUUUGUGGAGUGCAUUGGGUUUGCAAGUACACACCGAAUAGAGAAGAUAGAUAUUGCAAAAGGCAUAAGUAUUUAGAAACUAAAUGGUUACAAGAAAGGCUAAAUGUUAGUGCUGAAAAUUUAAAAUAUCUUAGCCAUACUUGUGAACUUUGCAAUGAACAUGGUCAUUUAAAUAUCAAAUGCAAAUUGUUUCAUGAUCGAAUCAUGUCCAAAAACUGUGAUGACUUGAUUUCCCUUGCACAUUAUAAUGAACUUAGUCUGCUUUUAGGUUAUGAAGAAUUGAAAUGUCAAACUAAGUUUAUUCCAGAAGAAAUUUAUAUGUAUUGUGCGGUGAAUUGCAUUGAAAAUCCUUAUAUUGCCAAUUACAUAAAGAAAAUAAAAGAAAUAGAGGAUGAAGAGAACACUAACGAAAGGGAAGAGACUUCCCAAUAUUCUCCUAUUAUUUCUUAUGAUGAAUCAGGUAACGAGGAGGAGCCUUCUAUUCAACCAAUCUCAUCAAUAAGGAGCUCCAAAAGGAGGAUUGAACCCACACAUGACGUGGUGAAGAAGAAGAAAAUAAAAAGGAAGAGAGGUAAAAAGAUAUCUCUCCCUAAUAAUGUUGCUCCUAUUAUUGUUGUGCCUCAUGAAAAUGAAUCAAAAAUGAUCGUGGAAGAUGAUGCACUUGAUGAUGAUCUCGUUAUGCCUAUUGCUUAUUGUGAUGAUUAUGAUUGGGAAGAUAAUGAUACUCCUUAUGAUCUUGAAAAUCUUUUUGGCACUUGCUUGGAAGAAUAUGAUAAUUGCUAUACUAUUGGUGUUAUCCAUACUAUUAAUGAUGAGAGUGAUUAUGCUUAUGAUAUGAAAAGGCCCAAGCAUGGGGAAGCUAUGUUUGAUGAGGAUGACAUAUUUGAGAAUAUAUUUGCUGCAAUUAAUGUUUGUCCCAAGCUUGGGGAUGCUAUGUUUAAUGAUGAUGACAUUUUUAGCCUCCCAAGUUUUGAUAUGCAAAGUUGUUAUGAUGAUAGCAUGCCUUCUACCUAUGAUGAUUAUAUUGAUGAAAGUGGGUUUGGAAGAGUGUCAACUUUAGGAAGUAAUGAUCCCACUAUUUUGGGAUGUUGAAUCUUAUAAUAUUUAUGAAAGUGGAUUUGGAGAGGUCAUGACUUUAUUUAGUGAUGAGUCCACUAUCUUGGAAGAGGUUUCAAUCGAUUAUGAUGAGAACAAAGUUGCUACUUAUGAUGAUUAUUGUGAUGAAACUUAUGCUAUAAAAAGUAGUGAUGAUUAUAUUUAUAAAACUUGUCAUGAUUAUGAUUACCCUUUUUCUGAACAUUACUCUUUUAAUGUGGAAACAAUUUAUAGUAUUCAAGUCUCUUAUGAUACUCCCACUACUAUUCCGAAUGAGAAGAAUUUUGCUUAUGUGGAGAGUAGUAAAUUUUCUAUGCUUGUAGAUCAUGAAAAGAAUUAUUUAGGUGCUGGUUAUAUUGUUGAAUUCAUUCAUGAUGCUACUGAAAAUUAUUAUGAGGGAGGAACAUAUGCCUGUAGGAAUUGCAAUAAUAUCAAGUUUCCUCUCUAUGUGUUGAAAUUUUUGAAGUUGCACUUGUUCUGCCUUCCUAUGCAAGUUGAUUCUUGUUCCCAUAAGUUGUUUGCUCACAAAAUCCCUAUGCAUAGUAAGUGGCUUAGGCUUAAAUGUGCUAGUCAUAUGCUUCAUGAUGCUCCCGUUAUGUUUCAAUUCUUAUCUUUUAUGUGAGCAUCAUUGUCAUCAUCAUGCCUAGCUAAAAAGGCAUUAAAGAAAAGCGCUUGUUGGAGACAACCCAAUAUUUACCCUUACUGUUUUUGUGUGUUCACAUGAUUAUGCUACUGUAGUAAUCAUGUUUUCUAGAUUUUGUUUCAAUAAAGUGCCAAGUAAGACCUUUAGGAUAACCUACGGUGAUAGUUAUUUGAUCUUGCUGUAAAAAACAGAAACUUUGCGCGCACGAGAUUAGUUUUCAUAAAUCACAGAAACGUGAUUUGCAGUUGAUUAUUUUUGAAGUAGAUUAAUAAAAAAAUUAUCUAGGACUUCUUAAUUUGGUAGAAUUUUUGGAUUUCCAGAAGUAUACGUUUGAUACAGAUUGCUACAGACUGUUCUGUUUUUGACAGAUUCUGUUUUCUAUGUGUUGUUUGCUUAUUUUGAUGAAUCUAUGAGUAGUAUCGGAGGGUGUGAACCAUAGAUAAGUUGGAAUACAGUAGAUAUUACACCAAUAUGAAUUUAGAAUGAGUUCAAAACAGUACCUAAGUGGUGAUUUAUUUUCUUAUACUAACGGAGCUUACAAGUUUUCUGUUGAGUUUUGUGUUGUGAAGUUUUCAAGUUUUGGGUAAAGAUUCGAUGGACUAUGGAAUAAGGAGUGGCAAGAGCCUAAGAUUGGUGAUUCCCAAGGCACCCCAAGGUAAUAUUCAAGGACAACCAAGAGCCUAAGCUUGGGGGUGCCCCGGACGGCAUCCCCUCUUUCGUCUUCAUUCAUCGGUAACUUUACUUGGAGCUAUAUUUUUAUUCACCACAUGAUAUGUGUUUUGCUUGGAGCGUCAUUUUAUUUUGUUAGUUUUGCUUGCUAUCAUUUAUAAUAAUGUUUUGCAUCUUUAUUUUCAAUAAAAAUGUCAAGGAUAGCCUUUGCCAUGCUUAUUUUGCAAGUAUAUAUGUUGCUGUUUGAAAACAGAAAGUUUACCGCUGUUGCAAAAAUUCCCUAGAAAAGUCAGAAUGUGAUAAAACGUUGAAACCUUUUGCAUAAUAAGCUCUGAUAAAUUUACUACAGUGGGAAUUUUCGUUCAUAAUUUUUGGAGUUAGGGAAGUAUUGAUACUCUUGCAUUCUUUAUAGACUGUACUGUUUUGGCAGAUUGCUGUUAUGUUUGCGUAUGUUUGCUUGUUUAAUGAUUCUAUUUGAGGAUAGGAGUAUUAAAUAUGCAGAGGCAUUUAGUAUGCAAUGUUGAAUAAUAAUUUUUUUGAUUUUCUACAGUAGAGAAUGAUAAGGUUUUUGCAUUGGUUCAUACUAACUUAUCUCACGAGUUCUUGUUGAGUUUGGUGUGGAUGAAGCUUUUGAGAUUUAGGGAGACCAUGAUAUGAAAGGAAUUAAGGAGACACAAAAGCCCAAGCUUGGGGAUGCCCAAGGCACCCCAAGAUAAUAUUUCAAGAAGUCUCAAGCGUCUAAGCUUGGGGAUGCCCCGGUUGGCAUCCCACCUUUCUUCUUCAACAAUUAUCAAUUAGUAUCGGUUAAACUUAAGUUUUUGCUUCUUCACUUGAUGUGUGCUAUCCUUGCAAUGUCGUUUUAUUUUGCUUUGCUUGCUGUUUGAAUAAAAUACCAAGAUCUGAAAUUCUUAAAUGUUAGAGAGUCUUCACAUAGUUAAAUAAUUAUUCAACUACUCAUUGAUCUUCACUUAUAUCUUUCGGAGUAGUUUGUCAUUUGCUCUAGUGCUUCACUUAUAUCCUUUGAGCACGGCGGUGGUUUUAUUUUGAAGAAAUAGAUGAACUCUCAUGCUUCACUUAUAUUAUUUUGAGAGUCUUAAAUAGCAUGGUAAUUUGCUUAAAUAAUCCUAAUAUGCUAGGUAUUCAAGAUAGUAAAAACUUUCUUAUGAUUGUUUUGAAUACUAAGAGAAGUUGGAUGCUUGAUAAUUGUUUUGAGAUAUGGAGGUAAUAAUAUUAGAGUCAUGCUAGUUGAGUAGUUGUGAAAUUGAGAAAUUCUUGUGUUGAAGGUUGCAAGUCCCGUAGCAUGCACGUAUGGUGAACAUUGUGUAACAAAUUUGAAACAUGAAAUAUUCUUUGAGUGUCUUCCCUUGUGUGGAGGUCGGGGGCGCGCGAUGGUUAACUCUUACCAACCUCCCCCCUAGGAGAAUGCGCGUAGUGCUUUCGUUUUUGAUGGCCUGUAGAUUUUUGCAAUAAGUAUGUGAGUUCUUUAUGACUAAUGUUGAGUCCAUGGAUUAUACGCACUCUCACCCUUCCAUCACUGCUAGCCUCUCUAGUACCGCGCAACUUUCGCCUGUGCAAUACACCCACCAUAUAUCUUCCUCAAAACAGCCACCAUACCUACCUAUUAUGGCAUUUCCAUAGCCAUUCCGAGAUAUAUUGCCAUGCAACUUUCCACCAUUCCGUUUAUCAUGACACAUUCAUCAUUGUCAUAUUGCUAGCAUGAUCAUGUAGUUGACAUAGUAUUUGUGGCAAAGCCACCUUUCAUAAUUCUUUCAUACAUGUCACUCUUGGUUCAUUGCAUAUCCCGGUACACCGCCGGAGGCAUUCAUAUAGAGCCAUACCUUGUUCUAGUAUCGAGUUGUAAUCAUUGAGUUGUAAAUAAAUAGAAGUGUGAUGAUCAUCAUUUUCUAGAGCAUUGUCCCAAGUGAGGAAUAUAAAAAAAGGGAGAGAAAGGCCAUAAAACAAGAGAAGGCCCAAAAAAUGAUGAGAGAAAAAGAGAGAAGGGACAAUGCUACUAUCCUUUGCCACACUUGUGCUUCAAAGUAGCACCAUAAUCUUCAUGAUAGAGAGCCUCUCAUUUUGUCACUUCCAUAUACUAGUGGGAAUUUUUCAUUAUAGAACUUGGCUUGUAUAUUCCAACAAUGGGCCUCCUCAAGUGCCCUAGGUCUUCACGAGCAAGCAAGUUGGAUGGACACCCACUUAGUUGCGUUUUGUUGAGCUUUCAUACAUUUAUAGCUCUAGUGCAUCCGUUGCAUGGCAAUCCCUACUCCUCACAUUGAUAUCUAUUAAUGGGCAUCUCCAUAGCGCGUUGAUACGCCUAGUUGAUGUGAGACUAUCUUCUCCCUCUUUUUGUCUUCUCCACAACCACCAUAUUCUAUUCCACCCAUAGUGCUAUGUCCAUGGCUCACACUCAUAUAUUGCGUGAAGGUUGAAAGAGUUUGAAAAUUCUAAAGUAUGAAACAAUUGCUUGGCUGAAUCCGGGGUUGUGCAUGAUUUGAGAAUUUUGUGUGACGAAGAUGGAGCAUAACCAAACCAUAUGAUUUUGUAGGGAUGAACUUUUUUGGCCAUGUUAUUUUGAGAAGACAUAAUUGCUUAGUUAGUAUGCUUGAAGUAUUAUUAUUUUUAUGUUAAUAUGAACUUUUGUCUUGAAUCUUUCGGAUCUGAAUAUUCAUACCACAAUUAAGAAGAAUUACAUUGAAAUUAUGCCAAGUAGCACUCUGCAUCAAAAAUUAUCUUUUUUAUCAUUUACCUACUCGAGGACGAGCAGGAAUUAAGCUUGGGGAUGCCUGAUACGUCUCCAACAUAUGUAUAAUUUUUGAUUGCUCCAUGCUAUAUUAUCUACUGUUUUGGACAAUAUUGGGCUUUAUUAUCCACUUUUAUAUUAUUUUUGGGACUAGCCUAUUAACCGGAGGCCCGGCCGAGAAUUGUUGGUUUUUUUUCCUAUUUCAGAGUUUUGAAGAAACGGAAUAUCAAACAGAGUCCAAAGGGAAUGAAACCUUCGGGAACGUGAUUUUCUCACCGAAUAUGAUCCAGGAGACUUGGACCCUACGUCAAGAAAUAAAGGAGGUGGGCAUGAGGUAGGGGGCGCGCCCACCCCCCCCAGGGCGCGCCCUCCACCCUCGUGGGCCCCUCGUGGCUCCCCUGACGUACUUCUUCCUCCUAUAUAUAUCCAUAUACCCUAAAAACAUCGUAGAGCAGAAUAGAAUGGGAGUUCCGCCGUCGCAAGCCUCUAGAGCCACGAAAAACCAAUCGGGACCCUAUUCUGGCACCCUGCCGGAGGGGGGAACCCUCACCGGUGGCCAUCUUCAUCAUCCCGGCGCUCUCCAUGAUGAGGAGGGAGUAGUUCACCCUCGGGGCUGAGGGUAUGUACCAGUAGCUAUGUGUUUGAUAUCUCUCUCUCUCGUGUUCUUGAUUUGGCACGAUCUUGAUGUAUCGCGAGCUUUUCUAUUAUAGUUGGAUCUUAUGUUUCUUCUCCCCCUCUACUCUCUUGUAAUGGAUUGAGUUUCCCCUUUGAAGUUAUCUUAUCGGAUUGAGUCUUUAAAGAUUUGAGAACACUUAAUGUAUGUCUUGCCGUGCGUAUCUGUGGUGACAAUGGGAUAUCACGUGAUUCACUUGAUGUAUGUUUUGGUGAUCAACUUGCGGGUUCCGCCCAUGAACCUAUGCAUAGGGGUUGGCACAUGUUUUCGUCAUGAUUCUCCGGUAGAAACUUUGGGGCACUCUUUGAGGUUCUAUGUGUUGGUUUGAAUAGAUGAAUUGAGAUUGUGUGAUGCAUAUCGUAUAAUCAUGCCCACGGAUACUUGAGGUGACAUUGGAGUAUCUAGGUGACAUUAGGGUUUUGGUUGAUUUGUAUCUUAAGGUGUUAUUCUAGUACGAACUCUAGGGUUGUUUGUGACACUUAUAGGAAUAGCCCAAUAGAUUGAUUGGAAAGAAUAACUUUGAGGUGGUUUCGUACCCUACCAUAAUCUCUUCGUUUGUUCUCCGCUAUUAGUGACUUUGGAGUGACUCUUUAUUGCAUGUUGAGGGAUAGUUAUAUGAUUCAGUUAUGUUAUUAUUGUUGAGAGAACUUGCACUAGUGAAAGUAUGAACCCUAGGCCUUGUUUCCUAGCAUUGCAAUACCGUUUACGCUCACUUUUACCACUUGUUACCUUUCUGUUUUUAUAUUUUCAGAUUACAAAAACCUAUAUCUACCAUCCAUAUUGCACUUGUAUCACCAUCUCUUCGCCGAACUAGUGCACCUAUACAAUUUACCAUUGUAUUGGGUGUGUUGGGGACACAAGAGACUCUUUGUUAUUUGGUUGCAGGGUUGCUUGAGAGAGACCAUCUUCAUCCUACACCUCCCACGGAUUGAUAAACCUUAGGUCAUCCACUUGAGGGAAAUUUGCUACUGUCCUACAAACCUCUGCACUUGGAGGCCCAACAACGUCUACAAGGAGAAGGUUGCGUAGUAGACAUCAGGAAUCAUCCCAAGAAUGGAUUAUGUAUUUUGAUGGUGCUUUUUCCCUACAAGCCGCAGGGGCUGGCGUGCUUCUUGUUGCCCCCUCCGAGGAGCACUUAAAGUACGUCGUCCAAAUGCACUUCGCCCGGGAAGAAGCCACCAACAAUACAGCUGUGUAUGAAGGGCUCCUUGCCGGUCUCAGGAUUGCAGCAAAAUUGGGAAUUAAGAAGUUGAUAAUUCGAGGAGAUUCACAGCUUGUGGUGAAGCAAGUCAACAAAGAUUAUCAGAGCCCAUUUAUGGAAGCAUACGUCAAGGAAGUGAGGAGAUUGGAGGAGCACUUUGAUGGGCUGCAAACAGAGCACGUACCCCGUGUGGAAAACAUCAUAGCUGAUCACCUGUCAAAGUGUGUUGCGCAGAAGCUUCCUAUGGAACCAGGAUCUUUUGUUCUCCGUUUCUCUCAACCCUCCGUAUCACCAGCCACAAUGGCCCGGAAGAGGAGAAAGUUGGACUACGGUAAGCCUCUCCCGGUAGAGUCAUCUGCUCUCGGCAGAGACCUUGCUGGAAACAACUCCUCACAGUGUGUCGGACCACCCCCUCUAGCCAAGCCUAUGGACCCCGCGAAUGAGGCUGGUGCUCCCGCAGUAGAGGAGGUGCCACUAUUCCUCGUUGCCGAGCCCCAGGCUCCAACUUGGGUAAGGCACAUUGUCCACUUCCUCCAAACCGGAGAACUCCCUGGCAACUAAGAUGAAACUGAGAAAGUAGCCCGGAGGGCCAGUAUGUAUCAGUUUGUCGAUGACACUCUAUACAUAAGGAGGCCCAACAGUGUGAAAUUGAAGUGUGUUUGUCGGGAGGAUGGAAAGGAAUUGCUGGUUGAAACUCACGGAGGAAUGUGUGGCUCACACAUAGGAUCAAGGGCAUUAGUUGGGAAAACAUUCCGACAAGGAUUCUAUUGACCCACAGCCCUCCAAGAUGCAGUCGAGCUCGUCACGACAUGUGAAGCUUGCCAGUUCCAUUCCAAGAGAACACACCUGCCUGCCUAAGCCCUUCAGACAAUCCCUCUAUCAUGGCCAUUUUCGGUGUGGGGGCUCGAUAUCCUCAGCCCCUUCCCCCGAGCAAUCGGGGGCUUUGAAUUCUUGUUCGUUGCCAUCGACAAAUUUACAAAGUGGUCGGAAGUGACUGCCAUGAGAAAGGUGACUGCUCAGUCAGCUAUCAAGUUCAUGAAAGAAUUGGUGCGUCGUUUCAGAGUUCCGGCAAGGAUCAUCACUGACAACGGCACCCAGUUCACGAGCCACGCCUUCAUGCAAUACGUUCAUGCCCUUGGAUGCAAGAUCUCAUUUGCUUCUGUGGCACACUCCCGGAGCAAUGGACAAGCUGAGAGGGCGAACGCUGAAGUGCUUCAUCGACUCAAGGAAAGAACUUUUGAUAUGCCGCAGAAGCACAGCAGGUGGUGGAUCAAGGAGCUGCCGGUAGUUCUCUGGUCCCUCAGAACGACACCUAACCGAGCUACCGGGAAGACUCCCUGGUCUACGGGGCAGAAGCAGUUAUUCCCACGGAACUCAUUUACGGGUCCCCUCGAGUGCUUGCCUACGAUGAAGUAGCGCAGGAUCAGCACCGGCGUGACGAUGCUGUGCUACUGGAGGAGAAUCGUCUUCGGGCCACUACGCGUGUUGCACACUACCAGCAAGCCCUGCGUCGCUAUCACAGCUGCAGGGUUCGUGCCUGGUGUUUUGAGGAAGGUGACCUUGUCCUUAGGCACGUUCAGUCUAAAAAGGGUACAAACAAGCUGUCACCAAAGUGGGAAGGCCCUUACCGGGUGGUACGAGUCACCAGACCCGGCGCAGUCCGUCUGGAGACCGGAGAUGGCACUCAGUUGCAAAACUCAUGGAAUAUUGAGCAUCUCCGCAACUACUACCCUUAAGGCGUGAGGCUGCCGGGCACCGCCCGGCAGCAACCCUUUUGUAAAGGCCUUGCCUCAGCUGCAUGUAACCCCUUGUACAAAGCCGGGGCGAUGACCCCGUGCAAGAGAAAAUAAAGAAGCGUUGUAAGGGGCCCCAACUAAGAUUGCAUGCAUGCAUGAGCACACCAAGAUCACUGCAUAAGCAUUUGCAUAUGCAUAUAGAUAGGAUUGCAUCCUGCAUUCAUUCUCAUUUACAUGGAAUUGCAGGUUCCUGCCAUGAACUUGGCUUCGACAAAGGAUGAGAAGAUUGCUCGGCACAUUAGUGUUCUAUAAAGCUAUAACUUUGCAUGAGAAAACCUUGCCUCUCUUUUGAAACUUAGGUGGUCCCAUCCAGGACUCGAACGUUGCUUCGGUCGGGAUGGUUGCAGUGGCCUUUGGUAAAAAGGAGCUGGUGGGGGGCUGUCCCCUCUAUUUAUUCCCCGGCACACGUGGCUCUCCGGCAGACAAAGAGGGUGCCGACAGGAUAUCCUGUCGGGGAAAACUCGUUUAUUUUCAUUAAAGAGGCAUUCUACCUCUGCAUGGACAUACACAUUCACGGGUUUCCGACAAGACUCAUCUUUUUCAUUCAUAUGCUAAUACAAGUACAAGCAUUAUAGAACACAAAGAUGGACUCGAUAGAUUACAUUAUUUGAAUUAAAAUUUGGCAAUUGCCAGCUAGUUUAAGAUUGAAAAAAGAUAAGUGCAUCGUAAACUCCUCUCCCUGUCCCUCUAGUCCUAGGUAGUGCGGUCGGAAGAGAAGGGGACGGGCGAUGACCGACACAACGCCACCUCGAUCCUUGUCAGGAACUGGCAAGCCCAGCCUGACAAGAUCAGGAGUGGCGAGGCUGCAAAGGAGGAAGACAUGUGGGGCACCCCGACGGUCCCCUGGUCACCACCUCCAGGACCGGAAGAGGGGCUCCAGCACAGCCACCGGCAGAGGAAGGCGUCGGGGCCUAGUUAGAAGACCCCAAAAGGAAGCGGAAGCACCAGGGGUACAAGCCUUUUCCCGGCUGCCGAAAGAAACGGCGAUGACGGCGCCAAGAAAAGGGGGAAAGAGCCAGGCGGACAGGCAGCAGGUCGCCGGUACGAGACGAACACGUCGAUGCAGUCAUGCUCCUGCUGGUCGGCCUGCCUCCCGUCUUCUCCUUCUCCCCAGGCUUCGUAUCCAUCAACACCGUUCCGGGGUAAGGCCAAGGCACCCGUCCGGCGCUCUCCCCGGGAAGACGGCGAGAGGCCAAAAUGGCCAGGGGGCUCGAGGCGCACCGCUCCCCUCCUUGGCGGACAAGAAGGCGCGCCCCUUGUUGACAUCAGCCCCAAGACCUCCGGGAGGGGCAAUACUGGGAUUACCACUGAUCUCCCGCCCGGCCUCCCGGCCGAGCCUUGAAGGGACCCAGAAGCUCACCAUGCCAAGGAUCAGGCUCACUCCCCGGGCGCCAACACCAGCAUCAGGCAAUAAUAGCCCCAAGUAGAAGCCCGGGGGCUGGCCUCGGGCUCUUUUAUUCAGCAUCACCAGAGGAAGCAGAGAAGAAGAGAAGAAAUGCAAAGUUGGAUGACUCCGUCCUCCUCCGCCCCUCCUUUUAUAGGCGGGACGAGGAGGAGGGCCGCUUCAUCAACGGGCAACCACCGUCCUCCUCCGCCAAUUCAAGGCGGGCGGACCCACUCCAAGAUGCUCUCCCGUGCCACGCGUCUCCGUUACCUACCCCGCAUGAUGCAUGCAUCAUACGUGGCUAAGGAUAAGAGCGCGUCGUGGGAAGAGUAAAUUGGCGGUUUCCACCCGGUGCGUUAAAGUCAUUCACGGGCCAUCAGUGCAGCGGCCCCACCAUUGUUGGCUUUACACCAUGCGUGGGGAAAUCGGAAACCGUCCCGGUAUCAAGAUCAAUGGAGCAGCAAAAGGAACCUCAAGGGGCCAACCCCUUCAGCGAUUCUGCAUGUGCACUUAUUAGGCCCUACCCCGACGACGCUCAGCAGCGCGUUCGGGGCAGGCCCGGGGGCUUCUGUCGGUGCAACAAACCAUGGGUCUGUUUCCCAACUGUGCACACGCGCAAGAUCAAGAUUGAAGCACCAUCUUGAGCCAAAGAUUGAAGGACCAAGAGAUUUGAAGAACCAACAUGCAACCUAGAGAGACCAAGAUCAAGCUAGAAGAGCCAGAUAUCAGCAAGAAGAGGGCCUCCCUUGCCGGCAGGCGAGCCCGGCAAGGGGCGAGGCCACCACCAGAAGCAAGUAACCAAGAUUCUCCGGCAGAGCCUGUCAGGGCUCGCGGGGGCAGAACCACCCCACCAAACCACUCAAGCACGACCCACAUCGUCAAUCAAUGCGGUGUCAGGAUGCAAGAUGGUUAAGUGGCAGCCAUUCGCCACAUGGCAGCCAUUUCCUACAGAAGAAACCCGCAGGUGACACCCGUCCUGCAACGUGUCAAGGGAACAGAUGCGGAGCUAGCAAGAUAGCCCGGCAGGCCUUGCCGGGCGACCAGUGAUGUGACACUAAGUGGCGCAUUUAAUGCACCAUGUCAGCCCGUAGAGUUAGGUAUGAUAGCACUGUUCCCUAUCAUAUCAAUGGAUAAUGACCACUUUGCCACUGUGGUGACCCCUUAAUCUAUAAAAGGAGGCACAUGGCACUCGUAGGAGGGGUUGGAAAGUUGAGGAACCCAAGCCACCAUACGCGCGUAGUCACUUCAACCAUGAGGCAAACCCUGCCGGGCAAGUGUACUACACACCACCACAUUCAUUCCACCAUCAAUCCACCAAAGCAGGAGUAGGGGCUUACUCCUAGCGGCGACCCGAACCUGGGUAAAUUGCUUGUGUGCUCUUUGCCGUCUUGUCGUUCGCCGAUCUGCUCUUUGUGCAACGCGACGUCCCCCCGCCGAACCAGCAAGGGGCCGCCCGACCCCAUAGGUGGCCGCGGAUAUCCCGCGACAACGACCAACACACACUUCGACCUAUGCCCCCCUUCAAGAUGUUUAUGAAAAUUUAACGAGCCGAAGGCGAGCAGGAGGUUCCCCGCGCCGUAGGCGCCGUGUGGCACCACGACGGACAACGCGCCGCUCGACCAACACGCUGCACGACCAACACACAUUUCGACCUAUGCCCCCCUUCAAGAUGUUUAUGAAAAUUUAGCGAGNNNNNNNNNNNNNNNNNNNNNNNNNNNNNNNNNNNNNNNNNNNNNNNNNNNNNNNNNNNNNNNNNNNNNNNNNNNNNNNNNNNNNNNNNNNNNNNNNNNNNNNNNNNNNNNNNNNNNNNNNNNNNNNNNNNNNNNNNNNNNNNNNNNNNNNNNNNNNNNNNNNNNNNNNNNNNNNNNNNNNNNNNNNNNNNNNNNNNNNNNNNNNNNNNNNNNNNNNNNNNNNNNNNNNNNNNNNNNNNNNNNNNNNNNNNNNNNNNNNNNNNNNNNNNNNNNNNNNNNNNNNNNNNNNNNNNNNNNNNNNNNNNNNNNNNNNNNNNNNNNNNNNNNNNNNNNNNNNNNNNNNNNNNNNNNNNNNNNNNNNNNNNNNNNNNNNNNNNNNNNNNNNNNNNNNNNNNNNNNNNNNNNNNNNNNNNNNNNNNNNNNNNNNNNNNNNNNNNNNNNCCGAAGGCGAGAAGGAGGUUCCCACGCCGUAGGCACCAUGUGACACCACGAUGGACAACGCGUCGCAUGACCAACACGCUGCGCGACCAACACACACUUCGACCUAUGCCCCUCCCCUUCAAGAUGUUUAUGAAAAUUUAACGAGCCGAAGGCGAGCAGGAGGUUCCCCGCGCCGUAGGCGCCGUGUGACACCACGACGGACAACACGCUGCACGACCAACGCGUUGCUCGACCAACACACACUUCGACCUAUGCCCCCCCCUUCAAGAUGUUUAUGAAAAUUUAACAAGCCAAAGGCGAGCAUGAGGUAUACAAGCAGAGGCGUGGGUUGUAUCACUUUACUAAAUUGGAGCAUCUUCCCAACCGUGCGUCAACCCAUGCCGUUGCUCCGUAUGUAUGAUAAGGUGCACUUGAAAGGUCACAUUUGAUAGUGUUGGAAGCCCUCGCCCGUAACUACCCCAUAAAUCUCCAUUUCCCAGAAAUAUAAUGCAAACAAAAAGGGAAACAAAAUGGAAACAGGGAACCGACGCAGUUGGUCGUUAUUUUGUGUCUGUUAUCGUGCGGAAAGGGAAAAACGGAAAUUCAAGUAGUUGGAGGGUUAAACUGCAAAAGGCAAGAAACCACAAACCAGAAAGGGAAAACUGGGAACCAACUAUUGGAUUCAGGGCUUCGUAGGCCCGAGAAAGGUUCGAACUCUGGGGCGUGUGCGGAGAACUCAACCUCUCCGGCCAACUGACCCGUCGCCCCACAGCCUAGCUCGAUGAACAAGAAAGAAGAUGGACACGACAGUUUACCCAGGUUCGGGCCACCUUGCGGUGUAAGACCCUACUCCUGCUUUGUGUGGAUUUUCCUCACGGGGGGCUGAGGAUGAACUGGUACAAGGGAUGAACAACCUUGCGAGGUCUGCUCUAGUGAGGGGAUGAGUUGAUGAGGUGAGGAUGGAUCGGGGUCCGAUCCCGCCCAUGGUGGUGGCUAACCUAUAUUUAUAGUGGCCUUGGUCCUCUUCCCCUGAAGUGUAGGCGGGAAGGGAUUCCACAAUGGCCAAUUCGAACGGGGACAAGUAGUACAUCUUAUCCUGACAAAAGGUGGUCUUCUCCUACAAAGCUCCUAGUCGUGACGUCGCGAUGGGCUCGGCGAUGACAUCCGUCCUGCUGUCCUGGCGGUCUUGGUCUCGUUGCACGGGAAUGGAAUCCUUUGGCUGAUUCCUCGCGACUCCACGCCUGCGCUUGCCUCCUUAGCACCAAAGAGGAAACCUGCUCCUCUACGCCCGCCGGCGCCCGCCUGGCCUUGGUCGUCAUGGCUUGCGUCACCCCAUCCUCAUGAGAUUGGGCACUUGCAUAGGAAACUCCGCUCCUCACGAGCAGCCCAGGGAAGGCCGGUCCCCUGCAUAUUGAAUAUACCUCAGGAAUGGUCUUUUCCAUCCCCUGCAUAUUGAAGUUCAUCACAAAGCUCUUGUAGCUCGGUGGAAGCGACUGAAGGAUUCUGUCAAUGACCGCGUCAUCCGGGAGAUUAACUCCCAGCUGAGUCAGGCGGUUGUGCAACCCAGACAUUUUGAGUAUGUGCUCACUUACAGAACUAUUUUCCUCCAUCUUACAACUGAAGAACUUGUUGGAGACUUCAUAUCUCUCGACCCGGGCAUGAGCUUGGAAAACCAUUUUCAGCUCCUCGAACAUCUCAUAUGCUCCGUGUUGCUCAAAACGCUUUUGGAGCCCCAGUUCUAAGCUGUAAAGCAUGUUGCACUGAACGAGGGAGUAAUCAUCAGUACGUGACUGAUAAGCGUUCAUAAUGUCUUGGUUUGCUGGGAAUGGUGCUUCACCUAGCGGUGCUUCUAGGACAUAAUCUUUCUUGGCAGCUAUGAGGAUGAUCCUCAGGUUCCGGACCCAGUCCGUAUAGUUGCUGCCAUCAUCUUUCAGCUUGGUUUUCUCUAGGAACGCGUUGAAGUUGAGGGCAACAUUAGCGUGGGCCAUUUGAUCUACAAGACAUAUUGUAAAGUUUUUAGACUAAGUUCAUGAUAAUUAAGUUCAUCUAAUCAAAUUAUUCAAUGAACUCCCACUCAGAUAGACAUCCUUCUAGUUAUCUAAGUGAAACAUGAUCCGAGGCAACUAGGCCAUGUCCGAUCAUCACGUGAGACGGACUAGUCAACAUCGACGAACAUCUACAUGUUGAUCGUAUCUGCUAUACGACUCAUGCUCGACCUUUCGGUCCUCCGUGUUCCAAGGCCAUGUCUGUACAUGCUAGGCUCAUCAAGUCAACCUAAGUGUAUUGCGUGUGUAAAUAUGGCUUACACCCGUUGUAUUCGAACGUUAGAAUCUAUCACACCCGAUCAUCACGUGGUGCUUCGAAACAACGAACCUUCGCAACGGUGCACAGUUAGGGGAAACACUUUCUUGAAAUUAUUGCGAGGGAUCAUCUUAUUUAAGCUACCGUCAUUCUAAGCAAAUAAGAUGCAAAACAUGAUAAACAUCACAUGCAAUCAAAUAGUGACAUGAUAUGGCCAAUAUCAUUUUGCUCCUUUGAUCUCCAUCUUCGGGGCGCCAUGAUCAUCGUCGUCACCGGCAUGACACCAUGAUCUCCAUCAUCGUGUCUUCAUGAAGUUGUCUCGUCAUCUAUUACUUCUACUACUAUGGCUAACGGUUUAGCAAUAAAGUAAAGUAAUUACAUGACUUUAUAUGUUGACACGCAGGUCAUGAAUAAAUUAAGACAACUCCUAUGGCUCCUGUCGGUUGUCAUACUCAUCGACAUGCAAGUCGUGAUUCCUAUUACAAGAACAUGAUCAUCUCAUACAUCACAUAUGUCAUUCAUCACAUCCUUUGGCCAUAUCACAUCACAAAACACUUGCUGCAAAAACAAGUUAGACGUCCUCUAAUUGUUGUUGCAAGUUUUUACGUGGCUGCUAUAGGUUUCUAGCAAGAACGUUUCUUACCUACGCCAAAACCACAACGUGAAUUGCCAAUUUCUAUUUACCCUUCAUAAGGACCCUGUUCAUCGAACCCGGUCCGACUAAAGUGGGAGAGACAGACACCCGCUAGCCACAUUAUGCAACUACUGCAUGUCAGUCGGUGGAACCAGUCUCACGUAAGCGUACGUGUAAGGUCGGUCCGGGCCGCUUCAUCCCACAAUGUCGCCGAAUCAAGAUAAGACUAGUAACGGCAACAUAAUUGACAAUAUCGACGCCCAUAACUGCUUUGUGUUCUACUCGUGCAUAGAAACUACGCAUAGACCUAGCUCAUGAUGCCACUAUUGGGGAUCGUAGCAGAAUUUAAAAUUUUCUACGCAUCACCAAGAUCAAUCUAUGGAGUAUUCUAGCAAUGAGGGGAAUAGGAGUGCAUCUACAUACCCUUGUAGAUCGCGAGCGGAAGCGUUCAAGUGAACGGGGUUGAUGGAGUCGUACUCGUCGUGAUCCAAAUCACCGAUGAUCCUAGCGCCGAACGGACGGCACCUCCGCGUUCAACACACGUACGGUUAGGAAGACGUCUCCUCCUUCUUGAUCCAGCAAGGGGGAAGGAGAGGUUGAUGGAGAUCCAGCAGCACGACGGCGUGGUGGUGGAUGCAGCAGGGUCUCGGCAGGGCUUCGCCAAGCACCAUCGAGAGGGAGAGGUGUUACGGGAGGGAGAGGGAGGCGCCAGGGGCUAGGGUGCGCAGCCCUCCCUCCCCCCUCUUUAUACAGGGGCCCAGGGGGUGCCGGCCCCUCUAGAUCCCAUCUAGAGGGGGGCGGCAGCCAAGAGGGUGGCUUGCCCCCCAAGCCAAGUGGGGCGCCCCCACCCCUAGGGUUCCCCAACCCUAGGCGCAGGGGAGGCCCAAGGGGGGCGCACCAGCCCACCUGGGGCUGGUUCCCCUCCCACUUCAGCCCAUGGGGCCCUCCGGGAUAGGUGGCCCCACCCGGUGGACCCUCGGGACCCUUCCGGUGGUCCCGGUACAAUACCGGUGACCCCUGAAACUUUCCCGAUGGUCGAAACUGGACUUCCUAAAUAUAAAUCUUUACCUUCGGACCAUUCCGGAACUCCUCGUGACGUACGGGAUCUCAUCCGGGACUCCAAACAACUUUCGGGUUACUGCAUACUAGUAUCUCUACAACCCUAGCGUCAUCGAACCUUAAGUGUGUAGACCCUACGGGUUCGGGAGACACGCAGACAUGACCGAGACGCCUCUCCGGUCAAUAACCAACAGUGGGAUCUGGAUACCCAUGUUGGAUCCCACAUGCUCCACGAUGUUCUCAUCGGAUGAACCACGAUGUCGAGGAUUCAAUCAAUCCCGCAUACAAUUCCCUUUGUCAAUCGGUACGUUACUUGCCCGAGACUCGAUCGUCGGUAUCCCAAUACCUUGUUCAAUCUCGUUACCGGCAAGUCACUUUACUCGUACCGUAAUGCAUGAUCCCGUGACCAACCCCUUGGUCACACUGAGCUCAUUAUGACGAUGCAUUACCGAGUGGGCCCAGAGAUACCUCUCCACCAUACAGAGUGACAAAUCCUAGUCUCGAUUCGUGCCAACCCAACAGACACUUUCGGAGAUACCCGUAGUGUACCUUUAUAGUCACCCAGUUACGUUGUGAUGUUUGUCACACCCAAAGCACUCCUACAGUAUCCGGGAGUUGCACAAUCUCAUGGUCUAAGGAAAUGAUACUUGACAUUGGAAAAGCUCUAGCAAACGAACUACACGAUCUUUUGUGCUAUGCUUAAGAUUGGGUCUUGUCCAUCACAUCAUUCUCCUAAUGAUGUGAUCCCGUUAUCAAUGACAUCCAAUGUCCAUAGCCAGGAAACCAUGACUAUCUGUUGAUCAACGAGCUAGUCAACUAGAGGCUCACUAGGGACACGUUGUGGUCUAUGUAUUCACACAUGUAUUACGAUUUCCUGAUAACACAAUUAUAGCAUGAAUAAUAGACAAUUAUCAUGAACAAGGAAAUAUAAUAAUCAUUUUAUUAUUGCCUCUAGGGCAUAUUUCCAACAGUCUCCCACUUGCACUAGAGUCAAUCAUCUAGUUACAUUGUGAUGAAUCGAACACCCAUGGAAUUCUCGUGUUGAUCAUAUUUUGGUCUAGGGAGAGGUUUAGUCAAUGGAUCUGCUAUAUUCAGAUCCGUAUGUACUUUACAAAUCUGUAUGUCUCCAUUUUGAACACUUUCACGAAUGGAGUUGAAGCGACGCUUGAUAUGCCUGGUCUUCCUGUGAAACCUGGGCUCCUUCGCAAGGGCAAUAGCUCCAGUGUUGUCACAGAAGAGAGUCAUCGGGCCCGACGCAUUGGGUAUGACUCCUAGGUCGGUAAUGAACUCCUUCACCCAGACUGCUUCUUGUGCUGCCUCCGAGGCUGCCAUGUACUCCGCUUCACAUGUAGAUCCCACCAUGACGCUUUGCUUGCAACUGCACCAGCUUACUACCCCACCAUUCAAAAUAUACACGUAUCUGGUUUGUGACUUAGAGUCAUCCAGAUCUGUGUCGAAGCUAGCGUCGACGUAACCCUUUACGACGAGCUCUUCGCCACCUCCAUAAAUGAGAAACAUAUCCUUGGUCCUUUUCAGGUACUUCAGGAUGUUUUUGACCGCUGUCCAGUGUUCCUUGCUGGGAUUACUUUGGUACCUACCUACCAAACUUACGGCAAGGUUUACAUCAGGUCUAGUACACAGCAUGGCAUACAUAAUAGACCCUAUGGCUGAGGCAUAGGGGAUGACACUCAUCUCUUCUAUAUCUUCUGUCGUGGUCGGGAAUUGAGCCGUGCUCAAUCGCACACCUUGCAAUACAGGCAAGAACCCCUUCUUGGACUGAUCCAUAUUUAACUUCUUCAAUAUCUUGUCAAGGUACGUACUUUGUGAAAGACCGAUGAGGCGUCUCGAUCUAUCUCUAUAGAUCUUGAUGCCUAAUAUAUAAGAAGCUUCUCCAAGGUCCUUCAUUGAAAAACACUUGUUCAAGUAGGCCUUUAUGCUUUCCAAGAAUUCUAUAUCAUUUCCCAUCAAUAGUAUGUCAUCCACAUAUAAUAUGAGAAAUGCUACAGACCUCCCACUCACUUUCUUGUAAACGCAGGCUUCUCCAUAAGUCUGCAUAAACCCAAACGCUUUGAUCAUCUCAUCGAAGCGAAUGUUCCAACUCCGAGAUGCUUGCACCAGCCCAUAGAUUGAGCGUUGGAGCUUGCACACCUUGUUAGCAUUCUUAGGAUCGACAAAACCCUCCGGCUGCAUCAUAUACAAUUCUUCCUUAAGAAAGCCGUUAAGGAAUGCCGUUUUAACGUCCAUUUGCCAUAUCUCAUAAUCAUACAAUGCGGCAAUUGCUAACAUGAUUCGGACGGACUUCAGCUUCGCUACGGGUGAGAAAGUCUCAUCGUAGUCAACCCCUUGAACUUGUCGAUAACCCUUAGCGACAAGUCGAGCCUUAUAGAUGGUCACAUUACCAUCCACGUCUGUCUUCUUCUUAAAGAUCCAUUUAUUUUCUAUGGCUCGCCGAUCAUCGGGCAAGUCAGUCAAAGUCCAUACUUCGUUUUCAUACAUGGAUUCUAUCUCGGAUUUCAUGGCUUCUAGCCAUUUGUUGGAAUCUGGGCCCGCCAUCGCUUCUUCAUAGUUCGAAGGUUCACCGUUGUCCAACAACAUGAUUUCCAGGACAGGGUUGCCGUACCACUCUGGCGCGGAACGUGUCCUUGUGGACCUACGAAGUUCAGUAGAGGCUUGAUCUAAAGUAUCUUGAUCAUCAUCAUUAACUUCCUCUCUAAUCGGUGCAGGCACCACAGGAACAUUUUCCUGAGCUGCGCUACUCUCUGUUUCAAGAGGCAGUACUUCAUCAAGCUCCACUUUCCUCCCACUAACUUCUUUCAAGAGAAACUCUUUCUAUAGAAACGAUCCAUUCUUGGCAACAAAGAUCUUGCCUUCGGAUCUGAGGUAGCAUGUAUACCCAAUGGUUUCCUUAGGGUAUCCUAUGAAGACGCAUUUUUCCCACUUGGGUUCGAGCUUUUCAGGUUGAAGUUUCUUGACAUAAGCAUCGCAUCCCCAAACUUUUAGAAACGACAGCUUAGGUUUCUUCCCAAACCAUAAUUCAUACGGUGUCGUCUCAACGGAUUUCGACGGAGCCCUAUUUAAAGUGAAUGCGGCAGUCUCUAAAGCAUAGCCCCAAAAUGAGAGCGGUAGAUCGGUAAGAGACAUCAUAGAUUGCGCCAUAUCCAAUAGAGUGUGAUUACGAUGUUCGGACACACCAUUUCUCUGAGGUGUUCCAGGCGACGUGAGUUGUGAAACGAUUCCACAUUUCCUUAAGUGUGUGCCAAAUUCGUGACUCAAAUAUUCUCCCCCACGAUCUAAUCGUAAGAACUUUAUUUUUCUGUCACGUUGAUUCUCAACCUCACUCUGAAAUUCCUUGAACUUUUCAAAGGUCUCAGAUUUGUGUUUCAUUAAGUAGACAUACCCAUAUCUACUCAAGUCAUCAGUGAGGGUGAGAACAUAACGAUAGCCUCCGCGAGCCUCAACACUCAUUGGACCGCACACAUCAGUAUGUAUGAUUUCUAAUAAGUUGGUUUCUCGCUCCAUUGUCCCGGAGAACGGAGUCUUGGUCAUUUUACCCAUGAGGCAUGGUUCGCACGUGUCAAAUGAUUCGUAAUUAAGAGACUCAAAAAGUCCAUCUGCAUGGAGCUUCUUCAUGCGUUUGACACCUAUGUGACCAAGGCGGCAGUGCCACAAGUAUGUGGGACUAUCAUUAUCAACCUUACAUCUUUUGGUAUUCACACUAUGAACAUGUGUAACAUUACGCUCGAGAUUCAUUAAGAAUAAACCAUUCACCAGCGGGGCAUGACCAUAAAACAUAUCUCUCAUAUAAAUAGAACAACCAUUAUUCUCGGAUUUAAAUGAGUAGCUAUCUCGAAUUAAACGAGAUCCUGAUACAGUGUUCAUGCUCAAAGCUGGAACUAAAUAACAAUUAUUGAGGUUUAAAACUAAUCCCAUAGGUAAAUGUAGAGGUAGCGUGCCGACGGUGAUCACAUCAAUCUUGGAACCAUUCCCGGCGCGCAUCGUCACCUCGUCCUUCGCCAGUCUCCGCUUAUUCCGCAGCUCCUGCUUUGAGUUACAAAUAUGAGCAACCGCACCGGUAUCAAAUACCCAGGAGCUACUACGAGUACUGGUAAGGUACACAUCAAUUACAUGUAUAUCACAUAUACCUUUAGUAUUGUCGGCCUUCUUGUCCGCUAAGUACUUGGGGCAGUUCCGCUUCCAGUGACCACUUCCCUUGCAAUAAAAGCACCCAGUCUCAGGCUUGGGUCCAUUCUUUGGCUUCUUCCCGGCAACUGGCUUACCGGGCGUGGCAACUCCCUUGCCGUCCUUCUUGAAGUUCUUCUUACCCUUGCCUUUCUUGAACUUAGUGGUUUUAUUCAACAUCAACACUUGAUGUUCCUUUUUGAUCUCCACCUCCGCUAAUUUCAGCAUUGAAUAUACCUCAGGAAUGGUCUUUUCCAUCCCCUGCAUAUUGAAGUUCAUCACAAAGCUCUUGUAGCUCGGUGGAAGCGACUGAAGGAUUCUGUCAAUGACCGCGUCAUCCGGGAGAUUAACUCCCAGCUAAGUCAGGCGGUUGUGCAACCCAGACAUUUUGAGUAUGUGCUCACUUACAGAACUAUUUUCCUCCAUCUUACAACUGAAGAACUUGUCGGAGACUUCAUAUCUCUCGACCCGGGCAUGAGCUUGGAAAACCAUUUUCAGCUCCUCGAACAUCUCAUAUGCUCCGUGUUGCUCAAAACACUUUUGGAGCCCCGGUUCUAAGUUAUAAAGCAUGUCGCACUGAACGAGGGAGUAAUCAUCGGCACGUGACUGAUAAGCGUUCAUAACGUCUUGGUUUGCUGGGAAUGGUGCUUCACCUAGCGGUGCUUCUAGGACAUAAUCUUUCUUGGCAGCUAUGAGGAUGAUCCUCAGGUUCCGGACCCAGUCCGUAUAGUUGUUGUCAUCAUCUUUCAGCUUGGUUUUCUCUAGGAACGCGUUGAAGUUGAGGGCAACAUUAGCGUGGGCCAUUUGAUCUACAAGGCAUAUUGUAAAGUUUUUAGACUAAGUUCAUGAUAAUUAAGUUCAUCUAAUCAAAUUAUUCAAUGAACUCCCACUCAGAUAGACAUCCCUCUAGUUAUCUAAGUGAAACAUGAUCCGAGGCAACUAGGCCGUGUCCGAUCAUCACGUGAGACGGACUAGUCAAAAUCGGUGAACAUCUACAUGUUGAUCGUAUCUACUAUACGACUCGUGCUCGACCUUUCGGUCCUCCGUUGAAAUGAUCUAGAUGACGACUAGAGGGGGUGAAUAGGAGUUUUAAAACUUUUACGGAUUUGGCUUUAUCCUAAUGCGGAAUUAAACUAAUGGAUACUUUUCAAGCACAAAUCCUAAAUAUGCUAGGCUCAACUAAGUGCACCAACAACCUAUGCUAAACAAGAUAGGCAAUUAAGCAAACUAGCAAGCACAAACUAUAUCACAAGAUAUAUAAAUAUGGGCAAGUAUGAAUUGCGGAAAGUAAAGGGUGUGGGUAUGAGAUAACCACAAGUGAGUCGGGGACGCGGAUUUAUCCUGAAGUUCACACUCGUGAGAGUGCUAAUCUCCGUUAGAGCGGUGCCGUAGCCAAAGCUCCGGGGCGUCACCAAGUGACUCACCGUAUUCUCCCUUUCGAGUCACCCCCAGUGGAUGAGCGUCGGUUCACUCGGGGUUGGUCUUGAAGGCGACUACCACACCUUUACAAACCUCUCCGGAGCACACCACAACCACGGAAGCUUCCGGAGGAACUUGACCACCUAGGCCACUUGAACACCGUUCCUCGGAGCACACCACAAAAGGAAGCUUCCGGGGGAACCUUGGCCACAUAGGCCUCUUCACAAUCUUCUCAAUAUAUCACCAAACCGUUUAGGAGGCGAAGCCUCCAAGAGUAAUAAACUCACGGGCUCUCACACGAACUAAUUGAUGCGGGGAUCUCAACCAAUGCAACAAAUGCAAUGCAAGGUCAAGCAACAAAUGCUCAACUCACUCUCUCAAUCUCACAAGAUGCAACUCAAGAAAGUGGGAGAUUGAAGAGAGGGGAUGCAAUGGAGGAAAUCAACAAAUGACUCCAAGAUCCAUCCACAAAUCCCCCUUCACUUAGAAGGGAAAUAGGGGUUUGGGAGAGGUGGUAAGAGGCUCAAAAUGAUGUUCAGAAUGUGAAUCAACAACACCCAAACCGGUGGGGAGGAAGGGCUCUUUUAUAGCCAACUUCCAAAACUAGCCGUUGGGGCUCCAACGGACACUUCCUGGACACCCCGUGCCCACAGGGGUUUAGACCCCGUGCCCACGGGGUCCCGUGCGCAUGGUACAAGCCCGUGUGCACGGGGCCCCGUGCCCACAGGGGUCAAAAACCCUGUGUCCACGGGGUACCCAGAACAGCCUGCAGCAGCCCACUAAAACAGUGAUAACUUUGGCAUACGGACUCCAAAUUCGAUGAUCUUGGGCUCGUUUUGAAGCUAUGGAAAAGCUCAAGGUCCUCACAUAGAGAACCACCCAAGAUCAACAAUAAAUAAUGAUGCAAGUAAUGCAAAGGUUUGAGCUCUCUACAUGCUACAUGAUCAAGCUACUUGCCCGAGAGUCCCUCUCGAUAGUACGGCUAUCAAACCUAUAAUCCGGUCUCCCUCCAAGCACCAUGAGACCGGCAAAACUAGGAAAACCUAGAUAAGGUAUACCUUUGCCUUGCAUAUUCAACUUGAGCUUGGUGAUGACUCCAAUGCUUGUCUCAAGUUGGAAUCCCUUUCUUGUCCACAACCACUUGGUGAAGAUGCUUGAAUUGAUUCCUCAUAUUGCAAUGAGGGAAGCCUUAACUUAAGCCCAUCUUCACAUGAGAAUUAUCAUGAUGUGGAGCGCAAGCUUCAAAGAAGAUAAGCUCUGGCUUCUCAUCUUGCACUUGGACUCCUCGAACCCGAUGACCAUCACCACUUGAUGUCAUCCACACAUAGGCUACUUGAGAUCUUUCCUUUUGAUGCAAACCCAUGAGAAACACCUAACCCACAUAGACAUACCAAACACAUAGCAUGGGUUAGGUAACAAAGCACAAUUCACAAUUACUUACCAUACCACUAGAUCACUUGAUCUCAUGUGGUAUAAUGUUUGUGCUUUGAGGGUUGACCACUUAGAUAUAAUCUUCGAGCUUCAUCUUGGUCAACCAACAACUUUACUCGAAGCUCCAUCUUGGUUUCUUGAAAUCCACAAUGAACUCUUCAUUUCCCUUCAUUGCUUCAAGACUAUAUCACCAAAGACUCUUCCACGACCAUAUCAAGUUCCACUAUGAAUAUCAUCUUGGUCACCACUUGCCCUUCUAAAAAACUCCAUCACAAUCUCUUGAGAGGCAUAAUGAAUUCGUCACUCUAGUUGCUUGCUUCAAGACUUGAUCAACCGAAACCCAACACAUGAGCUCACCAUGAUCUUGUCUUGAGACCAUAACUUGAAUUCUUCUCUUCGAUUAUUCUCUCAAGCCCUUGAUCCUUAAAAGCCCUCCAUCAUAAUAUCUUGAGAGGCACAAUGAAUUCUUCACUCUAGUUGUUUUCUUCAAGACUUGAUCAACCUAAACCCAACACAUGAGCUCACCAUGAUCUUGUCUUGAAACCAUAACUUGAAUUCUUCUCUUUGAUUACUCUCUCAAGCCUUGAUCCUUAGAAGCCCAAAUAUAUCAAUCUUUGAGAUCCUCCAAUGCACUCCAUCAUGAACAUAAUUAGAUUAGGCAUUGAAACCAAUCUUGAUGGCUUCAAUAGAAGUACCCAAAGACCAACUUGAAACCUCACUGGAUAUGGGAUAUCGAGAGCCAACACCUAGGCCCCGUGAGCACAGGGUAUCCAGAGAGUUGACACUCGACCCCGUGCGCAAGGUACAAGCCCGUGUGCACGGGGUAUCCAGAGAAGGAUACCAUGAGGACUUCUUCGGAUGCUUUGAUGGCAGACUUCACAAAACAACCCAAUGCACUUCAAGCAUCACUAUGGAACAUAUCUUCAUAUAAGAUUCAAUGCACUUGAUGCUCCAUAGGAAUUGUCAUUUAAUACCAAAGCAUAGGGCAAAUAUAUCUUCAUAUAUAUGGACUUCAUCCUUGAUUCCGUCCAAUAUCCUUGAGGCACUAUCUUCAUAUAUAUAUGGAUUUCAUCCUUGAUUCCGUCCAAUAUCCUUGAGGCACUAUCUUUAUAUAUAUGGACUUCAUCCUUGAUUCCGUCCAAUAUCCUUGAGGCACUAUUUAUGGACAAAACCUUCAAAUAUAUCUCACUGAAAACAUUAGUCCAUAGAGAUUGUCAUUUAAUUACCAAAACCACACUUAGGGGCUACAUGCCCUUUCAAUCUCCCCCAUUUUGGUAAUUGAUGACAAUCUCAACAAGAGGGUUUAUAUAAUGAAUUUAAGACAAGUAUGCAAUCUAUCCGAGAAUAAAUUGUAUACUUGAGGUGGUUUUGAUAGCCUCAAACAUCAGAAAGAUAGUUGAUGUUAUCAAAACCAGUUGUACUAGCGUCGAAAUACUACACAAGAAUUUGAUGCUAGUAGGACCACAAUAUAUCGAGCAAACUCCCUCACAAUAUAUGCACAGGAAAUAACUUGGUGGAGUUUCCUCUAUAUACACAUCCAUGCAAUGAGCAAGCACAACAAAAGUAGAUAAGCAUGAAUGACAGGAACCAACCCACUUCACCUAAACCCUCUAAACUUCUCUCCCAUUGGCAACAAGUGCCAAAAUGGAAGAAAAAUAUAGACGGGCAAUAUAGUAUGAGUUCCUCCUUAAUUUGUGCAUUUCUCAUAUUGUGAGUGGAAUCAAAUGCACAUAUCCAGUUACGAACAAAUGAAGAAAUUCACACUAUAUUGAGGAUCCAUAGAAUGCACCAAAAAGAUAUGACAAUAGAAUCAAACAUUCAAAGGAUCCAAAGAACAUAUUUUGGACAAGGGAUAAUGGAGAUAUCCAAUAUGAUAGUCAUGCUAAGCAUGGGUCCAAAAUAUAUCCAACAACUCAUGAGUGCAAACAUAUAUGCAAAACAUAGAAGCACUCACUCAACAAGUACUAAUCAUGCUAUGAUGCAACAUACACAAUGUUGACUCUAAUUUAAAUAAAUGCAUGGAGUAAGUACUUGUUACCGAGAGAGAGAGAGAGAGAGAGAGAGCAUUGGUUCAAGGGGCCCUUGAUCUAGUAAGCGAGCAUGAGGGACUUGAUCUUGUUCUUGGAUAGCUACAUGAUCUCCCAUAGCAUCUUGUUCUUAUGUUGGGGGUGAUGACUUCCCUUGUGGUGGAUCCACAAGAGGGGCUCUUACUCCUUCUUCUUCUACAUGGAUAAGGGGUGUUUCUUGUGGAAUAAUAUGACCAACCCCAUUGUACUUGUAUCUCGGGAAGGAGCCUCAUCACCUACAACACUUGAAACAAAUUGCUCCACAUGGAAGGACCGAACCAGGUUUUCAUUUAUCUUCUCCCCCAAAUCAAAGAAUCAAUCAAGCUUGGCCCUAAUAAUUUCCCACAGUGUCUCCACCUUCCUCGUGAAUAAGCCAAGCAUCCAAUGCUUCUCCAAGGUACCUAAAACACAUUAUGGUACAAAAUGGCCCCCAAACAUAUUGGGUCCGAAGUAGUAAGCACAACCACAAUACAUAGGGCAAACUCCACAAUAAGUAUGUGCAAAAGGAUAUGAAAAUUGAAUUUCAUGCACACCUUUAACCAUUAAUGAUAUUAUGGAGUUUACCCUAUAUAGAGAAUCAAGAGAGCAAGCAAGGCAUGAAGAAGUAUAUAAAUAAAUAUGCAUGCACAUGCUUACCAAGAUCCAAAGAGAUAUAAUUUGGACAAAAGAACACUUAAAAGAUGAAUACUCCAAUAAUGACAUAAAGCAUUCAAGUUGUCCAAAUUAUAUCAAAGUGACGAAUCCACACAGGACCGCACACAAAGUAAAACAUAUGAACUAAGCAAAAACCAACGAGCAUAAAGGAUAUACACUACACACAUGCUCAAAGGCUUAUCUCACUCAAGUAGAUAAUAGAUAGUACAAGCAGUGAGAUAUGGCAAGUUGAAGCACGAGCCAAGAAGAAGAUGAUCAUAAGGUUCUACCACAUGGGGAAAUACCAAUUGAAGAGAAUACAAAUGGUAUUUGGAAUUAACACUCGGGGGUAGAUUCCGAAGAUGCACAAGAUCAUCAACAUACUCCAAAGCAUAAGAGAGAAAUAGCGUACUUGGCCGGGUGGGCAUUUCUGCCCAAAGGACCCCGUGCGCACGGGCCAAGUUAGCCCCAUGUGCACGGGGUGUCCAGAAACUCACUGAAGAACAUCACCGGACACCGCAACGAAGCAUGCAACAAAGGCAAAUAACAACAAACAAGAGAUAAUUAGUGGAUGCUCUGAGAAUUUGAAUUUCAAAUGAGCUUGGCAUACCACAUAGUGACUAGAUAAGAUUGAAUAUCAAUACUAUGUGGCAUUUCUCAUAUUCACAUUUUGGGUUUGUGAUGUGCACAAAACAUAGCACUCCCCCAUAAUGUGAUGAUCCACUAAUAUCUCGCAAGAGCCAAACAAGCUACAAUAAAGGCUUAAAACAACAAGCACCACUAUAUGAUGUGCAAUGCAACCUACACAUGCUAGAUAACACAAAUCAAGCAUACUAGAAAAUACAACAUAUAAAUGCACAUGCUAGAUACAAAACCUAAGCAUGCAAGGGGCGAGAACUUUCAAUGUAAGCAAUAAAAAUACAAGUUACGGCAAGGAGGAACAUUGGAUAGAUAAAAUGACGAUAAACCACAUGACUUGGCUCGAACAAAUAAAUGAUGAAUAUUCUUUUCUUCAUGGACUAGCCAAAUCUCCAAUGUCCUCCACACACCUAUUGAUCAAGUUUGAGCUUGAUGGUCCCCAACCAAGUUGGGUACUAAGAAGUUAGUCACAAUAGGCUUGGCAACCCAAAUGGUCUUUUCCAUUUCCAAACCACUUUGGGCACCAACAAACUUGGCAAACAAAUUGCCAACAACAUCCUUCCUAAGCGAAUAAUGAUCAUUGACGAGAGGAGGCUUAGGGAUGUUACUGUUGGGACAAGAUGAGGAUACGUGUCCCUUCUCACGACAAAUAUAGCAACAUGUGCUCCCCCUUCUCUUCUUCUUUAUUUCAUCAACUUGGGGAGCAUUAUCUUUGUUCAUCAUUGGUAGUGGCCUUUCUUCAACAUGAGGUUGACCUUGAGAUUGAACUUGAGGACACUUCCCUUGAUGCUUCACAUUUGAAGCCUUCUUCUUCAAUGGACAAUAUCUCACAUGGUGUCCAACAUUCUUGCACUUGAAGCAUGUAAUGUUGGUCGGAUUCUUGACUUGAUCUUGUCCCUUCUUCUUUCUCUUGGACUUCUUCUUGUUGGAGAUGAAACCAAGUCCGCCCUUGUCAUGAGGGGAUUUUUGAACACUCAAGAUAGCAUUGAGAGAGGUAUUUCCUUCAUGACAUAUUUCCAAGUCUUUCUUUAAAAUAGUGACUUGGGCCUUGAGCUCUUUGUUUUCCUCUACAAGGUUAGUAUCAACAAAAGUACUAGAGGAAGUAGAAGCUUCAUUGUUAGAGCAACAAGGCAAGGAGAGCAAUUCAUCACAAAAAUUAGCAAUAAUAUGUCUAGAUGAAUCACUAGGACUAGCACAUGUCAAUAAAGCAUUUUGAGUAGAAUUAGUGCUAAUGUCCACAUGAGGCUCACAUGUUACCUUAGUAAAAAUAGCCUCAUGAGCUAACUUUAGCCUUUCAUGGGAAAUUAGAAGGUCAUCAUGAAAGCCCGAGAGCUUUUCAUGACUUUCUUCUAAUCUUCCAUAAUUGCUAGUUAGCAAAGCAAGUUGAGCCCUUAGCUCAACAUUCUCCUUCAAGAUAGAUGCUUCACAAGAAGUAGAGUUAGUAGCACAAGCAUCAUUGAUAAUAUGAGAGGAGCUAGAAGAAACUAGAGACUUCACAUGAGUAGCUUGAAGUUCCUCAUAAGACUUAGAGAGUUUGGUGAGCUCUCCUUUGACAUUCUUGUAGACAAGGUCAAGGUGCUCAAAAUCCUCUUUAAGUUGAUCAUGAGCAACUUCAAUCUCUUCUUUAGAAGACUCUAAGUCUCUAAGAGUUUCUAGAGCAUCAAGAAGGUUACAAUCAAGUUUUUAAUUUUGUUCUUGCUCUUCGUGAAGUAAAUCAUUACACUUUCCAAAAUGAGUGAUAAGAUCUUUAAACAUCUCAUAAGUGUUCUUAUUUACCCCACGAAGAGAAUUACCAAUUUCAUAUAUUUCUUGACUCAUAUCCCUAUCACAUUCAUCAUUACUCUCAUCAAUAUCAUUACAAAGAGUAGAUGAUACCUCAGUAUUACCUCUUGCCAUGAGGCUCAUGUGAACAUCGGAGGUUGAUGAUGAUUCUUUUGGAGAGGGAGUUUCUUUAUCAUCAAGAGUAGGAUAUCCAUGUCCAUGCUCUUGACACUCAUAGCAUUUCCUCUCCAACAAGGUGAUGUCCUUCUUUGCUCCUCUAGCAAUUUCCUCAUUAAUGAUGUGUGCACUAUUUUCUCUUGUUUCCUCUACAUGGUUAGUCAAACAACAACUAGAGGAAAUAGAAGCAAAUAGAUCAUGGAAACAAGGAGUAUCAAGCAUAUCAUCACAAAAGGUAUUCAAGGAAUCUCCAAAUGAUAUGCAUGGACUAUCAACACAAGAAUGUAAGUCAUUUUUGCUAGAUAUGCUCAAGUCCAUAGAAUCUACAACACUACCAUGUAUACAUGUAAGAUCAUCAAUGUUGAUCACAUCAUCACAAUCAUCACAAAUGAUAUUUUCACUCACCAUGUUAUUACCUUGGGACAUGCCACAUGAUGGUGAGGCGGAAGAAGUUGAAAUGUCCAAGUACACGGAGGAAGAAGCAAUAUGGAGAUCUUCAUGAUUUGAAGAUGUGGAGACCUCCUCAAUUAACUCCUCCGAAAGAUGAUGAAUAUCAACAAGAUUGGACCCACCAUAUAUUUCUUCAAGUUUGGUCCACAUAUCAUGAGCCGUCACACAAGUCAUGAUAGACUCAAAUACUUUGAGGGAUAUAAACCGGAUUAUGGCAUUCUUAGCACUAUAUCCACAAAGCAUAUCAUCAUUUUCCUCACUAGUUGGAAAAAGGUCAUCCUUCCACGGAGAAGCCCCUACAAGAACAAUUCGUACAAAACUUGGACCCAUGGUCCGGAAAUGACAGAGCAUGCGAAUUUUCCACAAGUGAUAGUUUGUGCCACUAAAACAAAAGGUGUCAUCAUGCACUAUACCACUAGUCGACAUCUUUACUCUCUAGGCGAUGAAGCCUGCCAAGGAGAGACCAAAGCUCUGAUACCAAUUGAAAUGAUCUAGAUGACGACUAGAGGGGGGGUGAAUAGGAGUUUUAAAACUUUUAUAGAUUUGGCUUUAUCCUAAUGCGGAAUUAAACUAACGGAUACUUUUCAAGCACAAAUCCUAAAUAUGCUAGGCUCAACUAAGUGCACCAACAACCUAUGCUAAACAAGAUAGGCAAUUAAGCAAACUAGCAAGCACAAACUAUAUCACAAGAUAUAUCAAUAUGGGCAAGUAUGAAUUGCAGAAAGUAAAGGGUGUGGGUAUGAGAUAACCACAAGUGAGUCGGGGACGCGGAUUUAUCCCGAAGUUCACACUCGUGAGAGUGCUAAUCUCCGUUAGAGCGGUGCCGUAGCCAAAGCUCCGGGGCGUCACCAAGUGACUCACCGUAUUCUCCCUUUCGAGUCACCCCCAAUGGAUGAGCCUCGGUUCACUCGGGGUUGGUCUUGAAGGCGACCACCACACCUUUACAAACCUCUCCGGAGCACACCACAACCACGGAAGCUUCCGGAGGAACUUGACCACCUAGGCCACUUUAACACCCUUCCUCGAAGCACACCACAAAAGGAAGCUUCCAGGGGAACCUUGGCCACAUAGGCCUCUUCACAAUGUUCUCAAAUAUAUCACCAAACCGUCUAGGAGGCGAAGCCUCCAAGAGUAAUAAACUCACGGGCUCUCACACGAACAAAUCGAUGCGGGGAGCUCAAACCAAUGCAACAAAUGCAAUGCAAGGUCAAGCAACAAAUGCUCAACUCACUCUCUCAAUCUCACAAGAUGCAACUCAAGAAAGUGGGAGAUUGAAGAGAGGGGAUGCAAUGGAGGAAAUCAACAAAUGACUCCAAGAUCCAUCCACAAAUACCCCUUCACUUAGAAGGGAGAUAGGGGUUUGGGAGAGGUGGUAAGAGGCUCAAAAUGAUGUUUAGAAUGUGAAUCAACAACACCCAAACCGGUGGGGAGGAAGGGCUCUUUUAUAGCCAACUUCCAAAACUAGCCGUUGGGGCUCCAACGGACACUUCCUGGACACCCCGUGCCCACAGGGGUUUAGACCCCAUGCCCACGGGGUCCCGUGCGCACGGUACAAGCCCGUGUGCACGGGGCCUCGUGCCCACGGGGGUCAAAAACCCUGUGUCCACCGGGUACCCAGAACAGCCUGCAGCAGCCCACUAAAACAGUGAUAACUUUGGCAUACGGACUCCAAAUUCGAUGAUCUUGGGCUCGUUUCGAAGCUAUGGAAAAGCUCAAGGUCCUCACAUAGAGAACCACCCAAGAUCAACAAUAAAUAAUGAUGCAAGUAAUGCAAAGGUUUGAGCUCUCUACAUGCGACAUGAUCAAGCUACUUGCCCGAGAGUCCCUCUUGAUAGUACGGCUAUCAAACCUAUAAUCCGGUCUCCCUCCAAGCACCAUGAGACCAGAAAAACUAGGAAAACCUAGCUAAGGUAUACCUUUGCCUUGCAUAUUCAACUUGAGUUUGGUGAUGACUCCAAUGCUUGUCUCAAGUUGGAAUCCCUUUCUUGUCCACAACCACUUGGUGAAGAUGCUUGAAUUGAUUCCUCAUAUUGCAAUGAGGGAAGCCUUAACUUAAGACCAUAUUCACAUGAGAAUUAUCAUGAUGUGGAGCGCAAGCUUCAAAGCAGAUAACCUCCGGCUUCUCAUCUUGCACUUGGACUCCUCGAACCCGAUGACCAUCACCACUUGAUGUCAUCCACACAUAGGCUACUUGAGAUCUUUCCUUUUGAUGCAAACCCAUGAGAAACACCUAACCCACAUAGACAUACCAAACACAUAGCAUGGGUUAGGUAACAAAGCACAAUUCACAAUUACUUACCAUACCACUAGAUCACUUGAUCUCACGUGGUACAAUGUUUGUGCUUUGAGAGUUGACCACUUAGAUAUAAUCUUCGAGCUUCAUCUUGGUCAACCAACAUCUUUACUCGAAGCUCCAUCUUGGUUUCUUGAAAUCCACAAUGAACUCUUCAUUUCCCUUCAUUGCUUCAAGACUAUAUCACCAAAGACUCUUCCAUGACCAUAUCAAGUUCCACUAUGAAUAUCAUCUUGGUCACCACUUGCCCUUCUAAAAAACUCCAUCACAAUCUCUUGAGAGGCAUAAUGAAUUCGUCACUCUAGUUGCUUGCUUCAAGACUUGAUCAACCGAAACCCAACACAUGAGCUCACCAUGAUCUUGUCUUGAGACCAUAACUUGAAUUCUUCUCUUCGAUUAUUCUCUCAAGCCCUUGAUCCUUAAAAGCCCUCCAUCAUAAUAUCUUGAGAGGCACAAUGAAUUCUUCUCUCUAAUUGUUUUCUUCAAGACUUGAUCAACCUAAACCCAACACAUGAGCUCACCAUGAUCUUGUCUUGAAACCAUAACUUGAAUUCUUCUCUUUGAUUACUCUCUCAAGCCUUGAUCCUCGGAAGCCCAAAUAUAUCAAUCUUUGAGAUCCUCCAAUGCACUCCAUCAUGAACAUAAUUAGAUUAGGCAUUGAAACCAAUCUUGAUGGCUUCAAUAGAAGUACCCGAAGACCAACUUGAAACAUCACUGGAUAUGGGAUCUCGAGAGCCAACACCUAGGCCCCGUGAGCACGGGGUAUCCAGAGAGUUGACACUCGACCCCGUGCGCAAGGUACAAGCCCGUGUGCACGGGGUAUCCAGAGAAGGAUACCAUGAGGACUUCUUCAGAUGCUUUGAUGGCAGACUUCACAAAACAACCCAAUGCACUUCAAGCAUCACUAUGGAACAUAUCUUCAUAUAAGAUUCAAUGCACUUGAUGCUCCAUAGGAAUUGUCAUUUAAUACCAAAGCAUAGGGCAAAUAUAUCUUCAUAUAUAUGGACUUCAUCCUUGAUUCCGUCCAAUAUCCUUGAGGCACUAUCUUCAUAUAUAUAUGGACUUCAUCCUUGAUUCCGUCUAAUAUCCUUGAGGUACUAUCUUCAUAUAUAUGGACUUCAUCCUUGAUUCCGUCCAAUAUCCUUGAGGCACUAUCUAUGGACAAAACCUUCAAAUAUAUCUCAUUGAAAACAUUAGUCCAUAGAGAUUGUCAUUUAAUUACCAAAACCACACUUAGGGGCUACAUGCCCUUUCAUCCGUGUUCCGAGGCCAUGUCUGUACAUGCUAGGCUCGUCAAGUCAACCUAAGUCUAUUGCGUGUGUAAAUCUGGCUUACACCCGUUGUAUUUGAAUGUUAGAAUCUAUCACACCCGAUCAUCACGUGGUGCUUCGAAACAACGAACCUUCGCAACGGUGCACAGUUGGGGGGAACAGUUUCUUGAAAUUAUUGCGAGGGAUCAUCUUAUUUAAGCUAUCGUCGUUCUAAGCAAAUAAGAUGCAAAACAUGAUAAACAUCACAUGCAAUCAAAUAGUGACAUGAUAUGGCCAAUAUCAUUUUGCUCCUUUGAUCUCCAUCUUCGGGGCGCCAUGAUCAUUGUCGUCACCGGCAUGACACCAUGAUAUCCAUCAUCAUGAUCUCCAUCAUCGUGUCUUCAUGAAGUUGUCUCGUCAUCUAUUACUUCUACUACUAUGGCUAAUGGUUUAGCAAUAAAGUAAAGUAAUUACAUGACUUUAUAUGUUGACACGCAGGUCAUAAAUAAAUUAAGACAACUCCUAUGGCUCCUGCCGGUUGUCAUACUCAUCGACAUGCAAGUCGUGAUUCCUAUUACAAGAACAUGAUCAUCUCAUACAUCACAUAUGUCAUUCAUCACAUCCUUUGGCCAUAUCACAUCACAAAACACUUGCUGCAAAAACAAGUUAGACGUCCUCUAAUUGUUGUUGCAAGUUUUUACAUGGCUGCUAUAGGUUUCUAGCAAGAAUGUUUCUUACCUAUGCCAAAACCACAACGUGAAUUGCCAGUUUCUAUUUACCCUUCAUAAGGACCCUGUUCAUCGAAUCCGAUCCGACUAAAGUGGGAGAGACAGACACCCGCUAGCCACCUUGUGCAACUAGUGCAUGUCAGUCGGUGGAACCAGUCUCACGUAAGCGUACGUGUAAGGUCGGUCCGGGCCGCUUCAUCCCACAAUGCUGCCGAAUCAAGAUAAGACUAGUAACGACAAGAUAAUUGACAAUAUCGACACCCACAACUGCUUUGUGUUCUACUCGUGCAUAGAAACUACGCAUAGACCUAGCUCAUGAUGCCACUGUUGGGGAUCAUAGCAGAAUUUAAAAUUUUCUACGCAUCACCAAGAUCAAUCUAUGGAGUAUUCUAGCAACAAGGGGAAUAGGAGUGCAUCUACAUACCCUUGUAGAUCGUGAUCGGAAGCGUUCAAGUGAACGGGGUUGAUGGAGUCGUACUCGUCGUGAUCCAAAUCACCAAUGAUCCUAACGCCGAACGGACGGCACCUCCGCGUUCAACACACGUACGGUUAGGAAGACGUCUCCUCCUUCUUGAUCCAGCAAGGGGGAAGGAGAGGAUGAUGGAGAUCCAGCAGCACGACGGCGUGGUGGUGGAUGCAGCAGGGUCUCGGCAGGGCUUCGCCAAGCACCAACGAGAGGGAGAGGUGUUACGGGAGGGAGAGGGAGGCGCCAGGGGCUAGGGUGCGCAGCCCUCCCUCCCCCCUCUUUAUAUAGGGGCCCUGGGGGGCGCCGGCCCCUCUAGAUCCCAUCUAGAGGGGGGGCGGCGGCCUAAAAUUUUCUACGCAUCACCAAGAUCAAUUUAUGGAGUAUUCUAGCAACGAGGGGAAUAGGAGUGCAUCUACAUACCCUUGUAGAUCGCAAGCGGAAGCGUUCAAGUGAACGGGGAUGAUGGAGUCGUACUCGCCGUGAUCCAAAUCACCAAUGACCAAGUGCCGAACGGACAGCACCUCCGCAUUCAACACACAUACGGUCGGGAAGACGUCUCCUCCUUCUUGAUCCAGCAAGGGGGAAGGAGAGGUUGAUGAAGAUCCAGCAGCACGAUGGCGUGAUGGUGGAUGCAGCAGAGUCUUGGCAGGGCUUCGCCAAGCACCAACGAUCGGGAGAGGUGUUAUGGGAGGAGGAGGGAGGCGCCAGGGGCUCAGGUGCGGCUGCCCUCCGGGUGGCUUGCCCCCCAAGCCAAGUGGGGCGCCCCCACCCCUAGGGUUCCCCAACCCUAGGCGCAGGGGAGGCCCAAGGGGGGCGCACCAACCCACCUGGGGCUGGUUCCCCUCCCACUUCAGCCCAUGGGGCCCUCCGGGAUAGGUGGCCCCACCCGGUGGACCCCCGGGACCCUUCCGGUGGUCCCGGUACAAUACCAGUGACCCCCGAAACUUUCCCGAUGGCCGAAACUGGACUUCCUAUAUAUAAAUCUUUACCUCCAGACCAUUCCGGAACUCCUCAUGACGUCCGGGAUCUCAUCCGGGACUCCGAACAACUUUCGGGUUACUGCAUACUAAUAUCUCUACAACCCUAGCGUCACCGAACCUUAAGUGUGUAGACCCUACGGGUUCGGGAGACACGCAGACAUGACCGAGAUGCCUCUCCGGUCAAUAACCAACAGCGGGAUCUGGAUACCCAUGUUGGCUCCCACAUGCUCCACGAUGAUCUCAUCGGAUGAACCACGAUGUCGAGGAUUCAAUCAAUCCCGCAUACAAUUCCCUUUGUCAAUCGGUACGUUACUUGCCCGAGACUCGAUCGUCGGUAUCCCAAUACCUUGUUCAAUCUCGUUACCGGCAAGUCACUUUACUCGUACCGUAAUGCAUGAUCUCGUGACCAACUCCUUGAUCAAAUUGAGCUCAUUAUGAUGAUGUCCUACCGAGUGGGCCCAGAGAUACCUCUCCGUCAUACGAAGUGACAAAUCCUAGUCUCGAUUCGUGCCAACCCAACAGACACUUUCGGAGAUACCCAUAGUGCACCUUUAUAGCCACCCAGUUACGUUGUGACGUUUGGCACACCCAAAGCACUCCUACGGUAUCCGGGAGUUGCACAAUCUCAUGGUCUAAGGAAAUGAUACUUGACAUUGGAAAAGCUCUAGCAAACGAACUACACGACCUUUUGUGCUAUGCUUAAGAUUGGGUCUUGUCCAUCACAUCAUUCUCCUAAUGAUGUGAUCCCGUUAUCAAUGACAUCCAAUGUCAAUAGCUAGGAAACCAUGACUAUCUGUUGAUCAACGAGCUAGCCAACUAGAGGCUCACUAGGGACACGUUGUGGUCUAUGUAUUCACACAUGUAUUACGAUUUCCUGAUAACACAAUUAUAGCAUGAAUAAUAGACAAUUAUCAUGAACAAGGAAAUAUAAUAAUCAUUUUAUUAUUGCCUCUAGGGCAUAUUUCCAACAGAAAUUGCCGCGAUCAAGAAGGUGUCCCUAGUGAGAAGAAACACCUUGCCGCCGCGCUGCCGCUGAUGGCGAGCACCGACAACGUCUGGAAGGAGACGACGCCCCUGGCCGGCUCUGUUGAGCAAGGGACCCUGGCCGGGACAUUCUAUCCCUUCUUCCUCCAUGGCGUCUUUGCGGGGCUCGUCCCGCCUUUCUCCAAGUUCUUCACCGCCGUUCUCGACCAUUAUUAGGUUCAGGCUCUGCAUGUUCAGCCCAACUCCAUCCUUCUCCUGCCGAUCUUCACCUUUUACUGUGAGGCAUUCGUGGGCAUGACGCCCUCCGUCGCGCUCUUCCGCCACUUCUUCUAUCUUCGGAUGCACGACCCAUCCCAGCGCUCUGGCAGCAUCUCCUUCCCCGCGGUCCACAGCGGCAACACACUCAUGAGGGUCGGGAAGAAGGUGGAGAACUUCCGACGCAAGUGGGUCUUCAUAGACGCCAGGGGCCUCCAUGCGCGGCUGGAGUUGCCGACUGAGCUGCCGGAGAAGCUUGAUCGGUGGGGUCAUGAGAAGCUCACGGACCCCCAAGCGAUGUCAGUCCUGAGGAAGAUAACAGCGGACAUGGAGGUCAAGGUGCUAAAGGGGGCCAUGCUUGUCAAGGAGUUCCUGACAUAGUGCCAGGCCCCGCUCCAGGCAUGCUCGCGCCCCCUAUGUGUGUUCAAAGGCGCAGAGGACAACAUCCGGCUAUGCCCGGGGAGCCUGACGGGUGAGGAGCUAGACAAGGCCAUGCACACCCUGCUUGAGAAGGAUCCGGGCAGCCUCCCAGUGGCCUACAUCCCGCUGUACCGUCGUGCCGACAGGGCGGCAUUGGUCGCCGCCAUGGCCGUCAGCAACGAUCUGGGGCUCGUGCCGCUUGAGCUCCCCAACUCACCGGUGUUGGUGUCUUCCGACGACGAUGCCGAGGAGAAGGGGAAGGACGACUCGAAGGCGACUGUGGAUGAUGUGGCGGAGACCUCUCCCCGUCACAGAGCGAGCUUCUCCCGACCUCUCCGACAAUGACGAUGCCGCCGAGCCCCCGGUCGAGGAAUCCCUGUGCUCCACCGGGGUCGUCACGAGGUCCAGGGCCACUCGUCCGGCCCUGCGGAGGCUAGGCCGGGCGACCUCGAAAAAGGGCGGGGCGGCACCCCGUCCUCGAGGUGAAGUCGCCGCCUUGCCGACCAUUGGUGUCGCACCGAGGCCAGUCGUCGUUCGCCCCACCAACCCUCAGGACGCGGCAGGGUCCGCUCCCAAGAAGAUUGGGGGCGCCCUGGCACCAGUUAGGAAAAGGGCGUACAUUGCCUCCGACGAGUAAGCAUCUUACCUUGUUUUCGCUUGUCACCCUCGAUACCUGUUCCCACAACGCUCCCCUCCUGAUGACUAGGACGGACGUCGUGGUGACGAAGAGGAAGGAGGGGUCCAGGACCUCGAAGGUGACACCGCCCGCCCCGGCCGUGGUGGUCUUGCCGCAGACGGACGAGGUCGCCUCGCGCUCCCUUGCGACGGAGCGGGCCCCUCAAGGUACACGGCGGAGCCUCAGAAGGAGUCUGCUUCCGUGGGUGAUGGGACCCGACUAGUUGGCGAGUCGUUCGCAGGUCCAAUCUUUCAUGGUACUCAACGAAGUAACAAGAAUGUCGACGAACUCGUCGCAACAGCAACAACGUAUGUAGAAGUAGUCAAACGGCUCUUCGGAUCAAGCGGAGAUGCAAGAAGACCAAAGAACAAAAAGGAACUUGCGCAAGAACUCGAUUGGAUCAAAUUCUACGCGUAGCAACUCUGAAAUCCCUCACGGAUCAGCAAACACAAGGAUUUUUAUGCAUCCCAUCAUGAUGCGUUUUCUGUAUUUUAUUCAACUCCAAUCUGUCCCGCAUGACAAACUUCUUGAUGCAUGUAACUUGUUCUGGUGGCCGUGGCGUCCAAAGAAAUAACCAACUUGAUUUAUUCUGUUUGAGUCCAAAACAAACUCUUGCAUGCCCACGUAGUACACAACUUGGUGUCUACUAAUUGAUUUUUGGUUGGACCCACUUCCAUGCAUGCGUGCUCUUUCAUGUCCUAAUUUAUGGGAAUAUAGAAACAUAUCUCCUUUUUUCUUGCUCACCAUUUGUACAGCUAUGUCACGCUUAGUUGUGGCGCCUACUAAUCCAUCUACAUAUUGGAAAACGUCUAUGGCAUAUUCAGUACUAGGUGUAGACGUUGUAUCAUCAGCUAUCGUCGUAGUUAAUUUACACGUGGUUGUAUCAUCCUCUCCUCCUUGAAACGAAACCGUCCUCGGUUUCGAGUCGAUCUCUUCAACAGUAUUUUUCUUUGUGGACUGAACGACGACAGUAAGAAUUUCAGCGACUCUGACUUUCUUCUUUUCUUCUUCUUUGUGCUCUUUUAUCCUCUCAAGAUGUUUUUUCCUCCAAGAAAUAAAACGCUCUUCAUCCAUGGGCACAAGAUUGCACUUUUACCCUUCUUGAUAGUAUAUGUAUGUGUAUGAUAAUCAUACAUAACAUCAUGUUCUUUGUACCAUGGCUCACCCAACAACAAGUGGCAUGAAACCAUCGGCGCCGGAAUCACAUCGCACAAAACCUCGCAAAAGAAUUUUCCCAAUAAAAACGAUACCUUAGUUUGGUGCGUGACAGUGAGCUCUUCAUGACCCCAACGGAAUAAGUAUGGUUUUGGAUGAGCUGUUAUUGGCAUCUCCAACUUCUCCACCAUCUCGAUGCUUGCUGCGUUGAUCAAAUUCAUGUGAUCGAUCGUCAUAGCACAUGAUCUCUCUCUCACUACCACACGGGUGUGAAAAAGCCCACUCCAACGGCCUUCCUCCUCCAACUGAAAUCCAUAACUUAACUUACUGAAUAACGAUGCGCUCGCCAUCUUCUCUAUAGUGUCGUGAACAACCUGAUGCUCUGAAUACCACCUGAUGUGACCCGACUAGAUGGCGAGUCGUUCGUAGGUCCAAUCUUUCACGGUACUCAACGAAGUAACAAGAAUGUCGACGAACUCGUCGCAACAGCAACAACGUAUGUAGAAGUAGUCAAACGGCUCUUCGGAUCAAGCGGAGAUGCAAGAAGACCAAAGAACAAAAAGGAACUUGCGCAAGAACUCGAUCGGAUCAAAUUCUACGCGUAGCAACUCUGAAAUCCCUCACGGAUCAGUAAACACAAGGAUUUUUGGUGCAUCCCAACAUGAUGUGUUUUCUGUAUUUUAUUCAACUCCAAUCUGUCCCGCAUGACAAACUUCUUGAUGCAUGUAACUUGUUCUGGUGGCCGUGGUCGUCCAAAGAAAUAACCAACUUGAUUUAUGUUGUUUGAGUCCAAAACAAACUCUUGCAUGCCCACGUAGUACACAACUUGGUGUCUACUAAUUGAUUUUUGGUUGGACCCACUUCCAUGCAUGGGUGCUCUUUCAUGUCCUAAUUUAUGGGAAUAUAGAAACAUAUCUCCUUUUUUCUUGCUCACCAUUUGUACAGCUAUGUCACGCUUAGUUGUGGCGCCUACUAAUCCAUUUACAUCUUGGAAAACGUCUAUGACAUAUUUUUUUUUGAAACGGAGUCUAUGACAUAUUCAAUACUAGGUGUAGACGUUGUAUCAUCAGCUAUCGUCGUAGUUAAUUUACACGUGGUCGUAUCAGUGGGCCAGCAGGCUCCGGAGCUGAAAGGAUCGAGAAGAGGUGUCUAGAGGCGGGGGUGAUUAGACACUCAACAAGUAAAUGUGGCAAUUUUUAAGUUCUUCAAGUUGAGGUUGAGAUUAGCACAAAUUUAGGCAUUCAUAAUACAUUUCAAGCAAGCAUGGCAAGAGUAUAUGAGCAGCGGAAAGUAAAGCAUGCAAGUUGCAAAAAAGUAAAGGGAUUUUUUUUUGAAAGAUCCAGCAUCGCUGGCAUUUCAUUGAUAAUAGCAGGAAGCAGCGGAAAACAAUAAGGUGGUGAAGGUCCUAGGACCAGAUCCGAAGAUCAAAGAAAGAGAAAAAAAGAAAAGAAACAACAGCCCUAAUAGCUGCAGCACAACACUCCAUACAAUCCAUACUAGGCAGCAUAGCUCCGACUCCGACGAAGAAACUACUAAGUAAACAGGCAGGGAUGGCGUCACGGAGGAUCACCGAACGAGCCAUCUGUCACACAUCAUCGUAUACCACCGGCCCCCCACCACGGCUUCGACUUCACAACAACAGGCGGUCGAGGCACACCCACGGACACGCCAGAGAAGAAGAUCUGACUACCACGACCAAGGCCACGCAUCCAACAUUGCUCACCGUCGUCAUCGUUGCCACAGAAGCCACCGUGCACGUCCAGCCGCAGGAAGCACUGAUGGGAUCAAGGUCUUCAAGACGGCGCCCUAAAGAGGGGAACAACGUUGAAGACGACGCCACCGCCCGACCCUACAGCAGGAUCUAGGUUUUCACCCGAAGAACUUGAUCCGGGAGUAGAGGCUGUGAAGAUUCCCGACGACACCUCCAAGGAGGAUAGAGACGCCCACGAGCGCCGUCGUCGCCGGCCGGCUAGCACCGGCCAGGCUACUCGCCCGGGGCAGCCACUCCCACGCAGUCGGCCGAGGCCGACCCGUACCUCCAUUGGACCGUGCACCCCCCACACAGCGAGCGCGCCAACGCUGUGCAAGGCCACCAGCAAGCCUCCUUGUCGACGGGCCUGCAGGAAACCAGAUCUGGUCCUGCACCCCGCGUCCAAACCACGGGCGAAGCCUGAAGGAAAUAUGCCCUAGAGGCAAUAAUAAAGUUAUUAUUUAUUUCCUUAUUUCAUGAUAAAUGUUUAUUAUUCAUGCUAGAAUUGUAUUAACCAGAAACAUAAUACAUGUGUGAAUACAUAGACAAACAUAGUGUCACUAGUAUGCCUCUACUUGACUAGCUUGUUAAUCAAAGAUGGUUAUGUUUUCUAACCAUAGACAUGUGUUGUCAUUUGAUUAACGGGAUCACAUCAUUAGGAGAAUGAUGUGAUUGACAAGACCCAUUCCAUUAGCCUAGCACUUGAUCGUUUAGUAUGUUGCUAUUGCUUUCUUCAUGACUUAUACAUGUUCCUGUAACUAUGAGAUUAUGCAACUCCCGUUUACCGGAGGAAUACUUUGGGUGCUACCAAACGUCACAACGUAACUGGGUGAUUAUAAAGGAGUACUACAGGUGUCUCCAAAGGUACAUGUUGGGUUGGCGUAUUUCGAGAUUAGGUUUUGUCACUCCGAUUGUCGGAGAGGUAUCUCUGGGCCCUCUCGGUAAUGCACAUCACUAUAAGCCUUGCAAGCAAUGUAGCUAAUGAGUUAGUUACGGAAUGAUGCAUUACGUAACGAGUAAAGAGACUUGCCGGUAACGAGAUUGAACUAGGUAUUGGAUACCGACGACCGAAUCUUGGGCAAGUAACAUACCGAUGACAAAGGGAACAACGUAUGUUGUUAUGCGGUUUGACCGAUAAAGAUCUUCGUAGAAUAUGUAGGAGCCAAUAUGGGCAUCCAGGUUCCGCUAUUGUUUAUUGACCGAGAAUAGUUAUAGGUCAUGUCUACAUAGUUCUCGAACCCGUAGGGUCCGCACGCUUAAGGUUUCGAUGACAAUUAUAUUAUGAGUUUAGGAGUUUUGAUGUACCGAAGGAGUUCGGAGUCCCGGAUGAGAUCAGGGACAUGACGAGGAGUCUCGAAAUGGUCGAGACAUAAAGAUCGAUAUAUUGGACGACUAUAUUCGGAGUUCGGAAAGGUUUCGAGUGAUUCGGGUAUUUUCGGGAGUACGGGGGAGUUAUGGGAAUACGGGGAAGAGUAUUGGGCCUUAAUGGGCUUUAGUGGGAAGGAGCCAGGAGGUGGCGCGCGCCCCUCCCAAGCCCAGUCCGAAUUGGACAAGGGUUUUGGGGCAAUAAUAAAUUAGUUAUUAUUAUAUUUCCUUGUUCAUGAUAAUCAUUUAUUAUCCAUGCUAUAAUUGUAUUGAUAGGAAACUCAGAUACAUGUGUGGAUACAUAGACAACACCAUGUCCCUAGUAAGCCUCUAGUUGACUAGCUCGUUGAUCAAUAGAUGGUUAUGGUUUCCUGACCAUGGGCAUUGGAUGUCAUUGAUAACGGGAUCACAUCAUUAGGAGAAUGAUGUGAUGGACAAGACCCAAUCCUAAGCAUAGCACUGGAUCGUGUAGUUCGUAUGCUAAAGCUUUUCUAAUGUCAAGUAUCAUUUCCUUAGACCAUGAGAUUGUGCAACUUCCGGAUACCGUAGGAGUGCUUUGGGUGUGCCAAACGUCACAACGUAACUGGGUGGCUAUAAAGGUACACUACGGGUAUCUCCAAAAGUGUCUGUUGGGUUGGCACGAAUCGAGACUGGGAUUUGUCACUCCGUGUAAACGGAGAGGUAUCUCUGGGCCCACUCGGUAGGACAUCAUCAUAAUGUGCACAAUGUGAUCAAGGAGUUGAUCACGGGAUGAUGUGUUACGGAACGAGUAAAGAGACUUGCCAGUAACAAGAUUGAACAAGGUAUAGGGAUACCGACGAUCGAAUCUCGGACAAGUACAAUACCGCUAAACAAAGGGAAUUGUAUACGGGAUUGAUUAAGUCCUUGACAUCGUGGUUCAUCCGAUGAGAUCAUCGUGGAACAUGUGGGAGCCAACAUGGGUAUCCAGAUCCCGCUGUUGGUUAUUGACCGGAGAGUCAUCUCAGUCAUGUCUGCAUGUCUCCCGAACCCGUAGGGUCUACACACUUAAGGUUCGAUGAUGCUAGGGUUACAAAGGAAGUUUGUAUGUGGUUACCGAAUGUUGUUCGGAGUCCCGGAUGAGAUCCCGGACGUCACGAGGAGUUCCGGAAUGGUCCGGAGGUAAAGAUUUAUAUAUGGGAAGUCCUGUUUUGGUCACCGGACAAGUUUUGGGGUCACCGGUAUUGUACCGGGACCACCGGAAGGGUCCCGGGGGUCCACCGGGUGGGGCCACCUGCCCCGGGGGGCCACAUGGGCUGUAGGGGUGUGCACCUUGGCCUAUAUGGGCCAAGGGCACCAGCCCCAAGAGGCCCAUGCGCAAAAGGAUAAGGAAAGGAAGAGUCCUAAAGGGGGAAGGCACCUCCGAGGUGCCUUGGGGAGGAGGGACUCCUCCUAGCCGCACCCUUCCUUGGAGGAAGGGCCAAGGCUGCGCCUCCCCCCCUCUCCCUUGCCCCUAUAUAUAUGUGGGGGUGGGAGGGCAGCCAUACCAAUGUUCUGGUGCAGCCCUCCCCUUCUCCCAAGUCCUCUCCUCUCCUGUGGUGCUUGGCGAAGCCCUGCAGGAUUACCACGCUCCUCCACCACCACCACACCGUUGUGCUGCUGCUGGAUGGAGUCUUCCUCAACCUCUCCCUCUCUCCUUGCUGGAUCAAGGCAUGGGAGACAUCACCGGGCUGUACGUGUGUUGAACGCGGAGGUGCCGUGCGUUCGGCAUUUGGUCAUCGGUGAUUUGGAUCACGACGAGUACGACUCCAUCAACCCCGUUCUCUUGAACGCUUCCGCUUUGCGAUCUACAAGGGUAUGUAGAUGCACUCUCCUUCCCCUCGUUGUUGGUCCCUCCAUAGAUAGAUCUUGGUGACACAUAGGAAAAUUUUGAAUUUCUGCUACGUUCCCCAACAGUGGCAUCAUGAGCUAGGUCUAUGCGUAGUUUCUAUGCACGAGUAGAACACAAAGUAGUUGUGGGCGUUGAUUUUGUUCAAUAUGCUUACCGUUACUAGUCCAAUCUUGAUUCGGUGGCAUUGUGGGAUGAAGCGGCCCGGACCGACCUUACACGUACUCUUACGUGAGACUGGUUCCACCGACUGACAUGCACUAGUUGCAUAAAGGUGGCUAGCGGGUGUCUGUCUCUCCCACUUUAGUCGGAUCGGAUUCGAUGAAAAGGGUCCUUAUGAAGGGUAAAUAGCAAUUGGCAUAUCACGUUGUGGUUUUUGCGUAGGUAAGAAACGUUCUUGCUAGAAACCCAUAGCAGCCACGUAAAACAUGCAAACAACAAUUAGAGGACGUCUAACUUGUUUUUGCAGGGUAUGCUAUGUGAUGUGAUAUGGCCAAAAGGAUGUGAUGAAUGAUAUAUGUGAUGUAUGAGAUUGAUCAUGUUCUUGUAAUAGGAAUCACGACUUGCAUGUCGAUGAGUAUGACAACCGGCAGGAGCCAUAGGAGUUGUCUUAAUUUAUUUAUGACCUGCGUGUCAACAUAAACGUCAUGUAAUUACUUUACGUUAUUGCUAACCGUUAGCUGUAGAAGUAGAAGUAAUAGAUGACGAGACAACUUCAAGAAGACACGAUGAUGGAGAUCAUGAUGAUGGAGAUCAUGGUGUCAUGCCGGUGACAAGAUGAUCAUGGAGCCCCAAGAUGGAGAUCAAAGGAGCUAUAUGAUAUUGGCCAUAUCAUGUCACUAUUAUUUGAUUGCAUGUGAUGUUUAUCAUGUUUAUACAUCUUAUUUGCUUAGAACGACGGUAGUAAAUAAGAUGAUCCCUCAUUACAAUUUCAAGAAUGUGUUCUCCCCUAACUGUGCACCGUUGCUAAAGUUCGUCGUUUCGAAGCACCACGUGAUGAUCGGGUGUGAUAGAUCCUUACGUUCACAUACAACGGGUGUAAGACAGUUUUACACAUGCAAAACACUUAGGGUUAACUUGACGAGCCUAGCAUGUGCAUAGACAUGGCCUCGGAACACAGAAGACCGAAAGGUCAAGCAUGAGUCGUAUAGUAGAUACGAUCAACAUGAAGAUGUUCACCGACGUUGACUAGUCCGUCUCACGUGAUGAUCGGACACGACCUAGUUGACUCGGAUCAUGUAAUCACUUAGAUGACUAGAGGGAUGUCUAUCUGAGUGGGAGUUCAUAAGAUGAACUUAAUUAUCUUGAACAUAGUCAAAAGGUCUUCGCAAAUUAUGUCGUAGCUCGCGCUUCAGUUCUACUGUUUAGAUAUGUUCCUAGAGAAAAAUUUAGUUGAAAGUUAAUAGUAGCAAUUAUGCGGACUAGGUCCGUAAACUGAGGAUUGUCCUCAUUGCUUCAUAGAAGGCUUAUGUCCUUAAUGUACCACUCAGUGUGCUGAACCUCGAACAUUUUCUGUGGAUGUUGCGAACAUCUGACAUACACAUUUUGAUAACUACGUGAUAGUUCAGUUAAACGGUUUAGAAUUGAGGCACCGAAGACGUUUUUGAAACGUCGCGAAAUAUAUGAGAUGUUUUGAGGGCCGAAAUUGGGAUUUCAGGCUCGUGCCCACGUCAAGAGGUAUAAGACCUCCGACGAUUUUCUUAGCCUGCAAACUAAGGAGAAAAGCUCAAUUGUUGAGCCUGUGCUCAGAUUGUCUGAGUACAACAAUCAUUUGAAUCGAGUGGGAGUUUAUCUUCUAGAUGAGAUAGUGAUGUUUCUCCAAAGUCAUUGCCACCAAGCUGCUAGAGCUUCGUGAUGAACUAUAAUAUAUCAGGGACAUAUAUGAUGAUCCUUGAGAUAUUCGCGAUGUUUGACACCGCGAAAAGUAGAAAUCAAAAGGGAGCAUCAAUCGUUGAUGGUUAGUAAAACCACUAGUUUCAAGAAGGGCAAGGGCAAGAAAGGGAUACUUCAUGGAACAACAAAUCAGUUGCUGCUCUAGUGGAGAAACCCAAGGUUGAACCCAAACCCGAGACCGAGUGCUUCUUAAUAAGGGGAACAGCCACUGGAGCAGAAUUACCCUAGAUACUUGGUAGAUGAGAAGGCUGGCAAGGUCGAUAGAAGUAUAUUGGAUAUACAUUGUGUUGAUGUGUACUUUAUUAGUACUCCUAGUAGCACCAGGGUAUUAGAUACCGGUUCGGUUGCUAAGUGUUAGUAACUCGAAAUAAAAGCUACGGAAUAAACGGAGACUAGCUAAAGGUGAGCUGACGAUAUGUGUUGGAAGUGUUUCCGAUGUUGAUAUGAUCAAGCAUCGCACGCUCCCUCUACCAUCGAGAUUGGUGUUUACGUUGAGCAUAGACAUGAUUGGGUUAUGUCUAUCGCAAUACGGUUAUUCAUUUAAAGAGAAUAAUGGUUACUCUGUUUAUUUGAAUAAUACCUUCAAUGGUCUUACACCUGAAAUGAAUGGUUUAUUGAAUCUCGAUCGUAGUAAUACACAUGUUCAUGCCAAAAGAUAUAAGAUAGUAAUGAUAGUACCACCUACUUGUGGCACUGCCACGUAAGUCAUAUCGGUAUAAAACGCAUGAAGAAGCUCCAUGUUGAUGGAUCUUUGGACUCACUCAUUUUUGAAAGUUUGAGACAUGCGAACCAUGUAUAUUGGUAUAUAUGCAUGAAGAAACUCCAUGCAAAUGGACCGUUUUGACUCACUUGAUUUUGAAUCACUUGAGACAUGCAAAUCAUACCACAUGGGCAAGAUGACUGAAAGCCUCGGUUUCAGUAAAAUGGAACUAGAAAGCAACUUGUUGGAAGUAAUACAUUUUGAUGUGUGCAGUCCAAUGAGUGCUGAGGCGUGUAGUGGAUAUCGUUAUGUUCUUACUUCACAGAUGAUUUGAGUAGAUGUUGAGUAUAUUUACUUGAUGAAUCACGAGUCCGAAUUAUUGAAAGGUUCAAGUAAUUUCAGGGUGAAGUUGAAAGAUCGUCGUGAGAAGAGGAUAAAAUAUCUAUGAUAUGAUCAUAGAGAUGAAUAUCUGAAUUACGAGUUUGGCACAGAAUUAAGACAUUGUGGAAAUUGUUUCACAACUAAUACAGCCUGGAACACCAUAGUGUGAUGGUGUGUCCGAACAUCAUAACUGCACCCUAUUGGAUAUGAUGCAUACCAUGAUGUCUCUUAUCGAAUUACCACGAUAGUUUAUGGGUUAGGCAUUAGAGACAACCACAUUCACUUUAAAUAGGGCACCACGUAAUUCCGAUGAGAUGACACCGUAUGAACUAUGGUUUAGAGAAACCUAAGCUGUCAUUUCUUAAAAGUUUGGGGCUGCGGCGCUUAUGUGAAAAAGUUUCAGGCUGAUAAGCUCGAACCCAAAGCGGAUAAAUGCAUCUUCAUAGGACACCCAAAACAGUUGGGUAUACCUCCUGUCACAGAUUCGAAAGCAAUAAGGAAUUGUUUCUAGAAUCGGGUCCUUUCUCGAGGAAAAGUUUCUCUCGAAAGAAUUGAGUGGGAGGAUGGUGGAGACUUGAUGAGGUUAUUGAACCGUCACUUCAACUGGUGUAUAGUAGGGCACAAAGAGUUGUUUCUGUGGCACCUACACCAAUUGAAGUGGAAGCUUAUGAUAGUGAUCAUGAAACUUCAGAUCAAGUCACUACCAAACCUCGUGGGAUGACAAGGAUGCGUACUACUUCAGAGUGGUACGUGAUCCUGUCUUGGAAGUCAUGUUGCUAGACAACAAUGUACCUACAAGCUAUGAAGAAGCAAUGGUGGGCCCGGAUUCCGAUAAAUGGCUCGAGGCCAUAAAAUCCGAGAGAGGAUCCAUGUAUGAAAACAAAGUGUAGACUUUGGCAGAAUAGCUCCAUGGUCGUAAGGCUGUUGAGUGCAGAUGGAUUUUAAAAGGAAGACGGACAAUGAUGGUAAAUGUCACCAUUAAGAAAGCUCGACUUGUCGUUAAGAAGUUUCUCGACAAGUUCAAGGAGUUGACUGCGAUGAGACUUUCUCACUCGUAGCGAUGCUAAGAGUCUGUUGGAAUUAUAUUAGCGAUUACUGCAUUAUUUAUGAAAUCUUGCAGAUAGAAUGUCAAAACAUUGUUUCCUCGAUGAUUUUCUUGAGGAAAGGUUGUAUGUGAUACAACCGGAAGGUUUUGUCAAUCCUGAAAGAUGCUAAUAAGUAUGCAAAGCUCCAGCAAUCCUUCUAAGGACUGGAGUAAGCAUCUCGGAGUUGGAAUGUACGCUUUGAUGAGAUGAUCAAAGAUUUUGGGUUUAUACAAAGUUUAUGAGAAACUUGUAUUUCCAAAGAAGUGAGUGGGAGCACUAUAGAAUUUCUGAUAAGUAUAUGUUGUUGACAUAUUAUGGAUCAGAAAUGACGUAGAAUUUCUGGAAAGCAUAUAGGGUUAUUUGGAAAGUGUUUUUCAAUGGAAAGCCUGGAUUAAGCUACUUGAACAUUGAGCAUCAAGAUCUAUAAGGAUAGAUCAAAAUGCUUAAUGGUACUUUCAAAUGAGCACAUUCCUUGACAUGAUCUUGAAGGUGUUCAAGAUGGAUCAGUCAAAGAAGGAGUUCUUGCCUGAGUUAUAAGGUAUGAAGUUAAGACUUAAAGCUCGACCACGGCAGAAUAGAGAGAAAGGACGAAGGUCGUCCCCUAUGCUUAAGACAUAUGCUCUACAGUAUGCUAUGCUGUGUACCGCACCUGAAGUGUGCCUUGCCAUGAGUCAGUCAAGGGGUACAAGAGUGAUCCAAGAAUGGAUCACAGUACAACGGUCAAAGUUAUCCUUAGUAACUAGUGGACUAAGGAAUUUUCUCGGUUAUGGAGGUGAUAAAGAGUUCGACGUAAAGGGUUACGACGAUGCAAGCUUAACACCUAUCCGGAUAGCUCUGAGUAGAGAUACCGGAUACGUAUAAUGGAGCAACAAUUUAGAAUAACUCCAAGUAGAACAGUUAUUUGAAAUGGCUCCAAAUAGAGCGUGGUAGCUGCAUCUAGGAGAUGACAUAGAGAUUUGUAAAGCACACACGGAUCUGAAAGGUUCAGACCCGUUGACUAUAACCUCUCUCACAGGCAUAACAUGAUCAAACCCAGACCUCUUUGGGUGUUAGUCACAUGGGGAUGUGACCUUGAGUGUUAAUCACAUAUCGAUGUGAACUGGAUUAUUGACUCUAGUGCAAGUGGGAGACUGUUGGAAAUAUGCCCUAGAGGCAAUAAUAAAUUAGUUAUUAUUAUAUUUCCUUGUUCAUGAUAAUCGUUUAUUAUCCAUGCUAUAAUUGUAUUGAUAGGAAACUCAGAUACAUGUGUGGAUACAUAGACAACACCAUGUCCCUAGUAAGCCUCUAGUUGACUAGCUCGUUGAUCAAUAGAUGGUUACGGUUUCCUGACCAUGGACAUUGGAUGUCAUUGAUAACGGGAUCACAUCAUUAGGAGAAUGAUGUGAUGGACAAGACCCAAUCCUAAGCAUAGCACUAGAUCGUGUAGUUCGUAUGCUAAAGCUUUUCUAAUGUCAAGUAUCAUUUCCUUAGACCAUGAGAUUGUGCAACUUCCGGAUACCGUAGGAGUGCUUUGGGUGUGCCAAACGUCACAACGUAACUGGGUGGCUAUAAAGGUACACUACGGGUAUCUCCGAAAGUGUCUGUUGGGUUGGCACGAAUCGAGACUGGGAUUUGUCACUCCGUGUAAACGGAGAGGUAUCUCUGGGCCCACUCGGUAGGACAUCAUCAUAAUGUGCACAAUGUGAUCAAGGAGUUGAUCAUGGGAUGAUGUGUUACGGAAUGAGUAAAGAGACUUGCCGGUAACAAGAUUGAACAAGGUAUAGGGAUACCGACGAUCGAAUCUCGGGCAAGUACAAUACCGCUAGACAAAGGGAAUUGUAUACGGGAUUGAUUAAGUCCUUGACAUCGUGGUUCAUCCGAUGAGAUCAUCGUGGAACAUGUGGGAGCCAACAUGGGUAUCCAGAUCCCGCUGUUGGUUAUUGACCGGAGAGUCAUCUCGGUCAUGUCUGCAUGUCUCCCGAACCCGUAGGGUCUACACACUUAAGGUUCGAUGACGCUAGGGUUACAAAGGAAGUUUGUAUGUGGUUACCGAAUGUUGUUCGGAGUCCCGGAUGAGAUCCCGGACGUCACGAGGAGUUCCGGAAUGGUCCGGAGGUAAAGAUUUAUAUAUGGGAAGUCCUGUUUUGGUCACCGGACAAGUUUCGGGGUCACCGGUAUUGUACCGGGACCACCGGAAGGGUCCCGGGGGUCCACCGGGUGGGGCCACAUGGGCUGUAGGGGUGUGCACCUUGGCCUAUAUGGGCCAAGGGCACCAGCCCCAAGAGGCCCAUGUGCCAAAGGAUAAGGAAAGGAAGAGUCCUAAAGGGGGAAGGCACCUCCGAGGUGCCUUGGGGAGGAGGGACUCCUCCUAGCCGCACCCUUCCUUGAAGGAAGGGCCAAGGCUGCGCCUCCCCCCUCUCCCUUGCCCCUAUAUAUAUGUGGGGGGUGGGAGGGCAGCCAUACCAAUUUUCUGGUGCAGCCCUCCCCUUCUCCCAAGUCCUUCUCCUCUCCCGUGGUGCUUGGCGAAGCCCUGCAGGAUUACCACGCUCCUCCACCACCACCACGCCGUUGUGCUGCUGCUGGAUGGAGUCUUCCUCAACCUCUCCCUCUCUCCUUGCUGGAUCAAGGCAUGGGAGACGUCAUCGGGCUGUACGUGUGUUGAACGCGGAGGUGCCGUGCGUUCGGCAUUUGGUCAUCGGUGAUUUGGAUCACGACGAGUACGACUCCAUCAACCCCGUUCUCUUGAACGCUUCCGCUUUGCGAUCUACAAGGGUAUGUAGAUGCACUCUCCUUCCCCUCGUUGCUGGUCCCUCCAUAGAUAGAUCUUGGUGACACGUAGGAAAAUUUUGAAUUUCUGCUACGUUCCCCAACAAUGUUGUGAUGUGAUAUGGUCAUGACAUGAUGAGAUAUAAAUUGUUGUAUGAGAUGAUCAUGUUUUGUUGAAGUUAUCGGCAACUGGCAGAAGCCUUAUGAUUGUCUCUUUAUUGCAUAAGAUGCAAGCGCCAAAUAAUUGCUUUACUUUAUCUCUAUGCGAUAGCAAUAGUUGCAAGAGCAAUAGUUUGCGAGACAACCAUGUGAUGACACAUUGAUAUAGAUCAAGAUGAUGGAGAUCAUGGUGUCAUGCCGGUGACGAUGGAGAUCAUGACGAUGCUUUGGAGAUGAAGAUCAAAGGCACAAGAUGAUGAUGGCCAUAUCAUGUCACAUAUUUUUUAUUGCAUAUGAUGUUUAUCUUUUAUACAUCUUAUUUUGCUUUAGUUUGACGGUAGCAUUUUAAGAUGAUCUCUCACUAAUUAUCAAGAAGUGUUCUCCCUGAGUAUGCAACGUUGCUAAAGUUCUUCGUGCUGAGACACCACGUGAUGAUCGGGUGUGAUAGGCUCUACGUUCAAAUACAACGGGUGCAAAACAGUUGCAUACACGGAAUACUUAGGUUAAACUUGACGAGCCUAGCAUAUACAGAUAUGGCCUCGGAGCACGGAGACCGAAAGGUCGAGCGUGAAUCAUAUAGUAGAUAUGAUCAACAUAGUGAUGUUCACCAUUGAAAACUACUCCAUCUCACGUGAUGAUCGGUUAUGGUUUAGUUGAUUUGGAUCACGUGAUCACUUAGAUGACUAGAGGGAUGUCUAUCUAAGUGGGAGUUCUUUAGUAAUAUGAUUAAUUGAACUUAAAUUUAUCAUGAACUUAGUCCUGGUAGUAUUUUGCAAAUUAUGUUGUAGAUCAAUAGCUCGCGUUGUUGCUUUCAUAUGUUUAUUUUGAUAUGUUCCUAGAGAAAAUUGUGUUGAAAAAUGUUAGUAGCAAUGAUGCGGAUUGGAUCCGCGAUCUGAGGUUUAUCCUCAUUGUUGCACAGAAGAAUUAUGUCCUUAAUGCACCGCUAGGUGACAGACCUAUUUCAGGAGCAGAUGCAGACGUUAUGAACGUUUGGCUAGCUCAAUAUGAUGACUACUUGAUAGUUUUGUGCACCAUGCUUUAUGGCUUAGAAUCGGGACUUCAAAGAUGUUUUGAGCAUCAUGGACCAUAUGAGAUGUUCCAGGAAUUGAAGUUAAUAUUUCAAGCAAAUACCCGAGUUGAGAGAUAUGAAGUCUCCAACAAGUUCUAUAGCUAAAAGAUGGAGGAGAAUCGCUCAACUAGUGAGCAUGUGUUCAGAUUGUCUGGAUACUUCAAUCGCUUGAAUCAAGUGGGAGUUAAUCUUCCAGAUAAGAUAGUGAUUGACAGAAUUCUCUAGUCACCAUCACUAAGUUACUAGAACUUCGAGAUGAACUAUAGUAUGCAAGGGAUGACGAAAACGAUUCCCGAGCUCUUCGUGAUGUUGAAAUCAACGAAGGUAGAAAUCAAGAAAGAGCAUCAAGUGUUGAUGAUUAACAAGAUCACUAGUUUCAAGAAAAAGGCAAAGGGAAAAGAAGGGGAACUUCAAGAAGAACGGCAAGCAAGUUGCUGCUCAAGUGAAGAAACCCAAGUCUGGUCCUAAGCCUGAGACUAAGUGCUUCUACUGCAUAGGGACUGGUCACUGGAAGCAGAACUACCCCGAGUAUUUGGCGGAUAAGAAGGAUGGCAAAGUGAACAAAGGUAUAUUUGAUAUACAUGUUAUUGAUGUGUACUUUACUAGUAUUUAUAGCAACCCCUUGGUAUUUGGUACUGGUUCAGUUGCUAAGAGUAGUAACUCGAAACGGGAGUUGUAGAAUAAACAGAAACUAGUUAAGGGUGAAGUGACGAUGUGUGUUGAAAGUAGUUUCAAGAUUGAUAUGAUCAUCAUCGCACACUCCCUAUACUUUCGGGAUUAGUGUUGAACCUAAAUAAAUGUUAUUUGGUGUUUGCGUUGAGCAUGAAUAUGAUUUGAUCGUGUUUAUUGCAAUACGGUUAUUCAUUUUAGUAAGAGAAUAAAUUGUUGUUCUGUUUACAUGAAUAAAACCUUAUAUGGUUACACACCCAAUGAAAAUGGUUCAUUGGAUCUCGAUCAUAGUGAUACACAUAUUCAUAAUAUUGAAACCCAAAGAUGCAAAGUUAAUAAUGAUAGUGCAACUUAUUUGUGGCACUGCCGUUUAGGUCAUAUUGGUGUAAAGCGCAUGAAGAAACUCCAUGCUGAUGGGAUUUUGGAAUCACUUGAUUAUGAAUCACUUGGUACUUGCGAACCGUGCCUCAUGGGCAAGAUGACUAAAACGCCGUUCUCCGGAACUAUGGAGCGGGCAACUGAUUUGUUGGAAAUCAUACAUACUGAUGUUUGUGGUCCAAUGAAUGUUGAGGCUCACGGCGGGUAUCGUUAUUUUCUGACCUUCACAGAUGAUUUGAGCAGAUAUGGGUAUAUCUACUUGAUGAAACAUAAGUCUGAAAUAGUUGAAAGGUUCAAAGAAUUUCAGAGUGAAGUGGAAAAUCAUCGUAACAAGAAAAUAAAGUUUCUGCGAUCUGAUCGUGGAGAUGAAUAUUUGAGUUACGAGUUUGGUCUUCAAUUAAAACAAUGUGGAAUAGUUUCGCAAACUCACGCCACCUGGAACACCACAAUGUAAUGGUGUGUCCGAACAUCAUAAUCGUACUUUACUAGGUAUGGUGCGAUCUAUGAUAUCUCUUAUCAGUUUAUCACUAUUGUUUUGGGGUUAUGCAUUAGAGACAGUUGCAUUCACGUUUAAUAGGGCACCAUCUAAAUCCGUUGAGACGACACCGUAUGAACUAUGGUUUAGCAGUAAACCUAAGCUGUCGUUUCUUAAAGUUUGGAGUUGCGAUGCUUAUAUGAAAAAGGUUUUCAACUUGAUAAGCUCGAACCCAAAUCGGAGAAGUGCGUCUUCAUAGAAUACCCAAAGAAAACUUUUGGGUACACCUUCUAUCACAGAUCCGAAGGCAAAACAUUCGUUGCUAAGAAUGGAUCCUUUCUAGAGAAGGAGUUACUCUCGAAAGAAGUGAGUGGGAAGAAAGUAGAGCUUGAUAAGGUAAUUUGUACCUUCUCCCGAAUUGGAAAGUAGUUCAUCACGGAAAUCAGUUCCAGUGAUUCCUACACCAAUUAGUGAGGAAGCUAAUCAUGAUGAUCAUGAAACUUCAGAUCAAGUUACUACAAAACCUCUUAGGUCUUCCAAAGUACAGUCCGCACCAGAGUAGUACGGUAAUAUUGUUCUGGAAGUCAUGUUACUAGACCAUGAUGAACCUACGAACUAUGAGGAAGCGAUGAUGAGCCCAGAUUCCGCGAAAUGGCUUGAGGCCAUAAAAUCUGAGAUAUGAUCCAUGUAUGAGAACAAAGUAUGGACUUUGAUUGACCUGCUCAAUGAUCAGCAAGCCAUAUUAAAUGGAUCUUCAAGAGGAAGACAGACACUGAUAGUAGUGUUACUAUCCACUAAGCUCGACUUGUUGCGAAAGGUUUUCAACAAGUUCAAGGGGUUGAAUACGAUGAGAUUUUCUCACUCGUAUCGAUGCUUAAGUCUAUCCGAAUCAUGUUAGCAAUUGCCACAUUUUAUGAAAUCUGGCAAAUGGAUGUCAAAACUGCAUUCCUUAAUGGAUUUAUUAAAGAAUAGUUGUAUAUGAUGCAAUCAGAAGGUUUUGUCAAUCCUAAAGAUGCUAACAAAGUGUGCAAGCUCCAGCAAUCCAUCUAUGGACUGGUGCAAUCAUCUCAGUGUUGGAAUAUACGCUUUGAUAAGUUGAUCAAAGCAUAUAGUUUUAUACAGACUUGCGGUGAAGCCUGUAUUUACAAUAAAGUGAGUGGGAGCACUACGCCUUUCUGAUAAAUAUAUGUGAGUAACAUAUUGUUGAUCAGAAAUGAUGUAGAAUUUUUCUGGAAAGCAUAAAGGAGUAUUUGAAAGGAGUUCUUUAAAAGAAAGACCUUAGUAAAGCUACUUACAUAUUGAGCAUCAAGAUCUAUUGAGAUAGAUCAAGACGCUUGAUAAGAUUUUCAACGAGUACAUACAUUGGCAAGAUUUUGAAAUAGUUCAAGAUGGAACGGUCAAAGAAAGAGUUCUUGCCUGUGUUGCAAAGGUGUGAAAUUGAGUAAGACUCAAAUCCCGACCACAGCAGAAAAUAGAAAAGAGAAUGAAAGUCAUUCCCUAUGCCUCAGUCAUAGGUUCUAUAAAGUAUGCUAUAUACCAGACCUAUUGUAUACCUUGCUCUGAAUUUGGCAAGGGAGUACAAUAGUGAUCUAGGAGUAGAUCACUGGACAUUGGUCAAGAAUAUCCUUAGUGAGGACUAAGGAAAUAUUUCUCGAUUAUGGAGGUGAUAAAAGAGCCCGUCGUAAAGAGUUACAUCGGUGCAAGCUUUCACACCGAUCCAGAUGACUCUAAGUCUCAAUCUGGAUACAUAUUGAAAGUGGGAGCAAUUAGCUAGAGUAGCUCCGCGCAGAGCAUUGUAGACAUAGAAUAUUUGCAAAGUACAUACGGCUCUGAAUGUGACAGACCCGUUGACUAAGUUUCUCUUACAAGCAAAACAUGAUCACACCUUAGUACUCUUUGGGUAUUAAUCACAUAGUAAUGUGAACUAGAUUAUUGACUCUAGUAAACCCUUUGGGUGUUGGUCACAUAACGAUGUGAACAAUGGGUGUUAAUCAUAUACAGAUAUGAAUAUUGAUGUUAAAUCACAUGGCGAUGUGAACUAGAUUAUUGACUCUAGUGCAAGUGGGAGACUGAAGGAAAUAUGCCCUAGAGGCAAUAAUAAAGUUAUUAUUUAUUUCCUUAUUUCAUGAUAAAUGUUUAUUAUUCAUGCUAGAAUUGUAUUAACCGGAAACAUAAUACAUGUGUGAAUACAUAGACAAACAUAGUGUCACUAGUAUGCCUCUACUUGACUAGCUUGUUAAUCAAAGAUGGUUAUGUUUCCUAACCAUAGACAUGUGUUGUCAUUUGAUUAACGGGAUCACAUCAUUAGGAGAAUGAUGUGAUUGACAUGACCCAUUCCGUUAGCCUAGCACUUGAUCGUUUAGUAUGUUGCUAUUGCUUUCUUCAUGACUUAUACAUGUUCCUGUAACUAUGAGAUUAUGCAACUCCCGUUUACCGGAGGAACACUUUGGGUGCUACCAAACGUCACAACGUAACUGGGUGAUUAUAAAGGAGUACUACAGGUGUCUCCAAAGGUACAUGUUGGGUUGGCGUAUUUCGAGAUUAGGUUUUGUCACUCCGAUUGUCGGAGAGGUAUCUCUGGGCCCUCUGGGUAAUGCACAUCACUAUAAGCCUUGCAAGCAAUGUAGCUAAUGAGUUAGUUACGGAAUGAUGCAUUACGUAACGAGUAAAGAGACUUGCCGGUAACGAGAUUGAACUAGGUAUUGGAUACCGACGAUCGAAUCUCGGGCAAGUAACAUACCGAUGACAAAGGGAACAACAUAUGUUGUUAUGCGGUUUGACCGAUAAAGAUCUUCGUAGAAUAUGUAGGAGCGAAUAUGGGCAUCUAGGUUCCGCUAUUGGUUAUUGACCGAGAAUAGUUCUAGGUCAUGUCUACAUAGUUCUCAAACCCGUAGGGUCCGCACGCUUAAGGUUUCGAUGACAGUUAUAUUAUGAGUUUAUGACUUUUGAUGUACCGAAGGAGUUCGGAGUCCCGGAUGAGAUCAGGGACAUGAUGAGGAGUCUCUAAAUGGUUGAGACGUAAAGAUCGAUAUAUUGGACGACUAUAUUCGGAGUUCAAAAAGGUUCCGAGUGAUUCGGGUAUUUUCGGGAGUACCGGGGAGUUACAGGAAUACGGGGAAGAGUAUUGGGCCUUAAUGGGCUUUAGUGGGAAGGAGCCAGAAGGUGGCGCACGCCCCUCCCAAGCCCAGUCCGAAUUGGACAAGGGUUUUGGGGCGCGGCCCCUCUCUCCCUUCCUUCUCCACUUCCCUCCUUUCCCCCCUUCUCCUAGUUGGAUAGGAAAGAAGGAGUCCCAGGACUCCCCUUGGCGCGCCCUCCUCCUAGGGCCGGCCUCCCCCUCCCUUGCUUCUUUAUAUACGGGGGCAGGGGGGCACCCCAUGACACACAAGUUGAUCUUCGUGAUCGUUCCUUAGCCGUGUGCGGUGCCCCCCUCCACCAUAUUCCACCUCGGUCAUAUCGUCGCGGAGUUUAGGCCAAGCCCUGCGCCGGUAGUACAUCAUCAUCGUCACCACGCCGUCGUGCUGACGGAACUCAUCCCCGAAGCUUUGCUGGAUCGGAGCCCGGGGAUCGUCAUCGAGCUGAACGUGUGCUGAACUCGGAGGUGCCGUACGUUCGGUACUUGGAUCGGUCGGAUCGUGAAGACGUACGACUACAUCAACCGCGUUGUCAUAACGCUUCCGCUUACGGUCUACGAGGGUAUGUGGACAACACUCUCCCCUCUCGUUGCUAUGUCAUCACCAUGAUCUUGCGUGUGCGUAGGAAUUUUUUUGAAAUUACUACGUUCCCCAACAAAGCCUUCCUGCUCCAGCAAUCGCCAACGGGCACCGCCAGCCGCCGGUAGAAUCCCCGCCCGUGCCGCCAGCCCACCGCAGACCUGCCAGAUCCAGGUCCCCCGCCGAACACCACACGCAGUCCAGCCGAGCAGCCACGCCGCGCACACCACGACGACCACCGUCGCCCAGCCGAGCCGCCGCGAUCACCACGCNNNNNNNNNNNNNNNNNNNNNNNNNNNNNNNNNNNNNNNNNNNNNNNNNNNNNNNNNNNNNNNNNNNNNNNNNNNNNNNNNNNNNNNNNNNNNNNNNNNNNNNNNNNNNNNNNNNNNNNNNNNNNNNNNNNNNNNNNNNNNNNNNNNNNNNNNNNNNNNNNNNNNNNNNNNNNNNNNNNNNNNNNNNNNNNNNNNNNNNNNNNNNNNNNNNNNNNNNNNNNNNNNNNNNNNNNNNNNNNNNNNNNNNNNNNNNNNNNNNNNNNNNNNNNNNNNNNNNNNNNNNNNNNNNNNNNNNNNNNNNNNNNNNNNNNNNNNNNNNNNNNNNNNNNNNNNNNNNNNNNNNNNNNNNNNNNNNNNNNNNNNNNNNNNNNNNNNNNNNNNNNNNNNNNNNNNNNNNNNNNNNNNNNNNNNNNNNNNNNNNNNNNNNNNNNNNNNNNNNNNNNNNNNNNNNNNNNNNNNNNNNNNNNNNNNNNNNNNNNNNNNNNNNNNNNNNNNNNNNNNNNNNNNNNNNNNNNNNNNNNNNNNNNNNNNNNNNNNNNNNNNNNNNNNNNNNNNNNNNNNNNNNNNNNNNNNNNNNNNNNNNNNNNNNNNNNNNNNNNNNNNNNNNNNNNNNNNNNNNNNNNNNNNNNNNNNNNNNNNNNNNNNNNNNNNNNNNNNNNNNGAUGCCACCGGCCCGCGCCAGCCAGCCCCGGGCGGAGGAGGAAGAGGGCCCCGCCGCUGCCGAGCCGCGCGGGCUUCGCCCGACGACCUCUGUCGGCGGUGGCGAGGGGAGGAGGGGAGGGUGGGUGGGGUGCUGGCGGCGGCUAGGGUUUGCUCCCGAGCCGCUCGCGGGAGCGACACGAGAGCGAAUGCAAAAAAAAAGAAAGUAAAGGGAUGGGAUUGAAGUGUGGAAACACAAUGAAGACACGGAGAUUUUUGGCGUGGUUGCGACAGAUGGUGCUGCAGCGCAGCGGCCACGUGGAGCCCUUUAGUCCCGGUUUAUAACACGACCGGGACUAAAAGGGGUGCAUUUAGUCCUGAUUGCUAGUCCCCUUUUUGUUGUGCGGCACAUCGGUGCCCUAAUAUUUCUUACAUGAGCGUUCAUCUAACUCGGAUCAAAUAUUGGAACGUGUAGUGGUGGCUAGACAAUCAAGAGGUGGAGGCGGUGAGGCCACCAGCAUCCAUCCCGUUUACCAAGUUUGAAAAAAGAGCUGCAAAUCAAAUUUUCAAGUAAAAUUUUCUUAUUUGAAGAAAGCACACAUGAGAUGCCAGUAACUGAUCCUCCAAUCACAGCUUUUCUUCGCGGAUCGGUGACGUGCCGUCCGUUCUUGAUUGAUCGCGACACUCGGUGCGUCCCACCUGUAAUUGUCUCGUGGUAGCCCCAUACCAUGUGUCCAAAAACUGGCGCGCCCAUUAUUUAGUCGUGGAAAAGGCAAGCCGUGAACGGGACGAUAGCCGUGGAGCAUGCAAAGGAAACGUCGAGAUCACCGCUUUCCUAUUAAAAACCGUUGAUUGAUUCCCGGGCGGACCACGGUUGUCGGGAGCGGCCGGUAGGCUGGACUCGUUGGACGCGUGUCCACCGUUCGGCUGGCUAUAUAAUGAGGACCAUCCAUGUAGGCUUGGCCUUGCGCCCCCCUGUUCUUCUUCCUCCCCUCUAGCAGCAGUCCAAGAAGUUAUUCUUCCUCCCUCAGCAAUGGCAGUCGACGUGUCCAACUCAUCGCUCUUUCAGUCAGGCCCCAUGUUUGUUCGAGUUUUCCUUUGUCUCGUGCACACGGAAGGAACCAGUCAGCAUGAGCCGCUGGCUGAUUUCUCCUUCUUUCAAGGAGAGAAAGAGAAAUCGCUCGUUCGAUCUUCUGACGAAGUUUUGAAGAGAAGAGGAAGCCUCAUCAGAUGUAGGUUUUUCCCCGUAUAAUUUAGCUUUCUAGAUCCUUUUUGUUUUAUAUAUAAUAACUAUGGUCUGUUCUUCAUCAUUCAUAAAUAACAAACAGGGAAAAACAUCAGAAGACGACGUUGGGCUUCUUAGUUGGGCUUUUUAGUGCUACUAAGAGGCCUAGCCCACAGAUCCACAGGCCAAUGGCCCGCGCCCUGGGCUUCUUAGUUGGGCUUUUUAGUGCUACUAAGAGGCCUAGCCCACAGAUACACAGGCCGAUGGCCCGCGCCCUUGUCGAUAUCCUACUACUCACAUCCGCUAUCCCCCGCAAACCCCCACCGUCUCCCUCUCCUGCGGCCGCUGUACCGCCCCUCGCGUCCGCCGGAACUCCGGCGCCUCGCAAGCCCCCCCGGCCGCCCCGGCCGCCGGCAAGGACUUUCACUCAUCGUAAGUUUCCAAUUCCCUCCUCUCCAUCCGAUUAGAUUCGGGUUUAGGGUUUCUUUCCGAUCUGGUCGAAUUUCGUCGCGAUUAGGGUUUACGGUUUCGUCCCGAUCUGGUCGGAUUUCGUCCCUCCUCUCCUUCCGAUCUGGUCGAAUUUCGUCGCGAUUAGGGUUUAGGGUUUCGUCCCGAUCUGGUCGGAUUUCGUCGCGAUUAGGGUUUAGGGUUUCGUCCCGAUCUGGUCGGAUUUCGUCGCGCCAUCUGGUACAGAUCUGCUGUUUUUAGUCGCGAUGGGAAUGUGCUGACCCGGCCCAAAAUCUCGAGGCCAAUGGGCCAGGCGGGUUGGCCUUAAUCAAUACACGGGUCAGUGGAGCCGGCACCGUGCGACCCGAUGGAUCACACGGGUCGACCCAGCCAGAGCAGAGCUACGGUCCGCCCGUCCCCGACCGUCCCCACCGCCGCCCGGCAUUCCUCCCGCUCCUGCUGUGCCUUGAGCUUGCUGUCCAAGCACAGGUAGCUGUAGGGGCUGUGCAAUUUCUUGCGUCCUGUUUUGGCUGUAGGCUGUAGCAGCGGCUGUGCAAUUUCUUGCUAGCUAGGAUUUAUGUUGAUUUCUUGCGUGUUGCAUACGUAGUUGCAGUGGCUAGGCACAUGUUAUUUUCUGCAAAAAUGAUUAGUAGCUAGGAUUUAUGUUUGAAAUUGAGAUUGCUUAAAUCUGCAUAAGUGAUUUUGAAGAAUUCCCUUGUGUUCUCUGACUGAGAUGAAUCUUCCAUACUUAUGCUAAGUAGGCAUAUGGAUAGUAGUACUGAAGGACCUUUAGUAUUUGCAAUCCUAUCUUUUCAUUUUCAGACCGUCCUUACAUUGCAUUGCAUUAUGCUAAAGAUAUGUUAGAUUUCUCUAUAACCUAGAUGUGAAAAGAUUAGCAUGUUGAACCUGUAAUCUUUUGUUCUUGUCUGAGUCUAUUGGAUUGAGGUCUUUAGCUUAUGCUCUUUCAAACCUGUUAUCUUUUGAUCUUGUUCCUCAGGAAAUGGCAUUGACCGUUGAUGCCUCUGCGAUGGGAAAAUUUGAGUUUGCAUAUCAGGAUGAUAGCUUCUGCGACAAGGUCCUCCGUUUGGAAGUCGUUGCACCUAGACCUGCUCCCAAACCCGCUGCCGCCAACCUUGAUGCCAGCCUUGGUCCUAACUCUAUCCUUCCGGUCUCCAGGAAGAGGGCACGAGUUGGUAUAUUGUCUCCCCUCUAGCUAAAUUAAGGCUCUCAUUUCCUAAAUCCAUUAAUAUAUUCAAUGUUAUUUGAAUGCAGAGGAUGCUAGUUUAGAUGAAUCUUCAGUGACAUUAUAUAAUAAGGUUAGCAUUCAUCUACUUGUCUUGUAUAAUAAGGUUAGCAUUCAAUAGGUGUAACCAAUGAGUAUUAUUGUCACUGAUCAAGAUGUACGUUUGAUUUUUGAUGUGCGUUUCUGUGUAUGUUCACAAUCUAUACUGUAUUGUUAAUGAUUGUUUGAUUACUUUGCAAUUUUUAGUUCUCAUUUAUUCCUCCGUUAUUAUGUGGGCAGGAGCUGGAAAAGGAGGGAAUCACUAAACAGACUGGCACAGGUGAAUGUCUAAGAAUGUUCGAUACUUCAUUUCUUCAGUAUCAUAGUGUCAUUGCUUUUAACUUGUUAUGUUUUUAAUUUUUUGGGACAUGUUCUUCCCUUCUCAGAUCAUGAUCCAGAUGAUUCAGAUUUGAAUGUAAACAACAAUGAAAAUGUGGAUCCUAACUCUAUCCUUCCGGUCUCCAGGAAGAGGGCACGAGUUGGUAUAUUGUCUCCCCUCUAGCUAAAUUAAGGCUCUCAUUUCCUAAAUCUAUUAAUAUAUUCAAUGUUAUUUGAAUGCAGAGGAUGCUAGUUUAGAUGAAUCUUCAGUGACAUUAUGUAAUAAGGUUAGCAUUCAUCUACUUGUCUUGUAUAAUAAGGUUAGCAUUCAAUAGGUGUAACCAAUGAGUAUUAUUGUCACUGAUCAAGAUGUACGUUUGAUUUUUGAUGUGCGUUUCUGUGUAUGUUCACAAUCUAUACUGUAUUGUUAAUGAUUGUUUGAUUACUUUGCAAUUUUUAGUUCUCAUUUAUUCCUCCAUUAUUAUGUGGGCAGGAGCUGGAAAAGGAGGGAAUCACUAAACAGACUGGCACAGGUGAAUGUCUAAGAAUGUUCGAUACUUCAUUUCUUCAGUAUCAUAGUGUCAUUGCUUUUAACUUGUUAUGUUUUUAAUUUUUUGGGACAUGUUCUUCCCUUCUCAGAUCAUGAUCCAGAUGAUUCAGAUGACAACAAUGAAAAUGUGGACCCAAUAAUCAUCAUGACAAAAGAUAUUAAACUUAAAGUUUCAUCAAUCCUGCUGGCUUCGGAAAGCAUCUAUUUCCGUAAAGGUAUAAAUGAUCAUUUCCUUUACAGCCAUAUUAUGCCCAUAUGUGCGCAUUAUUGCUUAUUUUCUGUCUUGCUUAAAUCUUUUUGCCUGUUUCAGCUUUUCUCAAAUGGCAUGAGAGAAUCUGUGGAUCGUGUUGUCCAUCAACAAUUAUCUGAGGAAGGUAUUUGAAUUUAGAAGUCACAGCUUUCAAAAUUAUUAAUUGUUUCUACAGUUGGUCAAUUGAGUUCAAACCUUAAUUUUGUUUCAUACAAUGUUCAAAAAAAUUUCAGAAUUGGAGCCUUUUGAAGAUAUUAUAAAUUUCAUUUACAAGGCCAAGUUCAGUAAAUUGGAUCCAAAGAGCUUGUUGAGCGUUGUCAUGGCUGCUGACAAAUUUGAGGUCAAUCAAGCAAUGAAACAGUCCAUAGAGUUUAUGCUUGAAUCGGAAUUGAAUCUUGAGGCAGCUGUACUUUAUCUGGAGUUUUCUCCAGCUAAUGCUACUGUAGCUCAAGCUUUGGCCCCAGUGAGAGCUGCUUCUGGUCGAUUUCUGACUCAAAUGUUCAAGAACGUGUUUAGGUAUUUGAUCAAACAGACUUCCAUUUUUUUUAUUGAAUUUGAUUGGUGCCCAGUUCAAAAUUUUAUUAGUUUGUUUAGAAUUUGGUUUUGCUUUUGAUGUUGCAUCACCCUAAUUCGUAUCAUACUUAAAUACCUAAGCCUUUUCAGGUUCCCUGCUUCUUACUCUUAUGUUUAUUUUAUUGUUCUACAGUUUUAGCACCUUUUUUUGCUGGUUAUGUUUUGUCUGAUGGUCACAUUUUGUAUUGGAUUAGGCGGUGUAUAUUUGUAGGUCUCUAUUUAGUUCUACCUCUGUCUUAUAUUUAGUUACAGAGGCAGUACUAUCAUGGUUGAUUGUAAUAGCAGUGAUUCCUUUAAACCACUAUUUUGUUUAUCUAGUGCUGUUUGCCAUGCCAUUUUUUGUUUGCUGUUUGAAAGCAUUAGCUAUUUUGUUGGCUGUUCUUUUGCCAUUUAAAUACCGAAGGUGAACUCAUCUUUUGAUGUAGUUUUGUGGGCUUUUUAGUGAUAUUUAUUUGGCCACUAUAGUUCACAUGAAACAACUUUGUAAUGCUUAGAUUACAGAGUCAGCAAACAUUACAUGGUGGUAACAAUAUGAGCAUUGGUCGCCGUUUGUUUGUUAAUAAUUUUUCUGUUGUUUUUGGAUGCUUUACCUAUGAUCUUUAUCAUCAAUAGUUAGUUCUGAUCCUUCACUUUGUUUUUCAGCCAUAAGGACGAUCUUCUAGAGUUGCCUCUUUCAGCUAUCUUAGAAAUUUUCAGAAGCAGUGAUUUAAUUGUUCCAAAUGAAGAUUAUGUUUACCUUUUUCUGGUGGAUUGGGUCAAGAAAAAAUAUGAAGAUGAGCACAUGAGGUGUACCGUUUUUAGCAAAGCGUUGGUGUUCCUUAUUCGAUUUAUGCACAUGACGAUCGACCGCCUAAUGGCCUUCUCAAAUUGCCCUCUGAUGCCUAACAAAGUUGAUGUCAAGUCAAUUAUUUCUAGUGCAUUCUUGUUCAAGAUCAAUUGUUCGACAGUGAAGGUAGCUCAUUGGAAUUAUGCCCAGCGGAAUUAUCUGAUUAGGCCAGUCAUUUUGACGAACCUUCUGCCAUACAACGAAUUGUUGGCCUAUUUUGAUCUUCCUCUGGCCGACUUUGCCCGGAUGAGUAAUCCUGCGUGGAGGAGUACAUAUACUGAGGUUUUUGCCUAUGGCGGCUACAGACUCUUUGUGCAGUGCCAAACUACUAUAGAUGCGGUAUCCAAUGCUCCAAGUGCAUUUGGGAUGUUUUUGUGUGCUCAGAAGUCAACUCAGCCUGAAGUCUUGUCUGUGGCCUUCUCAGUAAGGCAAAAACCUGGUGGCGGCUAUGUGGACAAGUUUUCAUUUGACAGCCCCUUCCUUCCGGAUAACAAGUUUGGAGUUGCUGAUUUAUUAUUAACACCCUGGGCUGAGCUUCUUGAUGAGAACAACUUGUUUUUGAUCAAUGGUUGAGUUUAUUUUAGAGUCCGGGUGUCCAUCAGACAGCAAUAGGCUUUUCAGGUAUUGCUCAUAAUCUGGUCUUUUUUUUCUGUAUGCUCAUCCGAUGUCCGGAAUAAGCUAACUGUUUGUUCCACGUAUGUUUUAUGCCAUAUUUUGCAUUGUCCUCUGCCUGAUAUUUGCUGUGGAUACUCAUUUCCCGUAUAAGCGGUUCCAUCUGUUUGGAUUCUCUUAAUUCAUAGUCUAGUUAGCCAAAUCUGCUCUUGUUAUUAUGUUGCAUAUGAAUAUUUUUAUGUUGCUAACCCGUGUCUGUGUUUCGUGAUGUGUGUUCUUCAGGCCUCCAGGAGAAGGAAGGCGGCCUGCACUUGUCUCUCUUAAAAACCCGUGUCCAGGAGAAGGUCUUCUACUGUGGAUGGAUAGUCUCCUUUUAGACCUGUCGUGUUAUCUGUUUUGUGGAUGGAUGGCUAGUCUUUUUUAGACCUCUCGUGUUAUCUGUUUUGUGGAUGGAUGGAUAGACUUUGUUUCAUUGUCUUGCAUGGGAUGGAAACUUCUUUUUUGAAUGCUGAUGAAUAUGUUCAGCAUGAACAAGCGGUGGUACUUUUGUUGAUUAGAUUGAAGACAUGAUGUUGAAAUCAAUGGCAGUAUGUAUGUUUUGAAGAGCAUCAUCUUCAAAUAGCAUGUUUUUUCCUUUUUGCAGCAUAAAACGAAAUAUCACAUAGUUUGUCUGGAUUGGUGUUGGAGGAAACAUAA
rnacentral:lncRNA from 1 species